rnacentral:lncRNA from 1 species
UCAGCAACAACUUUGACACCUUCCUCCAAAGCUUCUUUAGAAGUAAAAAGCUUAGACACCAAGCCCAAAUCUUUAGCUUCGGAACCUGAAAACCUCCGACCAGUUAAAGCCAACUCCAUAGCAUUUCCAAACCCAACAAUACUGGGAAGCCUCUGAAGUGUCCCGAGAUCAGCCGUAAUAGCUAAAUCCACCUCUUUCACUGAGAAAAAAGCAUCAGAAGAACAAUACCUAAUAUCACAGGCAGUAAUUAUAUCAAUGGCACCACCGAUACAUGCGCCAUGGACAGCGGCAAUCACGGGUUUACGGCAACACUCUAAGGCGGUAAUAGCCUCCUGAAGGAACUUGAUAUGUCGCCGGAGCCUCUCGACUUUACGGCCGCAAUCGACGGAGUCGGAUUCUUUGAAGAUAUCGCCUAGGGUUUGGAGGUCGAUGCCGGAACAGAAGUGCUUGCCGGAGCCAGCUAGGAUGAUGACGGCGACAUUGGGGUUUUGAUCGAGUGAGGAGAUGGCUUUGGGGAAUUCAGUGAAGAAGUCACGUGAGAGAGCGUUGAGAUGUGUGGGUCGGUUGAGAUACAGGUAAUAGACAAGAGAGUUUGGGGAUUUUUGAAUGAUUUUCAGUGAUUUGUAUUCCUCCAUUAUUUGUGCAGUACAGGGAAGAUGCUAUUGAAUUGAUGAGGCUACGACUAUGAAUGCACUAGUUAGGAUGUUUGGUGUUGACCGAGUCAACAUAAACAAAAUUAUAUUUUAUUGAUUUGGUACCGAGUUUAAGAAAAAAAAAUUAUUUUUAUGGUUUUGAAUUUUAAGAAAAAAUUUUAAUUUUUAUGAUUCUAAGUUAAAGUUAUAUUAAAUGUACAAAAAUAUUUUUUAACAUGUCAAGUGGAUAAUGACGGAGCUAGAAAUACCACGAACGAAAUACAAGAAUGAACAAUGUCAUAGGUAAAAAACAAAUAUGCACUAGUGGAUGCAUUAAAAAUUUGAAAAAAAAUAAAACAACCUAACAUUAAUAAUUAACUUUUUAAUUGAUAAAUGUAUAAAAAAAAUUAAAUUGAAACUACAUACUCCCUCCAUUCACUUUUACAUGUCACUUAUUCUUAAAAUAGAUUUUCAUUUUUCCUUGUCACUUUUGGCAUAUCAAGGAAAGACAAUAAAAAAAAAUUCAUGUUUUACCCUCAACAUUAAAUACUUAUUUUUUCAAAUCAUUUUUCAAGACAUCAUUUAAUAGGAGAUAGUUUGGUGAAAUAUCUAUAUCAAUAAUUAUUUUCUUAAUAUGUGUGUCAAGUCAAAGUGUGACAAAUAAAAAUGUACAGAAGGAGUAAUAUUUUAGCUUUAAUGUUCAUGCUUAGUUUAAUAGGAAGUUAAAGAAUUAAAAAAAAAAAUCAAUUCAGAAUAAAUUAUUUAUAUGCUUUAAGCUUUCACCAACCUCUGCUGAUAAUAACAAUAACAACGAGAAUAUGUUAGACUAAGACUGGGCACUGCACCGGAAUGGGACCGCCGGACCGGAACGAACCGGUACCGGACUGGAACGGGACGGUUUGACCGGGUUGUUGACCGGUACCGGGAUGAACCGAAUCGGAACUACCGGGAUGGAGGCUCAGUUCCGUCCCGUCCCACUAUAUACCGGGAUAGAACCAGGACGGACCGAAAUGGACCGGAACGGAACGGGAUGGGAUAAACGGGACGGCACAUAUAGCUAUUUCAAAAAAUAUUAUUAUUUUGAGUUAUUUUGAAUUACGAAAAUAUGAAUAUUUUUUUUCAAGUUAUAUUAGUUUAUAGUAUUUAAGUUUUAAAUUUAUAAUAAUUUUACUUAAGUUUAUUUUAAAGAUAUUUUUUAAAUUUUUUUACGUAUAUAAGUUUGUAAGUUAAGUUUAAUAAAGUUUUUUUUUUUUAAGUUUUUGAGCUUAUGUAGUUAUGUUAUAAGUUUUAAAGAUAGGAAUCUUUUGAAGUUUAUAAGUUAUUAAGUUAUACUUAUAACUUGUAAGUUAAAUAACUUAAAGUUUGUAAUUUUAAAAAAUUAAAUAAACAAAAAAGAAAUGCUAAUAAAAGUAAAUAAUGACAAAAAUAUUAUUUUUUAGUUUAAUUAAAAAUGAUUUACCGAGACCGGACCGGUAUCGGACCGGAUCGGAACGAAACCGGAAUGAACCGGUACCGGUAUACCGGUACCAAAUCAUGAUACCGUUCCGUUCCGUGUACCGGUUCAAUGUAUCCCAUCCCGUCCCGAAUACUACCGGAUCGGAACGAACCAGAACGGUACCAGAACGAACCGGAACGGUACCGGUACAACCCGUUCCGGUGCCUAGCCUUAUGUUAGACUAACUACAUUAGCACAUGAUUGACUUCAACAUAUAUGUUUUGUAUCUCCUUUUUACUGUUAUAAAUUGUAAAACAUGAGAAAGCAAUAGGUAAAUAAUUUGCUCCGCGGGAGCAUUUUUGUAAAAGUCACUUUAGGAAAUGUUCUCAAACUACCCGUAUGGGUUAAACUAAUUAUCUAUAGUCUUUGAAAUGAGUUUUAAUUCAAAAAAUUGGACAACGAGCCAAACUCUAAAGGUUCGUUUGAUAAGAGAGAUAAGAAAUAAUUAAUUUUAAAUUAAUUUUACGAUAAGUUUAUCUCAUGUUUGAUCGUAAUAAAAUUGUAGGAUAACUUAUUCCGAAAUUAUAAUUUAUUUUAAUCCCAAAUUCAAAAUGGGAUAACCAAUCUCAAAAAAAUUAAUUCCGAAAUAAAUUAUUUCCAACCAAACAAGCUCUAAUUAUGUAUAAUGUCAAUUCUCUUCUUGUUCCCUUUGCUCGUUAAUUGCUUCCUUCAAUGAUAUUCAUAUGGUAUGUUUCGUGUACUGAUAAAGUAUCACAAUUCUCUUCUUUUUCUCUUAGCUCAUUUAUUGCUUCCUUUUCUUCAAUAUUUUCCACAUGGUAUAUCUCAUAUAUAUACUGACUAAGUAUCAUAAAUCUCUUCUUUUCCCCUUAGCUCUUUAAUUGCUUCAUUUUCAUUAAUGAUAUUCAUAUGAUAUGUCUCAUUUACUAAUAAAAUUUUCACAAUUCUCUUCUUUUCUCCUUAGCUCAUUAAUUGCUUCAUUUUCUUAAAUGAUAUUCACAUGGUAAGAGAGCAAAUUCAUUCCUUAAAAAAACACAUCAGAUUAUUACACAAAGUAUUUCUCAAAGUGUGUGGUCUUGAUUUAUAUUUUGUCACGCCCCAAACUCAAGGGGUGCAACUGGCACCUAAUGCCAAAACAUAGGCCUGAGCCAACCCUGUUGAACCAUUUGCUAAUAACACAUAGUGAUUACGCUCAAACUACUCUAAAAAUAAAUUCAAAGAGUAAGCGAUCGUUGUCAUAAAAAUACCCAACUAAGAGUUGGGGUCAAAUCCCACAAGGAAUAGUAUAAUGAUCAGAAUUCAACUAAGAAAUCAAGAAUGCAAACUUGUUCAUUGUAGUAGGUUUGGACAAAUGGGUGGAUGAUUCCAUCAAAUUUACUAAAAGUGUUUGUAGUAUCAAAUGUAACAAUUAAACUAAAGCUUCAAAAAUUCAAGUAAUUAACAAGCAAUAUAGGGGUGCGGGGGAUCGAAAAUGGAUGACACAUAGGGGUAAUUUUGUUGCUCACUAGUGCUAAACAUUCAUCGAUAGGCAGGGCCAUCUUCAAUGAUACUAAUCUUCUUUCAAUCUCAAACAUCAGUUCAUAGAAUCUCCUCUCAGUCCCAUCUAUGUGCAUAACUAAACAACACAUUACCUUACGAUAUCUCUCUUUCGAGCAAGUUUAGGACAAAUAGAUCUGAACCAUAAUUCCUCUUUCAAGCAAAUUAUAGACAUCAAACCUAAAUUGCAUGUAUCAAACUAAUUACACAUUGUAGUCGAUCUCUUUCGAGCAUCAAUCAGAGAUUGAAAUUAGGAUUAAGUUUGCAACAUUAACACAUAGGUUAACCUCAUGAUAAUUAGCCUAAAUCCAUGGAUGAUAAGCAAUAAAACAAAGUAAAACACAAUACACACUACAUUAAAUCAACACUUAACCCCAUAACUGCACCCGAGUUUUAGCCACCUAUCACAAAUAGUAAAGAAAUUAUACUUAUCAUACUAGCAGCCAUGGAUGUGAUAAAAUUAAGCAAUUAUAAUCAACACCUAUUUUGAUUUCAACUUCCCAUUGUUAAAUGCAAAAGUAAAAUUUUAAACCCCAAAACUAAAGAUGUUCUUCACAAGGUGAAAUAUCUCAUACAAAGGCUCUCAAAAAUUCACUACUCAGAACUCUAAACUCCACUCUAGAAACUCUACACUAGACACUUUUUUUCUCUCUCCUUUGGGCUAUUAUAGUUUCCCAAAAUUCAUUGCGUAACCAACUCGACGAUGGUGUUGGGCUCACUAAACAUGAUUGGUGAAUCGCCUUUUGUUCUUUAGCUCAUCUUUCAUUUGCUUCAGGCUUCAGGUGUUUGAACCUCAGUUGAUGAUCUCGUUUUAGUAUGUAUUUCACAUUCGAAAGAUCACCGAUUACCACCUUCGUUCACCCUUUAAGCCUUCAGUUUUCAUCCAAGUAUUGUCACCUUCACUGAUGGUCAUCCUGUUCACCCUUCUUAUUUGGUGAGUUUCUAUUUCACUUCAAGUUCGCCAACCUGAUUCCAAUAAAUUAAAUUGUGAGCACUGUCACUUUGAGCGAGGUUGUGCCAAUUGAGCGAUCCACCAUUUUGGUUAGGCGACUUUCAAUAUUUUUGGCCUUUCUUCCAAGUAUUCAUCUUUGCCUUGUCAUUUAGCCUUCAUAGCUGCAAAUCAUCAAAUAUCAUCAUAAUAGGAUAUAAUUAGGCAUUGAGAACACUAAUUGUUGAACAAAAAAAGCCUCAAAUGAGUGUAAAUUUACCACUUAUAAGGAGGGGCUCCAUUUUUUUUUUGUAAUAAUUGAGUCUCACUUCAUCUUUCUUUUUCUUCCACUUGGGUUUCUUUCCCCCUUCCUUUCCACACCCCCAACUUAGGCUUUUGGCCUAAGUUGGCUAUUCAAACAAACCAACGCUUAGAAAAUGAUUCAUGGGGUGAGAAGUUAGGGACAAUUUAUUUCAAGAGAUUCCAACAAGGUUAUCAACAAACGAUUUACGCUCAAACGGUGCCAAAAAUGGUUGCACACCCUCAAAAGAUAGUCACAAAGGGGUAAGAACAUUUGGUUUACCCCUCAAAAUAUGUGCCCAAGAUCAUUUAUUAUAUUCACUAAAGCUAGACAAUUGGACUAACAAGAAAAAUUCUAGGAUUCAACAAGCAUGUUUUCAAGUAAAACCUCACCACAUAAGACACCUCAAACACAAUCAUUUAGCACAACCCUACAAGAUUAAAAUCCUAUGUGCGAUGUUCAUCGCAAUACUUACAUCAAAAUGCACCUAGCCAACACAAGAUUCAAAAUAAUCAUUCAAAAGUAUACACACACCGAUUUCUUCUUGUCUUUAUGAACACGAGGCACAUUUAUCAUCAUAAGUACUACUAAAUACAUCACUAUUCAACAGUUGGCCAAGAUAUACACAAAGAAGAUAUGAAGGUUGCACGAGAUGCCCCUUUCUAUCAUCGAGCAACCCAGUUUAGUUUUAUGUUUUGGGAUAAGUAACACGAGGCGGUGGGAAAUCAACCCAGUUUCAGUACAAACUUUCAUCUGCAAACAAAUGUCUAGUCGGAGAGAAAUAUCCAGGUACUAGAAGAUAUGCUGAGAGCAUGUGCGAUUGACUAUGGAGGUCACUGGGAUCCAUUCUUACACUUGUGUGAGUUUUUUUAUAAUAAUAUUUAUCACUCUAGCAUUGAUAUGACACCGUUUGAGGCACUUGAUGAGAGGGGGUACAUAUCGCCUAAGGGUGGUUUGAAGUCGGAGAUGUAAAACCCUUGGGUAUUGAUUUAGUGAGGGAGGCUCGAGAGAAGGUAAGAAAUAUCCAAACAAGGUUGUUGACAGCCUAGAGUAGAUAGAAGGAGUAUGCAAACUGCAAGGUAAGAGACAUGACAUUUCAGGGUGGGGAACAAGUUUUGUUGAUGGUGUCACCAAUGAAAGGGGUGAUAUGGUUCGGUAAGAAGGGUAAGCUUAACCCUCGUUACAUUGGUUUGUUCUAAAUUCCUUACAAUGUAAGGUCAAUGUCUUACAAGUUAGCAAUGUCACCCAACUUGUUUGCACUUCAUCCAGUUUUUCACAUUUCUAUGCUAAAGAAGUACCAUGGGGAUAGAGAUUAUCAUCAAGUGGGACUGAACAGUACUAGACAAGGAAUUGUAGUAUGAAGAGGAACCAAUGGUGAUUCUUGAUCGUGAUGUUCAGAAGUUGAGGACAAAAGAAAUCAAAUCCGUAAAGGUUUAGAGGAAGAAUCUUCUGAUUGAGGAAGCCACUUGGGAAACUAAUAGGUACAUGUGAGACAAUAUCCUUACUUGUUUGAGGAUGCAAAAUACAACUCACUUUGACUUAGCUCCGUUUUUCUUGUUUGGUCAAUCGAGGAAGAGCGAUGGGUAAAUUAAUAUGUUAUUGUAACGACCCCAUUCAGUUGUUAGGGGUAGGCCAAUUGUGAAAAAAUUGGCUAAAAAACUUUUUGGGUAGUGACUUUAAAAUUCUAGGCUAGGGCAACCUUAGAUGGAAUCUUAGUAAGGAGAGGUCCAGGGAAAUCCGUGAAUUUAUGGGGUGAUAUGUAUGAGCUUGGAUAACGUUUCCUAGUAUCUAGGACAUUAAGGCCUUUCAAAAUCAAAUUCGGAUAAGUAGAACUUCUGUUAUUGGAUUUGGCGUGAAAGAGAUAGUUUAUAACUUCAAUGUACAAAUGUGUGUUGUGAAAUGGGGGCUUGGGGAGGAUUUACGAGGUCUUGUCUCCAUGCAUGCCACUAUAGAGGGAAUAAAUGCCUCAGGUUUAAUUAAUUCCCUCUAUAGCGGGUGGGCCACUAUGAUGACGCCGUUAUAGCGAGUUGGACCACUAUAAUUGGGUUAGUCAGGGUUUUCUACAAAAAAAUUCCAAAACUUGUUAUUUUCUGCAAUUUCAUUCUUGAAACUGAUAAGAGCGAUUUAAGGCAGUAUCCUUCGGGUUUUUUACCGAUCUCUUUGAAAAAGGUCCCAUUUUGUAUUUUGAUUCUUAAUCCUUAGAAUCUAGGUUGUUAAUCUUAGGGAAUGGGUUUUAACUUUAAUUAAUGGUGGAAAAUACCCUUGUUUGAUAGAAUGAUCAUCAUAAUGACCUGGUUAGGAUGUGGUUACAAUCUGGGUAUUAUUAUGCCAUCCUCGAUUGAUUAUUAUAUUUGAUAUUGUUGUUUAGACCAAGAAUAAACCCACAUUUAUAACAAAGGGAAAACUUCAGAUUUUUAGAGAUCUCAAGGCUUAAUUGAAGGUAGGUGAUGGUAGUUGUUUUUCUAUUUAUUCUAUAUGUGCUUGUUAACUAUGUAGUUAGUAGUGCAUGCAUUCUACAUGAUUAGGGAAACUGGAAAGACAUGAUAUACAAUGAAAGAUGUUGUUAAUAAUAUGUUAUGAAUGUGUUACAUGAAUUUCAUGGGUUGUCAUGUAUCAUUAUUGUAUUGUAUGUGAUGAUUGGGAUGGGGUGCCACGCUGACAUAUGUUGUUGUUGAAACGGGUACCACACUAGUACAGUAAUAUCUAGAAUGGGUACCAUGCCGGUACAAUGGAAACGGGUACCACAUCGGUACACUCAUAGUUGUAUGUGUGGGGUUCCAUGAGAGAACCAGACUAGCUUGUUGUGUUGUGAUGAUUCAUGAUGUUUAUGCAUAUAUAUUCAAGGUGAGGAUUGAGAUGUCUAGUCUAUGUUGUACUUGUGUUUGUAAUUGUGUAUUGUCUGCUUACUGAUUAGUGAUUGUCUGUUCAUAUUUCAUUUACUUAAACUAGCCAAUGAUCCUACUAGCCAGUGUGGUUGUGUACUAAUACUACACUUGUUUUUUGUUUGUUGAGUAUAGGGCAUGUUCCAGGGACUCUUUCGGGACCUCAACUAUGAGAAUUCUUUCAUCUGAUUCCAAGGGUAAGCCGCUUCUUCCGGGCUACUAAGGAUUCCUCUUUUCAUUCUUAGUCCAUUAUUUAGAUUUGGACAUUCUAGACUUACACUUUAUUUAUUUUAGUUUGGGUUUGCAUCCCCUAUCCUAGAUUGUUAGAUGUUUUAGUACUAUGACUUUCAGGUCCUAGGGAGUUUAUUCUGCUUAAAUUGGCUGAUUCAGUUUAUGGGAACUCAAUUUUUUAGUUGUUUAUAAAUUGCUUUCUUAGUUUUUUUAUAUAAUUUAUUUGUUCUAACAUGGUUUAAUGGGUUAGCCUUGGGAUGGUAGUUGGUUCUUGCACCGGAGGAUUAGUGUGGGUUCCACUCACGAUGGGUGAGGGUCAUGACACUAUUGGGACAAUCUUGGAUCAAGAAUCAUGUCCUCCAUAGUCGUGUAAAGUAUGCUGCAAUAGAAUUUCACUUUAUUCGCCACCAUGUCAACAUCUAAAGGGUUCGUGUUGUUCAUGCAUUAUGCCGAUCAAAUAGCCAAAACUCUCACCAAGGCAUUGCCUAAAUAUGAAUUUGAGAAUAAUAUGUCCAAGUUAGGCUUAGUGCCUUAUCGCCUUACUUGGGGGGGGGGGGAUAUCAGAGCAUCAUAAGUGAAUUCCGACAUUAGUUAAGAGUUUAGUCGGUGUUAGUAUUUUGGUAGUCCUUGUUUAUAUAGGAUAUUGUAUUUGUUAUUUCAGCAGUUAUUGUUUAUUUAGAUUAUUUUAGUUUAGUUCGUUUAUGAGUGUUAUUAUUUUUUCAGUAUAUUUAAUACAUUUGUGCCUUCAUUAAUAAACAAUUGUCUUCCAACUCAUAUUCAGUCUUUACAACAUGUGAUUUACUUAUGUGAAUGCAGUAGUCUAUUGUCAUAGACAAGUGGUUCAAACUCGUUUCUUCUUAUAGUUGUGGUAUGAUGAUUUACCUAUGUGAAUGAUUGUUGUGUUUUGUUUGUGUACUCUGUUCAAAUAGACAGUAGAUUCUAACUAGAGAUAAUUGAUUAUUGUUAAGUGAUGCCUCCCGAGGGAAAAAGGCUUGGAUGUCAAAGUGUAUAAGUGUACCUCCGGAUACACUUAGCAGCCUUAUAAAUAAUGUAAUUGGGAAAAAUUAAUUUACCGAAAUAGGCACGUCGGUGGAUUAACCAGACUAGAAUCAGGACAUACGUCGCCUUCUAUUCAAGUAGCUCCCGAGGGGAUAAUAGCCCAUUUCAUGAGAGUGUAGUGCUACUAAGAUUAUAUAUUCAAGAUCAAUUUUUGAUGAUCUAAUGUUAUGAUAUCCUCGAAAUGCCAAAUGUUACGGUUAAAUUGUAGUUAGGCUCGCGUAUUUACUGUUAUGCAACAAAAUAGAAGGGUAUUACUACACAUAGUAAUUAUAAAAAGGUCUGAAAUAUAUCCGAACUUUAACCGAAAUUGUUGUAGCAAUCUCAAACUUUGGGAAGAGUCUAUUACCCCUAUGCACUAUUUAAUAGUGUAUUUUGAAAAUAUAAAAGUGUCCAUCUGGACAAGUUACUAUUCAUAAUGAUCAAGUUAGCAAAUUCCAAUAAAUUCACAAAUUUAUCUUGGAUCUAGUGUUUGGGUCAGUUCUUGGAUCUAAUGUUAGGGUUGAGGCGGGGUGGGGUCUCAAGAAGGAUCCAGUGUCAGGAAGGGGUAAGAUCUCGGGUUAAGGGUGAGUCUUAGGUUAGGGUUGCGUCUCGGGUUUAAGGUUGAGGUCAGGUGUCGGGUCUUAGUCAUUGUUGGGUGUCAAGGUCGGCUUUCAGAUCAUGGUCGAGGUCGAGUCUCAAGGGUGCGUGUUGGGUCUUGGGUUAGGUUUUAGGGUUUGGGUCAGUUUUCAGGUCGGGUCUUAGGUCAAGUGUCAGGGUUGAGGUCGGGGUCUGGUUUUGGUCGGGGCUGUGUUUUGUUAUUAGGUCUCGAGUCGGAUAUCGAUCUUGGGCCAAGUGUUAGGGUCGGAUUCAGGGUUAGGUCCCGAGUCGGAGUCGAGGGUCAGGUCGCAAGGUCAACUUCCAAUUCAAAAGUUGGAUCUUGAGUCGAAUAUUAGGGUCAAAAGUCGGGGUUGGGUCACACGCCCGGUCGAGGGUCGAGGUUGGGUUUAGGUUUGGGUGUCGAGAUCAUAUUCCAGUUCAAAUGUCAUAUAUCUAACGGGGUUAGGUCCUGGGUUGGGUCUUGGGAUUGUGUCCUAAUUCGGGUCAUGAUAAGGGUCAUGUUCUAGUUCAAUGUCGGAUCCCGUGUCGAGAGUAGGGGUCAAGUUUUGAAUUAGGUGUCAGAUCGUUUAUUGGGGUUUAUUUUUAGGCCAGAAACUAUAUUUCUAAAAAAUAUUUUAUAUUCUCUAGCCAACAAUAAAAGAUAAUUUCUAAAAAAAAAAAUUCAUUCACCAAUCGUUCACUAGAAAAUAUUUUUCAUUUUCACCAACCAAACAUGAGAAAAUAAGUUAGAAACCAACUUAUUUUAUAAGAAAAUAUUUUAUAGGAAAACGUUUUCUCAUACUAAACACACCCUAAAAGGAAUACUUUUUCCUACAUAAACUUAUAAAGUUAUAAUCAUCCUAUACAGUUCCUGGUUGUCUUAUUUUUUCCCAUGCACUACUAAAAGUGAAUUUGUUUGAGUUGUGUAGCUUUCAUCAUGGUUGUCCCAUUCAUAUGUAUCCUCUACUACUCUAAUUCUGCUGAAAUUAUGAUUGCAAAUAUCAUCUGGUAGCUAUUGGUGCAAUAGGGUACUAUCCCAUCUUCCCUGAUUCAUUAAUUGCUUUACAUCUUUCAAGACCAGAUUUGUAGUCAAUGAUACAUAAAUGUAAUAGUAUAUGGAACCUAAUUGGAUUCAAUAGUCAAAACAAAUACUUGAGCGACCACAUUUAAGGCUCCCACCUUAUCUCUUCAUCCAUGAAGUCCCUAGCCUGUAACAUAUACUUCCAAGUCUGUGAACUCCCUCCGCAUUCUGCCAAUCGAGGUUUAUGUCUUUUACAAUAUUUAUUUCAUAUAAAAUUAGAUCACAUAGAUUUUUGUGUCCUAAAAUUCCACACAAAGAUCUAAAGCCCAAUCCUUUUUCCUUUUUGAGGUAAGCAAACCUCUGCCCAAGACACCUAGUAUUUAUUUCUUUCAUCUUUUUGAAAUUUCAUAUGAUCUAGCAAUAACUCUAUGAAAAUCAUGUAUAACACAUUUUGGAGGGAUGAUGAUUGAUAGUUGAUAAAUAGAUAUGUUUUGCAACACAUUGUUGAUUAGAACAAACUUACCACCAAAUAAAGAAAAGUUUACCCUUCCAAAUGUGCAACUUGUUAUGUACCUUCUCUUUCUUUUCUUUUUUUUUGCUUUUCUUGCAUGCCCUAUCGGAGAAACUAGAUAUGUCAAAGAAACUUGCCUCUAGGACAGCCAGUACACUAUUCAAUUACCUGAAUAUACCAGCUUGAGCAGUCUUGCUACAAACAAGGAAAUCAUUUUUCUCCUUAUUAAUCUUCUGGCCUGAUUGACUCUCAUAAUCACUUGCAAAGGGAACGUAUCAGCAACAACAAAAACAAUAGUUUCAUCAGCAUAGGCAAGGUUCCUUUUGGGAUCCCAAAUUCCUGAAGUCACUUAUCUAUUAGAAAUUUGUUAAAGAAGUCUAAUAGAGAGAAAAUACAAAACAAUAAACAUAGAAGAAAAAAUACAACAUGCAUAUCUUUCUUAAGAUCUUAAUCAUAAAUUUUGAGUUUUUAUGCACACCUACUGUCAUAAUCUUUAAAAAAUCCAAGAAUCUUCUUAUCGAGCCAAAUUAAGACAUGGAUCAAAUAGUACAAUAAUGAAUAAGUGAAAUAGUACAAUAAUGAAAUAGUGUUUCACUACUUAAACUAUAGAAUGAAACGAAUAGCACUGGGGAGGGAUUGCAUGUAACAAAAAGGAGGAAUUUAUAUAGAUUAAAUGGAGGAAUACCAAAAGAUACUUUAAAGUUUUAAGUUAAAUAUUUUGAGGUUAUGAUUAUGAAAAGUAUGAGAGUUAUAAAUAUUAAGAGUAGCCAUUAAAUAGAUAAUUAGAUGUGAGUAGGGGUGUCAAAAAUGAAUCCAACCCACCCAGAAUUUUAAGGGUUGGGCUCAAGAUAAUUUAAAUUGAAUUGGGUUCAAUCUCAAUCCAUUCAAGCCUAACCCAUUUUUAAAAAAUUCUCAAUUGAGCCCAAUUCAAUCUCCAAUUUCAACUCGUUUUAAAACUCUUUACUAAGAUAUGUUCCUAUAUUAAAGGUAUGAAUUAUUACCUAUUUAACAUCUUUUAGGAUUUAUCGAUCAAUUUGUUAUUUUUUUUAAAAAAAUCUUGAGCUGAAAUUCACAUUGUGAUUAUAAAAGUUAAAUAUCACUAAUUUAUUGGGAGUAACAUAAUACUGAGUUAGACUAGGGUCAGUCACUUAUAUAGUCCCAGAACUACGAGCCAUGUAGGUUUUAAGUCCUCUCUCUGGGCAUCAUUUUAGUGAUCACGCUAGCAUGUCUCUACACCUUUGGCUGGGUAUAUUGGGUCCUCUCGAUGGGGCAUAUACAUUAAACUCCACAUUUAGCUCAUGUGGUUUUAUGUCAUUUAUUAGUAGCUCCCACAGUUUAGUCAAAUUCUAUUACAUUGACCAUUUAUCAGUAUAGUUAGUAUUCAGUUUCAAUGAGUUAUGAAGGUAAAUAUUUAAAGCAAAUAGAGGAAAAAAUAAUAAAUAAUUAAAGAAGAGAAAAAGAAUAGUGCAAUUGAAACAUUAUGUAAGAGUUUUAAAGGUAAGGUUACUAAAAGGAAGGGACAAAAAGAAAGGAAUGGCAAUAUAUAAAGGGUCCAAAAGAAUUAGACGGUUACAAAAGCAUUUUAGAUGAUGUGAAAUUCAGUUUCCAUAUAUGGUGAUUUUUUUCAGUUAUAAAUCAAUUGUUUGUUGCAAAUAGAUUUCAAUUUCUAUUACAUGGGCUGAUUAAGCUAAGAAUUACUGCUUGAACUUUAUUGCAAAAGUUAUUUGAUUUCGGCUAGUACUACAUGUAACACCCCGUAUCCGAAAAUAGACCAAAUUGCAGAUUUUUGGUGUUGCAGGUGGCACUCACGGCACCAUCCACGGACCGUAGGAGGACCCACGGUCUAUCCUGCAGGUUCGUGGUUCGUGUCAGCAAACUCCCCCAAAACUCAGCCAGAAAUUCGGCCAAGUUUCGACCCACGGCCGGACCUACGGUCCGUAGGUCAGGUCACAGACCGUGGUUCGUGCCCGUGGAUCGAUGCCCCUAAAGCCCAACUUCAGUCCCGAUUGACGGUUGACCAACACAGAUCGUCAUUCGAUGCACGGUCCGUAGGUCUGACACUAAAUGAGGGUCAGCAGUCAGUUAGAUGAAAAUUGUGAUUGAGUCAACUUCAGAUGGUCAUAACUUUUAGCACAAAAUGAAUUAUGUGUCCCAUGACCUAUGAUAUAAUAGAUAAUCGAAUCUUCUUUCCAACGCCGCCGUUUGCUAAAAUUCGACCUCCGAGUGAAAAGUUAUGCUCGUUUUAGUGAAGACCGACGACCCCAAUCGACGGACCGUAGAUUGAAUGACGGCCCGUCAGUCCCGUCCNNNNNNNNNNNNNNNNNNNNNNNNNNNNNNNNNNNNNNNNNNNNNNNNNNNNNNNNNNNNNNNNNNNNNNNNNNNNNNNNNNNNNNNNNNNNNNNNNNNNNNNNNNNNNNNNNNNNNNNNNNNNNNNNNNNNNNNNNNNNNNNNNNNNNNNNNNNNNNNNNNNNNNNNNNNNNNNNNNNNNNNNNNNNNNNNNNNNNNNNNNNNNNNNNNNNNNNNNNNNNNNNNNNNNNNNNNNNNNNNNNNNNNNNNNNNNNNNNNNNNNNNNNNNNNNNNNNNNNNNNNNNNNNNNNNNNNNNNNNNNNNNNNNNNNNNNNNNNNNNNNNNNNNNNNNNNNNNNNNNNNNNNNNNNNNNNNNNNNNNNNNNNNNNNNNNNNNNNNNNNNNNNNNNNNNNNNNNNNNNNNNNNNNNNNNNNNNNNNNNNNNNNNNNNNNNNNNNNNNNNNNNNNNNNNNNNNNNNNNNNNNNNNNNNNNNNNNNNNNNNNNNNNNNNNNNNNNNNNNNNNNNNNNNNNNNNNNNNNNNNNNNNNNNNNNNNNNNNNNNNNNNNNNNNNNNNNNNNNNNNNNNNNNNNNNNNNNNNNNNNNNNNNNNNNNNNNNNNNNNNNNNNNNNNNNNNNNNNNNNNNNNNNNNNNNNNNNNNNNNNNNNNNNNNNNNNNNNNNNNNNNNNNNNNNNNNNNNNNNNNNNNNNNNNNNNNNNNNNNNNNNNNNNNNNNNNNNNNNNNNNNNNNNNNNNNNNNNNNNNNNNNNNNNNNNNNNNNNNNNNNNNNNNNNNNNNNNNNNNNNNNNNNNNNNNNNNNNNNNNNNNNNNNNNNNNNNNNNNNNNNNNNNNNNNNNNNNNNNNNNNNNNNNNNNNNNNNNNNNNNNNNNNNNNNNNNNNNNNNNNNNNNNNNNNNNNNNNNNNNNNNNNNNNNNNNNNNNNNNNNNNNNNNNNNNNNNNNNNNNNNNNNNNNNNNNNNNNNNAUGUUCAGAUUAUUUCAUUGCUUUAUUGCUUUGUUCAGUUAUAUGUUAUUUCAGCUUGACUCUAUCCUGCAUGCUUAGUACCUCUCAAGUACUGACGUAUACGUGCGCUACAUCUUCUCGUGAUGUAGGUUCAGGUUCUCAGCAUCCAGAUCACGCUUAGAUCGAUUCCCGAUCUUCAGUUCAGCAGCAUCAGUGGUGAGUCCUCAUUCUUCGAGGACUAGUGACAUGUUUAUCUUUAUUGCUUUUAGUCUUUAGUUUCAGUUUUGCUAGACCUAGUUGGGGCAUGUCCCAACAUUUCUAGUCAGUUUAGAGGCUUGUUUCAGACAUAAAUAGAUUCAGCUUAGUAUUGAGUUAAUAUCUUCCUUGUAUUAAACUCAUCAGUUUUCAUUUAUCUUGGUUAUAGUAUAUGGGUAUUCCCCAUCUUUUCAUCUUAUUUAUGAUUUAGCUUCCGCACAGUUUCUAUUAUUCAGAUUAUAUUUAGUAUGCUCAUGAUCAUGCCAGCAGGGCUAGCUUGGGAUCACUUGUGUUCCUAGGUCCCGUGUCCGCGUCUCGGGGGUAGCUCGGGGAGUGACACUACAUUUAUUAUAGGAAAUAGGAUUUGAUGUAAUCCUUAAUUUUGUGAUUUAGAAUAAAUAUACUAUUCUAGUUUUAAGAAUAAUUGCUCGCAAGUCACAAAUGAAAUACAAAAUUCAAUUUAAAAAUUAUUAAGAUUGUUUUAACAUGCAUAUGGCCAUGUGCUUAUAUAACAUUGGUAGUUAUAGUUUUGCUUAAUUCAUGUUCUUAGGAGUUAGGAGAUAAGCAUAAGAAAUUAAUUAGUGAAAUUCAAUACUAUUUUUCUUUGUUAAAAAGUAAAAAAGAGAGAUAAUAAUAUUGUCACUAACUUGAUGUAAAUAUUAUAUAAAACUAAACUUCUUUUUAGAAAACAAAAUAAUAAUCACAAAUGUGAAUAAUGAAAGAAACUGGUGUUAGAUUCUAAUAUUUGAAUUAUGAGUCUAAUAAGCAAAUGAGAAAAAAAAAGAGGCGAAAAAAAUGUUGCAUUAGGGGUUUACAAAAUUCAAAACAAGUCAAAGUUGAGUUAUUUUAUUUAACAAAUAACUAAAAUUAUUCCUUAAGUAUAAUAAAUACAUUUAACUUCUUACCUUACUCAUGCAAGUGUUGUUAUCAUUUAUCGAAAGUCCUAAUCCUUUAUAUGUGGAUAGACAUUGUACAGUUAUUUCAAAAAAAUCCUUUAGGAAAAAUGCAGUUGUUUGGUUCUACAGAUGCAGGACCUACUGUGAGGUAUUCACCUUGUGUUAAAAGAAUCAUUGGGCACUAACACAAGCACAUGAUUCAGGGCACUUGGAUGAGAGGUUUCCAAUGAUUAUGUGCUUGCGUCGGUGCCCAUCGAUUCCUUGACUCGAAAUGAACACCUCACGACAAAACCUGCAUCUAUAGCACCAACCUACUUGCCUCUUUUUGAUGUCUUGGUAAGCCGUUAGGCUUAUUGGUAGUUCCUGCAUUUUUUCAUAAAGGAUUUUUUUGAAGAACUGCAAAAUGUCAAUCAAAAUAUAAAAGAUCAGAACUUCCAGUAAAAUGAUAACAAUGUUUCCACGAGUAAGGUAAGAAGUUAAAUGUAUUUAUUAUGGUUAAGGGGUAAUUCUAGAUAUUUUUGUACAAAAACAACUCAACUCUUACCUCUUUUGAAUUUUGUGAAUCCCAAAUGCAAUAAUUUUUCCACUUCCGCUUCUCUUUUCUCAUUUGCUUAUUAGAGUCACAAAUUUAAAAGUUAGAAUCUUUUGUCAAAUUUCUAGCUUUAUUCACAUUCAUGGUUAUUAUUACUUUUUUAAAAGGAAGUUGAGUUUUAUAUAAUCUAUACAACGAGCUAGUAACCAUAUUAUCGUCUCUCCUUUUCUAUUUUUAAAAGGAAGUAUAGCAUUGGAUUUCCCUAAUUUUUUAUACCUACACUCUAUGAGCAUAAAUUCUAAUGGAACUAUAUAAUAGCCUGUCACUACCUAGCCCAAAGAGUCGCGCGGGAACCUACUCUAACACCUAGAUAGGAGAACCCUUAUACCCAAGUUAAGACAUGAAAUGCGGAAGUGAACAAUUAUAAACUAAUCACCUUAUUGUACAUACAAAAUUACUCUCAAACAUAAUUAAAAUAAAGUACUUUUGUACAGAAAAUACACUGAACCCUCCCCAAGAACUAGUGUAAACAAGUACAAGAGCUUCUACGAGAGUAGAAAAUUAUGAAAAAAAAAUACGACACAAUUCCCACCAUCAGGAAAAAAGAGUAGAAGCUAUCAAAUAUCAUCUUCAUUUUCACGUUAGAAACGUCACUGAUCCUACAACCAGACUAUGCCAAGUGGAAUAGCAAGAGUAGUAUCAGUAUAAACAACAUAUAGUGAUAGACAUCAUCGGUCUAUCAGAAUCCACCAUAUAACAUCAUGCAAAUAAUCAAAGAGACAUGAAACUUGGAGCUCAAAUUAGGUCUCUGAUACACUCAGUCGCCACUCUUACUAGAAGUAGUAUUACCUUGGAUUCAUACACUCUAUCUCAAGUCACCCCACCGCCUUCCUCUGCCAACUCCACCAUCCAGGUCAUUCCACCCUCAUACCAGAUCUGUCAUGCCCCGAGCCUACACCUUGGGCGGAACUGGCACUCGAGAACCAUUGUUGGCCCUAAGCGAACCCUUGGCCUGGCUUACUUACUCAGCGGAGGACUUAAACGCAAGAAAUAGUCUCAAAAGGAUAACUCAUGUAAUGUCUUAAAGAAAUAUCAAACUUAGCCAAAAUGGCUACUCAAGUCUUAAACGUAUACAACUGAAAACGGAAAGACUAAAGAACUAUAGCUACUCAUCUACAAAGCCUCUAAAACAAAGAGGGAUGUCGGGACAAGAUCCCCGAUCAUCCUAACAACGGAAAAACAAGAAAGAAAUGUAAAAAGGAGCCCUCCGGAAAGCAAUGAGGCUCACCAAUAGACUCUGAGUGCUCAACUGGAUCAAUGAGGCGCUGGAUGCUGAUCCUGCUUACCUGUAUCUGCAUCAUAAAACGAUGCAAGCCAAAUGGCAUCAGUACGAGUAUGCGAGGGGAAUACUAAAACAUACUGUAAGCUUGAAAAGAAUCUGAAAGGAACACUUACCUUGGCUUUACUCAACUCAUGAAUAACUUAACUCAAUAUAAAGCAACAACACAUGCAAUAUAUGGAAAGCUUUUAAAACAAUUGAAAGCAACUCAGCUUGUUAAAGAAAUGCGAUAACAACUCAACUUACUCAUAUAAUAAAGUAAUAUAAUACUGUGGGAGAUUCUCUAACUGACAACCACCACUAUGAGUCUAAGUGGUGAUACAACGUCUUGCCCACGCUACCAGAAUUGUCCUAUACUUUGCCAUCAUAAAGAACGCCUUAACUAAGUGGAUCUACUAGUCUAUGCUAAAAAGCACUAAGGAAUCAUCUAAAAAGUAUGAUCCUUUUCUACCCAUGAUGUCUACAUGAUUUAUGAAGACUUGAGUUAUUAUGAACUCGCGUCCCCAUAUCAGUGCUCAAUACUACUCCCAAAUAUACUCAGCUCAUAUGUUUUAAAAUAAAACUCUUUCUUUGGUUUGAGAUAAUUACUCAAAACUUUGCUCAAAAGCUCUUCUGGAAAUCGGUGUUUCCCUUCUUGUUCAAAUGUGAAAACAUUUUUAACUCUUGGGAAUACUUAGUUCCCGUAUAAUCUUUGAAGAAUUGAACUUUACUCUUACUCUUUACUCAACUCAAAGCUUAAGUCUUAAAACAAAGUUAAAACGUUUGUGAAAGACUUUUGGAAAACUUUAUGAAUUUCUCUGAACUUGACUCUUAACUUUCCUUGAAUUGAAUUAUGGAUUCAAGGAUUGUGAUUUGUGAUAGGAAAGAUCUCAUGAUGUUUAGGAGUGCUUUUAGAUAGUUAAACAUGAGAAAAUUAAAGAUCAAGAAAUCACUGUCUGGAAGCAAGUCCGCGACGCGGAGAUGCAUUUAAAUAUUUGGUCGCGAAAUAAAUUUUGAGGUAGAACGGUCCAUGACUAAUCCGCGACACAAAGGAGAUUUCCCCAAAUCUGAGGAACGGCACGGACCUGGUGCCCAGAUUCCCCCAACUUUUCCUUCUUCGUUUUUCCAACCCCAAAUAGCCUAAACUCAACUAUUUUUCUCAAAUUCUCUUUAGAUUCAGAUACCUAGUAAAUGUACCCAAGAACCUAACUCAAAACAACUCCAAAACUCGACGCGAUAGUCUUAAGAACUCCUCAAUUCAAUCCAAUUUAAGAACGAAAAUAAACUCAAGAACACAUAUCAAGAAUAUCAAACUUUCAACCCUUUUUAGGAUGAAUUUCGCUGAACUAAACAUGAUUGGCGUGUGGGUGAACGAACCCAACGCUAUGAAAGUCUCACAUACCUCGUAGGGAUUAACCUUUGGUGUAAUCCACACGCAAUUCUCCAAGAAAUCGAUGAAUCCUUGCUUCUUCUCUUCUUCUUUUCUCUUCUCUCAAAACCCUAACUCUUUUGCAAAAGUGUAAACUGAGCAAGUUCAGUUUAGACCCCAAUUAAUUACCAAAAACGAAAUGAAGUCAUUGGGUAUGGAAAAGACCAAAAUACCCUUCCAAAAUCCGGAUUGGACUUUCCUUAUCCAAACAACCCAACUUACAAUAGGCAUAUCUCAGUCAUACGAACUCGGAAUUGCGCAAACUCGGCGGCAUUGGAAAGAUAAUUCCAACAUAUUUCCUACGGUAUCUGGAAGCACACCUAACUCAUCCUGAUCUAGAAGUUGUGGUUGUUUGAAGUUGACCGAAAAUCCAAACUUUAGCCUAACUUAACAAAUUUCCAAUUUUUUCAUUCUUUCCUAAAAUGACUAAUUUUCAAUUCUAACUCUUUCUAGUUGUUUCAAUUAGCGAGAUGUUACAUGAUCAUUACCUAACCCAUUUAUCACAUAGAGAAUACCCGAAUACAAGACUGCUACAAACUCUUUCAACCAGCCUACUACACUCCCUCAAGGUCUGCAUGUCAAGACCAUGACCCUCGACUAAUUUAGUAAACUACUUGCAAGACUCUUACUAAACCACCUUAGCUAAAAUCCCCACAAUACAGUGUAAGGUAGUGAAUAAGGCCAAUUCCUAGUCAACAUCCUAACUUAACAACGCUUCAAUUAUACGAAAUAGGAACAUGUAACCACAACUUUACAACAACUCAUACAUGAUUCAUCACACUUUUCAAGUAACCCUGACCACCAAGGAUUCUUACGUCAUCAUCCACAGUCUUUAACAUGUAAUCUUGAUCUACACAAGAACCAUUCCAACAUUUAAACACAUAUCUCAGCCACUCAUGGACCAACAUGUUACAAUACAUCAUGAAGAAGUAAACAUAGUUCACUCAUGGAACCCACACACAAAUAGUUAAUGUACUAGGCAUUGUGCCUAAUCCAACCAUAUAAAUAUCCCUAUACUAAGCGUGGUGCUCGAGACAACCAUUAGUAUGUACCAUGUGUGGUAUCCGAGCUAACAAUGGGAUUCCAAUACCAGAUUUGGUACCCGAUCCAACCAUAUGAAUAUCCCCGUAGUAGGAAUGGUACACAAGCCAACUAUUAGUAUGUACCAAGCAUGGUACAAAAGUCGACUAGGGGUUAUUCUGUACCAUGUGUGGUACCCGAGCCAACCAUCAAUCACACAUAGAAAUCACAAUCACAAUAAAUGAUAAUCACCCUUGUACAUACAAGUAAGCACAUUCAUUGCGUACCAUUGACAAUAGUUAACGAUUAUGUUUACAUUUCUUCCAUUUCCCUAGCUAUACAUUAUGCAUGCCGUACUAACGAAACAGUUAACAAAAAUAUAUAACAUAAACAAGAAACAAACAAUCACCACCUACCCGAACAUGUUCCUUCCCGAAAGUUCCCUGCUCAAUAUCUGAUUACCCACAAUCACCUUCCCCUGAUAACAACCAACAACUGUCAUAAGGUCAACAUUAACUAAUCAAGUCUAUUAUCAGCCUACACCACAACUAACCACACAUUCAACCAUCCAGACUCCGAGCCCGAAGGCCAAUAUAUGCAAUCUUCGGACAACUUACAAGAAAUUAUGUGAAUAAAGAUAGGUCUCAGUACUCAGUUAAAAAGCCUAGCCUACCAGGUUGUCAAGUUGCUUCUGCAGAAAUCUGAUGAUAAACUUUUGACUCCUUUUGUGAAACUUUUGCUUGUUCUUGGUCUAAACUAAUAACACAAGUAAAAAAUAAAUCACAAUCGAGGUCAACCUUCCCAGAUUAUAAUGUAAUCCCAAUCCUAGGACAACCUCAUGAUUUUUCCACCCAAUCUAGGAUUUUCCAACAAUUAAUUAACCCUAAACUACCAAUUCCAUGGUUACAUUAGUGAUCAUAGUAAAUAAAUCAAGAUGAUAAACCCAUUUUUCCCACCUUAGGAUGAACCCACACCUUUUCCUAAGGCCACAAUUACUGCCUUUAAGGCCUAGAAAUCAAAGUACCGAAUUGGGGAACAAAUUACUUACCUUUACAAAGGUUCUUGAUGAAAAAUGUCUAAAAAAUCCCCUAUGUCGCCCUUGAUUUUGCUCAAGACGUUCUUGGAAAAUAAUGGGCAGUUUUAGGGGUUUUCUGCAUUUUUACUGCAAUUAACCAUGUUGUAGAGGCCCAAUAGGGGCCCAAAUCCCGCUAUUGCAUCCCGAAUCAGCCCCAUAGCAAGUUUGUUUUUACCGUUAUAGUAGCAUGUCACCCGCUAAAGCGACUUGCAUGAGACUGAACCUCUAAAAUCUUCUCAAAUUAGUCUAUUUUGCGACAAACCUUCAAAUCGUUACGUAGUUACACUGACCCCUUUGCACGAAGUUCAAUAAGAGUUCUACUCACCCGAAUUCUCUUUUUUGAAAAGUCCUAUGGACUCCUUUACUUCUUAGCUAAUAGUUAAACCAGCCAAACCGUAGACAUUUUAUCCAAUCCUUUCCCGGAUUUCCCUAGACCUCACCUUGUUCAGAUUUUGUUUGAGACUAGCUUAGCACAAAAUUUUCAACUCACUACCCCAAAAGUUUUCUCACUCAAAUUCUUUCACAUUUGGUUUACCCAUAACAACCGGAAGGGUCGUUACACAACCAAUGCUAGAUAUGCACAUGACUAAACACUUGCAAAAUCAACGUUAAAAAGUUAUCAUUUGAAUUUUGUACUUCAUUUGUGACUUGUGAGUAGUUAUUUUUAUGAAUGUAAUAAUUAAAAAAAUUGUUAUUCACUUAAAAAUUUGACAUUUAAUUCAGGGCUAUUUUUGAUAAUUUUCCCUAGAUUUUAUAAGAUGAUUUGAUGACUAGGAUUCAAUAGAUCGUAUUGCUUAUUAGUGAAGACUGUCAUUUUCUUUUGGCUUUGUGAAUUCUUCUUAUUAUGUUGACAGUUAGAUUUUUGUAGUAUGAUUGUAGAUUGAAAAUUUGUAUAUUUGGUACAUAAUGUUCCGGAAAGUUAUAUUUGGUUCCUAAACCAUUUCAAUUCCAUUCAUAAUGUUCUGAAUUGAUAAAUCCAAAUCUUUUAAUUAUUAUAUAUUUUUUCAUUUUUCAUUUUUCGGGGCCACCUUAUCUUGGUCUAAAGCUUUAAUGUUUAAUGAUAUUUAUGAAUUUUAAAUAUUACUCUCUCCGUCAAUUUUAUAUGAUGUAGUUUGACUUGACAUGGAAUUUAAGAAAGAAAAAAAGACUUUUGAAACUUGUGAUCUAAAAUGAGUGAUAUAUGUUUGUGUGGCUAUGAAUCAUUUCAUUAAAGGUAAAAAGGACAAUUUAAAGUUAAAUGAGUGAUAGAUGUUUAUAUGUCUAUCAAUUAUUUUAUUAAAGGUAAAAUUGACAAUUUAAAGUUAAAUUAUUACUAAAUAUAGAAAUGUGUCAUUUUUUUUGGAACUAACUAAAAAAGUCAUAUAAAUUGGGAUAGAGGGAAUAUAAAUUAUAUAAUUUUGUUAUUUUUUCAUGAUUGCACAAGGUGCGGUGAAAUUCACUAAUCAUCAUAUUAUUUUAUAUUAUCAUAUAUUACUAAAAGUGGGAAUGAGUUUUUGGUUAAAAUCAUCCCUCAACUAUGACUCAAAUCUAAUGUACAUCCUUAUAUUAUCUAAGUGAGCUAAAAACAUCCUUGUACUAUCUAAAAAAUAAAAAGAAUCAUCUUUCAGCCUAUUUUUGUUAAGAAACUCACGCCACCAAUAAAAAAAAUGUGCCAAGUCGAAUAUGAAUAUAUAAACAGAUGGUUAAGCUAGUGAAGUUGGGUAAUUUUUUUAAUUUUUAUAAAUUGAGGAUUUAAAUCAUAUUCGGACAAAUAUAUUCAAAUUUAAUUUAUUUUUUUUGUAAAAAUGUCACGACCUAGACCGUUGUGAUUGACACCCACACUAACCCUCCGGUGGGAGAACCGAUACUACAACCCAACUAAGCAACUUAACCAAGAACUAUGCAUUUAAAGAUACGGAAGCAAGUUUAAAUGACCUAAGAAAUACGGAGUUCCCAUAAACUCCAAAGGUUUAAAUAACUAACUAACCAAACAAAUGCGGAAGUCUUAACCCUUAGAACCUGAAAGUCAUUGUACCAAAACUCUACUAACGACAAGUCUAAGAACAAGGGGUACAACCUCGAAACUAAAUAAACACCUUAAACAAAUAGUCUGAGUCCGAAAAGAGUGGAGUUAAACAAGAGAGAUCCAUGACAGCCUGAAAGAACUGGCUCACCCUUGAAUUCGGUCACGCUCAAUAGCCACCUAGCUGAGGUCUAUCCAUAGCCGCCUGAAGAUGCCCUGUUCUCAACAAAGAACAAGCAAGUGCAAUAUCAACACGUAACCACAAUGUACUGAUAGGAUCACACAACUAUCCCAAUAAGUGAAACACAUGCAAGUAACCACAACAUUAUAAAACAGGCAUAUACCGAACAUAUACAAUAUUAGUAAUCUUUCCAGGAUCAAUGUACAAUUCAACAUUCUCAACAAUACACAUAUGUAUAACAAGUCAUUGGUCCUCUCAUGGAACCCAAACCCAAACAGUUAGUGUACCGGAUCGUGGCACCCGUUCCAAGUUAGUGUGUCGGAUCGUGACACCCGUUCUAAUAUUUAUGUCAAUACAUGACAUUAGAUCCCAGUUAGUGUGUCAGAAUGUGACACCCGCUCCAUUCAACAUACCACAAUCACAAUCACAAUGUACAUUCUCACAAUCAUACAAUUAAGAGGUGAUUCAUGGUAUAUAGUUAUUCGUUCAUACUCAUUUACGAUUAGUGUGAUCAAUAAAGCAACAUUCACAUACAUGCAAUAUAAUGAAGCAAGUUUAAACAUAUAUCACACAACAUGAAAUCACAAACAUCACCUACCUCGAACAAAUCUUGAAUUCCCUAAGAAACUUGAUUCUUCCCUUUCCGAAUUCUUUCCGCUUGUUCUUGGUCUACAAACAAUCAAUAUAACAUAGGAAUCAAUACGAUGUCUAAUUACCCGGAUUAAAGUUAAUACUAUCAACCCUAGAUCAAACCCAUGAUCUUAAUAUCCAAAUUAGGGUUUUUUCCACCAUAAAUUCCAGAUCAAAACCCUCCCCCAUCGAUAAUUACCCAUUAGUUACGUUCUACAGACCGAAACUUGGAUUCGGGGAGUGAAAACCUUACCUUUAGCCUCAUGAAUGGUGGAAAACUAUCAAGAAAACACAUGGGGUAGUUCCUUAGCUCUCAAAGUCAAAAGGUGCAGAAUAAUGACGUUUUGGAGUUUAUUUCCGAUUUAAGUCGCGUCUGUCCCGCCAUAGCGGUCCUCACCCCACUACAACGGCCUCGCCCUGGCGGCACAAAUCCCGCCAUAGCGGCUUGCAUGGAAACAGAGAGCUAAUUUAAGAGUUUCAAAGCCCCAUUUCACAACACACCUUCAUCCCACGACACUCAGAAAAUACCCGUUCAUGCUAAGAUCAAUUUCGGGAGUUCUGCUCGCCCGAAUUCAAUUUCGUAAAGUCGUACGGGUUCCUUAACCCCUUAGCUAUCUACUCUUAUGAUCAAAUUCAUAAUUAUAUCUCCCAUCUCUCACCAGAUUUCCCUAGACCUCAGUGACUCCGAUUUCGUCCAAAACUAGAUUAGGUUGGGAAAUUUCAAGAUACUACCAAAAAGUUUUUCGGUCCAAAUUUUUUCCCCGUUGCCUUUUUCCUAAUGACGGAAUCAGGUAGUUACAAAAAAGUAUGGCCAAAUAUAACCCAAACUACAAAAUAUUCAAAUAAAGUAAUUUUUUUAUUUUCAAAGUAAACGGCUACGUAAUUUCACUAAAUUUCCAACAUUUCUGUACAUUGUUUAAAAUGUGAAUUGCAUUUUAAAAUGAAUUUCUUGCAUAAUCUUUCUAAUCAUCGGAACCUACUGUAUAAAUAUUUCAAGACUUGUGUAUUGUUGCAAGUCAAUUUACUUGAUGAUGCAAAAAAUUAUAAAUUAACAACACACAAAAUUUAAAUUCUUGAGAAUGAAAGACUCAUUUUCUAUCCAUAUGUUUAUUCUUUUUAGGUAACUUUAAUCUUCUUGUUGUGGCUAAAACUUGAUGAACAAAUUAAAAAAUAUUUUGUUUAUUGCCUCAAUCAGUUUCUUAACAAAAAUCGACUGAAGGACGGUUCUUGUUAUUUUUUGAAUAGUAUAAGGAUGUUUUUUGCUCGCUUAAAUAAUAUAAGGAUGUACAUUAGAUUUGAGUCAUACUUGAGGGAUGAUUUUAGCCAAAAACUCAAGUGCGAAGCUCCAAAGAUGAAAAGUUAGAUUACCAUUUUACCCCUAGGUUAAAUUGAACAUCUAAUUAAUUAAAUAUUAAAAGAUAAUAUUUUAAUUAUUAUAAAUUGUUAGUUAUUUAUUAUAAAGACUAUGAAAGAAUCAUUAUAUUUAUUUUAAUAGUAUUUGACCUUUCAAUUUUCCAUGUGACUUUUCACGUUUCCGUAAUUUUUCGGAAGCUCCAAAGAUGAAAAGUUAGAUUACCAUUUACCCCUAGGUUAAAUUGAACAUCUAAUUAAUUAAAUAUUAAAUAACAAUAUUUUAAUUAUUAUUUGAAUUGUUAGUUAUUUAUUAUAAAGACAAUGAAAGAAUUAUUAUAUUUAUUUUACUCCUACGCUAAAUUAAACAUUCUAAUUAAUUAAAUAUUAAAUAACAAUAUUUUAAUUAUUAUUUGAAUUGUUAGUUAUUUAUUAUAAAGAUAAUGAAAUAAUCAUUAUAUUUAUUUUAAUAGUAUUUGACCUUUGAAUUUUCCAUGUGACUUUUCAUGUUUCCGUAAUUUUUCGAAAGCUCCAAAAAUGAAAAGUUAGAUUCAUUUUACCCCUAGGCUAAAUUAAAUAUUCUAAUUAACUUUAUUAUAUAAUAAUAUUUUAAUUAUUAUUUGAAUUGUUAGUUAUUUAUUAGUAAGACAAUGAAAGAAUUAUUAUAUUUAUUUUACCCCUAGGCUAAAUUAAACAUUCUAAUUAAUUAAAUAUUAAAUAAUAUUAUUUAAAUUAUUCUUUGAAUUUUUAGUUAUUUAUUAUAAAGAUAAUGAAAGAAUCAUUAUAAUUAUUUUAAUAGUAUUUGACCUUUCAAUUUUCCAUGUGACUUUUCAUGUUUCCGUAAUUUUUGUUCUAUAAAUUCAACUUUUCCAAGAAAGACUUUUAUUUACUACUCCGACAUUUCUUGUGUGUAGGAGCUCUAAACAGGUGAAAUAAUGUCACAAUUUGUGGUGAAAGUUGUGAGAUCCCCUUAUACAGUCAUGAUAAUAGACAAGAAUUCAACUAUUGAAGCAUCGAAGCUUGGUGUGUUGGUUUUAUAUUUAUUUGUAGUAAUUAGAAUUAUAAUAAUACUUUUCUAUCCCUCUUCAUAUAGUUGAAUUGUUGUUUUGUUAGCAACUUGAUUUAAUUGCAGAUUUUUAUUUUGUAUGCUCAAAUAUUCAGUUUUCGUUAUAGAGACAAAAGCAAAAAAAAAGAAGAAGCCUAAUUGUCUUGCUCAUGUGCAUCUUUUUUUUUUUGUUCUUUGUACUUAUAAUUUUACAUAUACAUUAACUUUCAUCUUUAAGAAUGAAUGUGAUAAAAUGUUUACUCUUUUUUAUUAUUGGAAAAAAGAAGAAGAAGGUGAAACAUAUAACAUUAGAUUAAUGAUGGAUAAGUUAUGUAUGAAGAGAAAAUUAAAUUCUAUAUAAAAAUAGUAGUUAUGUUCAUAAAUAUCCUGAUUUUUAAAAUAUAAAUAAUAAGAACUUUUACACCUUAGUUUUAAAUAUUUAUAAUUAACUAAUUAGUUUAAAGUGCUUGUGGAUAAAAAAUUAAUAUAAUAUUUUGAACACAUUCAUUAUAAUUAUUAGGAGAUUCAAAAGACAAAGUAAAAAAGUUGAAAGGUUUUUGUUUUCCUUUCACUCAAAGUUAAUCUUACACCAUUUUUGGUACAAAAAAAUAAAUAAUCUCCUCUCAAGCUUUUAAUUGAAGAAACAUUAAUAUUGCACUAUGAUUUGCAGAUGAUUACUCUCAUGCAAUCUUUUGAUCUUCUAACAUUAUUCUACCAACAAAAAGAAACUUUUAACACUAUCGAGAAAUUUAAUUUAGAUAGUUGUUAUCUUUUCCUUUUUUGCUUUACAAGCUUAUUUUUUGACUUAUAAAUAGAGUUUAUUUUAUUAACUUCUUAUAUUAUUAUCUCAGUACAUUCACUUGGAGGUCAUGAAAUUGGUGUGUCACAAUUAGUAGUAAGACAAAGUAAGAAACUUCAUUAGACAUAUUUUAUAAAAAAGAACUCAAAUCAUAUUUUUUAAUAGUAUUUAUUUUUUAAAGAAAUAAUAUACUCAUUAAUACGGGUUACACGGGCAAAGCGCGUUCCCUGAAACUAGUAUUAUUAAAAAUGGGAAGCUUCAAAUUGCAAAGAUGGAUUACUAUUUUACCCUUAUACUAAAUAAGAAAGUUACAAAACAUCUAAUUAACUCAAUAUUAAAUAGUAAUCAUAUCAUAUCAUUAUAAUAUUAUAUUUUCACGACCCGAAAAGUUAACUUAUGGUGACACCUACAAUAACCCACCAGUAGGUAAGACAACUCAUAUCCAAGAACGACAAGUAAUAUGCAUAUUAAGUAGAAACAACAAACCAUAAGGAAUAAAGAGAAGUUCAAAAGAUAUACAUCAGAAAAAGAUAACAACAACAAUAUAUACAAACCAUAAAAUAGAUCUAGUUCCAUGACUUGGUAGGGCCAAGUACAAAGCUACAAAAAGAGAGUACAAGUCCCAAAAGUAUAACAAAAGUAUAGACUUGUAUCGUAUGCAAUAGUACCCAGAAACUACAUCUAGAGGGAGAUAAGUUGAGCUUGAAUGUCACCAACUCACCCUCAACAUCAAAGAUCUCCGCAGCUGGACCGAAUCAACUCUGGUUGCUGGCACUAGGAUCUGCAUCACGAGACAGAUGUAGAGUGUAGUAUGAGUACCAAAAAAAGGGCACCCAGUAGGCAUCAUAGACCGACUGAGCUCGGAAAGUAAAGACAAUAUGAAAAUUGAGAAACAAAAGAAACUAUAAGUCACAAGAUGAACCGAUAACAAAAAACUUCACUGUAUGGCACACGAGACUAGGAAAGGACAAACGGUAAAGUAACCAGCUAACUAUUACCUAACUGGACCCUAUAUGUCUAGAAGGUACACUCAUGUGCAAUUGAAAGUAAAUUACCCAAAUAGACCCCUAUAAGCCUGAAGAGUGCACAUAAGAGCUAAGAAAUCUGCUAGCUGAGUUAAGAAAUAUUUCAGAACAUAAACGAAUCACCAAGUGAGGAAUUGAACCGGACUCACAGAAGUGACGCUCAGACUUUAACAAUGUCUAGUAGGGAUACACAUGGCCCUCAAAUCCUGGAUGAUAGGAAUGCACACAGACCUUGAAUUGAAGGUAGUAAUCAUCAACAUAAAUCUCAAACCGUGGAUAAAGAACUCCAAAUGUUUCAAAAUAUCUCGCUUGUCCUCAUACAGAACCACAACAUAGAGCAAAACCAUCUUGGAAGCCACCAAGGAUGAACUCCAGCUCCCAACCUAAGACUCAAUUUAACAGACUUCAUGGCUCGAAAUCGCCAAUGAACACACCCGGGUCAAAUCAUAAGGGAAAAUAUGGAUGUACAGUCAUACGAGUUGAGUUCUCACCUAGCUAAGGAUCAUACUGUGAAACUCAAGCCUGCUAUAUCAGUCUACAUGGAGCUAAGUUGUCCAAAGCAAUGUCAGAGAAUCUCUAAGACCUAUCAACUCCAAAAUGCAAGUCUAAGAUAAUCACUAGCCUACGCCUAGACUAAGUCCCAGAAAAAAUCUAGAAAUAACAAUAUAAUGACAACAUGGAAACCACAGGGAAAUGUAUAGUCAACUCAACCAAAAUAGGCAUGCUUGAUUCCUUAGGAAACCUGAAAAUAAGGCUAACAAAUGAAUCUCUACUAUUAAAAAUGAUACGAUCUACAACCCAACCCAAACCUAGAUAAUCAUUAUGAAUUUAGUGUUACAAGCUCAAUAUAAAGACCCAUAAGUUGUAGCCUAACUUUAAGUUGGUCGUGCACUCCAAAAUCACAAUUAUGGAGUUUUCCCCUUCUCAAUGGCCUCCGGUCACUAACACACUAUCAAAUAAAUGAUCACAAAAAUCAAUACGAAUGUUUUGAUACCAAAAUCGAAAUAAUUGAAGAUAGACCCAAAAAUGAGUCAAAAACUCAAUUAUGGGAGCCGCAAUGGGAAUUCCAAAAUUAACUCUGACAAUUGGUUGUUAUUUUUUCAAGGAACUUGUUCCUUGAAAACGGGUACUAUACAAGCCUUAAAAUAUCACCACAUAACACAUGCAUCAAAAUUAACAUGAAAUCCACCAUUAAUGUCUACCAAGGGAGGUUCAGGAUGAUGAUUUACCUUCUAGACGAGUCCCCCCACACUCUCCCGAUGAUCUGAAAUGUUGCCUCAACAAAUUUCUAGCAAUUAGCAACUUAAAUAUCUCAAUUUGGAACUCCCUAGAUCGAGAAUCAAGUUCUCCAUAAGUGAAACUAAGCUGAAAAUGAGACACAUCUUCAUUAAAACACUAAUCAAAUAACCAUCGCAAACUCAGGACCUUGUCCUUAAUCGCAAGAGGUCCAACCCCCAAAGCUUCACGAAUGUGACGCCGAGCCCUUAAUGCGAAGGGUCAACCUCUUGACCUUCACAAAUGCUGCUUAAGGUCCACAAACACGAUGACCAAUCCUAUUAGUCUCCACAAAAGAGACACUUGUCUCGUGAAUGCGGAGGCUUUCAGACUGAUUUUGAGAAACCUUAUGGCUUAUGGCUAACAUAGAGUUUGGGUGUAGGACACACUUUUUAUAGAGACGACCUUUAUUGGAAGUUUUUUCAGUUCUGUUGAGUACAAAAUGUCAUUUCUUAUUGAGUAGAAUUUUAGGUUUGCGUUGAUGGGAUCUAAAUCUAAUUUAGAAAGUUCGAUGGAGAUUUGGGAUUUUAGUCCCAAAUGUUGAUGAACCAUUUGUUGGUGUAGUUGCUCCUGUGGAGUCUAGCUCGCACUUAAGACCUCGCUUAUGUGGAGCCAAAGGCCUCUCCAGGGGGUUGGCUGCAUAAGAAAGUCUUUUCUUAUGAGGAGAGGCCAUCACACCUAUGGGAUUGUGCCUUAUGAGAUGAUUUGUCGGUGACCCUCACACCGGUGGCCAAUUUUUUGCUUCGACGGCAUCACGCAUGUGUCAUUGGGGUCAUCAAAGAGGCACAUAUAGUGAUUAAAUGAUAGUUCUUCCUUCAUUAUUUAAUUUAUCAUUUAUUAGAACUGAGAUCUCCUCUUGAGUAAUUUUUUUGCUUUAGGUUGAGAAUAUCUUGGGGACGUCAUCUCAGUCGUCAUUCUCGCUUCUAAAUUGUAAGUCCUCAUUAAUUCUCUUAAUAUUUCUCGAAUUGGUUCUUGUAAGCUAACUUAUGUUAGCUUAUUUUGUGGCAUUUAAGGGUCAAACUGUAGCCAUUUUAGGGGAAUAAGUUUCUUGAGGUAGUUGGGUCCUAUUAGGUGAGUCAAUUUUGUGAUUCCUUGCACAUGUCCUCACCGUUUUGACCCAAUUUUGAACCCAAGUGUAAUUAUUACAAUAUGUGUAUUGUCAUACUCAUUGUGAAACGUAGUUAGUAUCAUGGAAUUCAAAGGACAUGAAGAAGAGUUGACCAGCUUGUGGUCGGUUCAAGAUUUAUAGUUCGGCUUCUCGGUAGGCUAUGGUUUACUUUCUUUUAGAUUAUACUCCAUGAUAUAUUAAUUAUUAUGAAUUGCAUGUGGGUUAGGGAUGUAUAUGGAGGUUUAGUUUUACUUCAUUAUUCUUAUUUUCUUGGUUUCCAAAGGAGCCUCAGGCUAGGUUAGUCUUACAAGAUCCUUAGCUUAGACUAGUAUCCCCUACUUACAACUUAGUUUAGUGUUGUCCUCUUCAGAGAUGAUGUUCAACAACUUAGAAUAUUUAGUGAACUGAGUGCCUUAGAGAGAGCGUUUAGUGAUUCCUUAGCUAUUAUUGUUGCUAUGUGUAGUAAUUACAAUAGAUUGGAACCCUCUACUAGUGCGUUGACGGAGGGCUUGGUUUGGUGUUGUAAGGAUUCACCUCAAAUACACCCUUAGACUUGGUAGUAAUCUCUAUCACAUGUUAGGUUAUGGAACCUUAGUUUAUUGGUUGUUCUUAGUGUUCACUUGAGUAGUACCUUUGGGUAGAGGUUGAGACCCUUGGGUUACUUGUCCAAUUGCUUGAUUUUUCACAGUUUCCUUUGUUUCCUGAGUUUUGGUGAUUAUUAUUAGAUAUUAUUAUUGAGUAUGUUGGAAUGUUAUUUCACUCGAGGCCCUGGUGUAGAACCAACUGGAUUCCAAGUUAUUUUCCCAUGCUCUAGAAUCACAGUGUUCCAUUUACGUACAUUUUAUUGUUUAGAUGUUUAUUGUUUCUACACAGGUGAUGGCAUGUUUUGCAUGGAUACUCAUUUUCAUAUGUUUUCUGGUACGAUCCGAGUAAAUCAUUGAUUUUAAGUUCCAUUUUAGAAGGCAUGGUUUUUCACUUUUCCCCUUAAAACUAGUUUUGAUGGGAGUCAUAACACUUUUACUACUUUAAUAAAUUGAGUUUUAAGUUAAAGAGGCAACAAGGAUGCGCUCACUACUUACUUCAUUGGUCGAUUAGAUUAUAGACUCUUUCUUACAUUUUUACUUAAUGGUCGAGGAGAUUGUCGUCCCUUUCCUACCAUCUAUUUGAUCGAUUGAGCAGAUUUCCGACCCUUUCUAUAUUGAUGUGGUUUUCAUAUGUAUCGCCAAUACUUUGAUAGAGUAUAUCUGGUACUCUGAUAGAUAGUCUCCGAAAGUCUUGCAUCGGAACAAAGUAGUAUAUAAGGACUUCCUGAAUCCCCUACCAGUCCUUCCGUCUAUGUGACACAUUGAACAAGAGAAGUAGUGUCUGCAUGGGUCCUAACUAGCAUGCCAGGGGCAGGAGGUUUGUAUAUAUACUGUUACGUGGAUCUUGGUAUUGAUGGCACUACCUGUUUUCUUUGCAUACUUUCAUUCAUAUGCUAGCUUGUUACCAGUACAAUAAAUUGUUGUUUACACCUGCUGGUCUUAUGGGGGCGGUUGGGUUAUGUUUGUUGUUGUGUACCUCCUAGUCUUCUGGGGUUUGGUUAGGUUAUUGUUUGAUUGUAAUUUUUUAUUUUGUGUUAGUCGAUAGUUUUAAAAUAAUAUUGGCCUAGAUUUUUUCCCUUCAAUUUCCUCUAUAUUAGUACUUCCAAAUAUCAUUGAUAAACACAAUCACAAAUAUGUCAAGAUAUUAGUUGAAGACCCUAGUCAUCAAAUCCAUGAAGGCCGUCGGGGAAUUAGUCAAACCAAAAGAUAUCACAAAAAACUUAUAAUGUCCAUUUCGAGUUCAAAAAGCCAACUUUGGAAUGUCAUUGUCCUUCACCCUAAAUUUGUUAUAACCCGACCGAAGGUUAAUCUUAGAGAAGUAACUCUCUCCUUGGAGUUGAUAAAAAAAGUCACAUGUCCUUGGAAUAGGAUACUUAUUCUAUAGUAUGACCUUAUUCAAUUGUCGUUAGUCAGGGCACAUUCAGAGAGAACCAUCCUUUUCCAAACAAACAAUACUGGAGAACCCCAUGGUGAGAUACUCGGUCUAAUGAAACUCUUAUCUAAAAAAUCCUUCAAUUGAUCCUUUAACUCCUUAAGUUUUGCUGGGGUAAUAUGAUAAAGAUGAAUAAAAAUAGGCUGCCUAUAUGGUAGAAGGUCAAUACCGAAGUCUAUUUCCCUUUCAGGAGGAAUACGAGGAAGAUCAUCAGCAUUAACUAACAAAAACUCAUUUACAAUCAAAACUGACUCAAGAGUAGGGGUUUCAGAGUUUGUAUCCCUAACCCUAACAAGCUGAUAAAUGCAAUCCUUAGAAAUCAUUUUCAUAGAUUUUAGGCAAGAUAUAAACUAACCCUUAAGACCAUGAUUUCCCCUUCCCAUGACAUGACAUGAUAGGUUCGUUGGGAAAAUGUGACCAAUCGGGUCCUACAAUCUAUGGAAGCGUAACAUGCAUGAAGCUUAUCCAUCCCAAGAAUAAUAUCAAAAUCUAACAUAUCAAGCUCUCAAUAUCAACAUGAGUGACUCUAUGAGAAACAAAAACAUGACAAUUUCUAUAAACUGUUUUAGUGAAUAACAGAAUCACCAAUGGGAGUAGAGACAUAAAAAGGAUUAGAAAUUAUUUUGGGACCAACAUCAAAUCUCAUAGGCACAUAAGGAGUAACAAAUAAUAACGUAGUACCAAAAUCAAGCAAAGCAUACAUACCAAAAUGAAAGACUUUCAACAUACCAGUCACCACAUCUAGAGAUCUUUCAUGAUCCUGUCGGGUCUGAAGAACAUAAAAUAUAUUCUAAUGAGGAGCACCCAAACCCGAACCACUAUCUAGGCUGAGCUCGUACCAUCCUUACCAUUUCUACCUUGUAAUGGACAAUGCUUCACUUUGUGACCACUCUUUCCAUAACCAAAGAAACCAUCCGUACCGGCUAAAGAUUUUCCCGAGUGAGUCUUACCACACCUUUGUAAAAUGGGAACAAAAUAUCAAUUACCACCACCCCCUUGAAUCUUAGGGUUAGACACCCUAUAUUUAUUGAACUUAAAGGUUGGAGCAUUGGAAGAACCUUGACCUGAAAACUUUUGCUAGAAUUGAGGACGCCCAUGUCCACCAGACCUUGAAUGAGGAAAGUCACCAUCACUAGUCCUUUCCCUCUUGGAAUCUCUUGUCCUUUCCUUGAUUAUUUCCUCUUCAAUUUUUUGGGAAUGUGUCAUCAAACGGGAUAUAUUCAUCUCCUUAAUCAACAAGGCGGUUCAACAUUCUUUAACAACCAAAUCAGAAACACCUGACACAAACUUAUUCAUUCUUGUCUAGAGUCGACAACCAUUGUUGGAGUAUACUUAGACAAUUGAGUGAAUUUCAAUGAAUACUCCUUCACACUCAUAUUUCUUUGACAAAGAUUAAUGAAUUCAAGCACCUUUGCUUCUCUCAUCUCAAGAGGAAAAAAUCAAUCAAGAAAAGCCCCUUUAAAUUUGCCUCAAUCAAAAGUACCCGUAUCAACCGCCCUUUCUUCCUUUCAUCGGUUAAACCAAACUUGUGCAACACCUUUGAAUUGGUAAGCAGCAAAUUUUGCCUUUCUACCCUUGACACUCCCAUAAUUCCCACUAUCUUAUAGGCCUCAUCAAUGAAUUUUUUUAGGAUCCUUAUCAACCUUGGAACCAUGGAACUCUGGAGGAUUCAUCCUACUGAAGUCCCUUAUCCUUGUUGCCAUCGUACCCAUAUUUGGGUUCACGGGAGCAAUGACUUCUAUAUUCGCUUGGGUCAUCAUAUUUUGAGCCAACACUUGAAAAACAGUUUGAAAUUUGGCAUGAGUAACUUGCUCGGCCAAAGGGUCAAUUGGGGCUUGACGAACCUUGGGCUCCACAAUAUUAGCCACGUUUAUUCUCACAUAAGCUCUUCGAGGGGCCAUACCCUGAAAAAGCAUCAGACAAUAAUUAGGAAAAGGACAUUGAUAUAAAUCCAUGGCACGAGUUUAGAGUAGUUAAAGAAGUGCAGUUUCCUAAAUGCUUUGUAGCCUCCUAUUCAUAAAUGUGGCGCGCUUCAUACUCAUGAAUACGACUCUAUUUAACACGGCUUAUCAGACAUUCUAUGUACUUUUUCUUAAACCUUGUGCUCUGAAUACCAAGUUUUUCACAACCCAAAGUACACCCUAGACGGGACAUGGCGUAUAAGACCCUAAGAGGACCUAAACAAGCCCUUUGACAUACAUCCACCAUAAUAUAAUAGACAAAAACAAAAAUUCUCAUAUUAUUUAAGAGUUUGAUAUAAAAGAGGAAGUCUAACAUAGUCUCAAUAAGUCAAUCUAAUACAUCAAAAUAAGUGGUCGGGAUGUAACCCGUACACCAUGUAAAAUGUCUGAAACUAAAACAUAAGAAUAGUAAGUAAAGGUGACAUGGUACUCGAAACAUGAGGACUCACCAAAUCUUCAAAUGUAGAGAAUCCAAAUCUAAACACGAGUGGGAGGAGAUGAAGCGUCACACCCUACAUUAUUGGAAAAUGUAGGCAUAAGUAUGAGUUAUUACAUUGAAUAUACUAAAUAUGAGGUAUAUUCAUAAACAUGAAAACAUGAUUAUAAGGGGACAUAAUAGGAAAAUAUGAUAUGCAUGACCAAGCUAAACAUAGUAAAAACUUUAUGGAAGGAUCAUAAAAUAUGAACAUGGUCAAUGCAUCUUAGAAUCAUAUGCAAGCUUCAUAAAACCUUAGAAAUUAACUUAGUUCAUUUUGUGGGAUAUUAGCUUUAACCUCAAAUAGACCAUGUGAGUUAUACCAUGUAAUCUAAUGUAACUCCCACAUCGAGAAUGAAGAGUCUACUUGUCAAGGUAGAACUUAGCAUCAUAUCAUAUUCUAUUUAUUGAUCUACUAGCUAGGUCAUUUAAGAAAAUUAUAUGGGGCACGUAGUUUGGAACUAGAGGUUGCUACUAGAGACAACCCUAUUUGAGCCUCCACCUCAAAGUUCUCUCGGUGCUAAGCUAAAUCUCAAAAGAAUAGUCAAUUUCAUAAAGAGAAUCAUCAUAUAUGGAUAAACACAGUUUACUUACUAAUCCAAGCUUAAAUCAUUAUAUAGGAGCUCCUUAAACCAUGUGUGAAAAAACCUUUCACCAUUCAUGAUUUCUUAAUGUGAGAAAACUUUUCACAAUUUCAUUGAUGUUUCUCUUGAAAUCAACCUUUAGAUCAUAAAAAUAUUUUCAUCAAUCAUGCAUAAACAUUAAUAAAUCCUCAUUCACAAAUCCAUAACUUUCUUCAUAAACUCAUAUCUUCAUAAAUUCACGGUCAAAAUCCUGAAUAAUGCAUGUGUCUUAAAGAAAUCAAUAGAAAAUCGUGUAGUUUAAUAAAGACUUGCAUAGGAAUAUUGAAAUUCAACAAUUAAAUGAACAUCAAUUAAGACCCAUGAAGAUCAGAUGAAACCCUAAGCAAUUUAGGAUAAAUUGAAUUGGAAACUUAGAAAUCCUUUAGGACCCAUUGGAUAAAUGAAAUCCAAUGGUAAAAUUCCAUAUACCUUGAAUAAUCCUAGCUUUAGAAUUGAAAGAGGAGACUUGGAGCUUGAAAGUCCCUUGAAUCUGUUGAAUCCUUGGGAGAAAACUUGGAGAAAUUUUGGUGUUUUGAGUGAAUGAGAGGGAAUGGGUGGAUUAGGGUAUUUAGAAAUAAUUUAUACUAAUUUAGAAUAGGUAAAAAAUGACAUAAUGUAGGGUAAACAGUGUUGGAAAAUACCCAAAUAGCCCUGACUUAAAACUGUCGAAACACUCUCUACGGAAGCCUUUCACUGACCCUCAAUCACUUUAGUGUUCGUCAACCUUUCCGUACACCCUUGCCUUAGAUUAUUUUCUCCAAGGUUCACGUCCAAGGAUGGGUUUACUGAUGGUGGACCCUUUCCCCAUCCAUGAACCCAUCCGUAGACCACUGCCUUAGAAUAUUAUUCACUAGGUUCAUGUUCAAGGAUGGGUUCACUAACUGUGGACCCUUUAAACUUCCCUAAAACCAUCUGUAGACCAUUUACUUAGGAUAAUUUUCACAAGGUUUGGGUUCGAGGUUGCGUUCACUCACUUUGGAUAUUUUUCACAAGGUUUAGGUUCAAGGUUCGGUUCACUGACUGUGGACCCUUUCACCUUCCUUGAACCCAUCUAUAAACCAUUGCCUUACAAUAUUUUUCAAAUGAUUCGGGUUCAAGGUUGGGUUCAAUGAUCAUGAACCGUUUCACCUUCCUUGAACCCGUCCAUAGUCCAUUGCCUUAGAAUAUUUAUCACAUGGUUCGGGUUCAAAGUUGGGUUCACUGACUGCGGACCCUUUCACUUGCCCUUACAAGUCCACUUUUCACAGAUUUCCAACUGGCUUUUCUCAUUCAAACUUCCAAUUGAAUUUUAAUACUUUCGAGGAGUUACAACUGUCGUUUUUCAGAAAAUUUGAGAUUUGAGCAUGUUCUACAUUUCAAUCAGGACUACUCCUAGUCGAUGUCAUCCUUUGUUUUGCUUGGGUAUUACAUAUGUCCCACGAUGGUUGUGUUGAUAGUUCACGAGGUCAUAUUUUUUAUUUGAGUUAGGUGUAAUGGCAUUCGGUGAUGGCCUCUAAACUUCAUCCUUUAUUUAGGGAUGGAAAUAUGCUUAGAAGGUUCAUCCAAAGGAUGCGAGAUUAGCUUUUGAUAUUGUGAUUAAUUUACCUUGUUCGUUGUUGGGAGUGCAUUUCAUUUGGGUAACUAUUAACAAGUUUACUAUGCUUAAGCACUACCUACCGACUUAGUUUCCUUUAGAUUAGAGUGGUUGGCUCAUACUUGCACUCGAGGGGUAGUUAGUGGACACUUGACAUAAACUUUUAUUACCUUGGGUAGAGAUUUUCAUUUUAGCAUGACCUUUCUAAGAGUUCCUUUGGUAGAGGGAAUACAUUGAAGUUGGGUUAAAUAUUGUUUCACUCAUGGAAUGGUCGUCCUAUUGAGUAACUUGUUCAAUUUUGAGAGGCUACAUUUCAAGCUUCUGUUGUUGAUUUCGGGAGUCAUUGAGACUAGAUUUUGGACUUGUGCCCUAGGAUGAGUUGCUUAUAUUAUGCUUUUCCACUCUUGGAUGUCCUGGUGGGCAUGUCAUUUUUUUUAUGUUUGCAAUAGUGUGGUUAUGCGGGAAAGACUCAGAUGAUGCUGGGAGAACCAUUAUAGCUCAAAACAGGUAGGAUACUCUUGAUGACUAGAACAUAUUUGGCUUGGAGCAUGAAGUGAAUAAUCUAAUUUGUGAGUUGUCUUGCAUCUUCCCAUAUCAUUUUUUUCCAGUUAUGUGGUAUCUAUGUGGUAUUGAUGCAUCUCAAAUGAGUAUGGCGCUUUAGUCGAGUUCGGUUUGGUUGGAUGAAAGUUUUCAUCAAAUGAAGGAGUUAGUAGUUGGUUUUGUGUUUUUGCGCGAAAGAAGUGAAUUUGAGACUAUUCUCCAAGCCUAAAUUUUGGGAUAGUGUUUUUUGAUCUAAGAGGGUGUUUGGAAGUUUGGCAGAACAUGCAGACUUAGUGCCCUCAUCUUUUCGAGCAUUCAUUAUUCUUCUUGUGUUUCUUAAUUCUUGCAAAUAAAAGUCCUUUUAGUAAUGAAUGUUGUAAUAACCCUUUAUCUCAUUUAUUUUAAUUUUCCUAUAUUGUUGGAAUUUAUAGCUUUCUUAUAAAGACCCCAAGUCAUUUAUGGCUUGCUGAGACUGCCACUUUGGUAACUUAGUUACUCGUUUGUUUUUAUGCAAGUUUUCUUAUUUUGGAAGUUCACAAGUCUGAGUGGUUGAAUUUGUUCAAAACUUCAGGCAAACGACCACAUAAUACAAUUUUUAUGGUUCUGUUUGCUCUGGAACGUCAAGUUUGGUCUAGAAAGACCUUAUAUUAAGGACCUAAGGCUUCCAAACUCAUUUUGAGUAACCUUAUGGCUUAUUGCUAAAAUGGAUGGGUUUGGGACCCACUCUUUGUUAAACGACCUAUGUUAAAAGUUAUAACAAUUUCAUUGUGUUCAGAAUGCCAUUUCUAAUUUGGUAGUAUAUUCGGUUUGCAUUGGUGGGACCCCAAUCUAAUUCAGAAGGUCCGGUGGAGAUUUAGGAUCUUCGUCCCAAAUGUUGAUUUAACAUUUGCUAGUGCAGCUAUGUUUGUGGAGCUUAGGCUCGCACCUACGACCUUGCUCUUUUGGAGCCAAGUUUGCUUGUGCGGGCUGUCUUUGUCAGCAAGUCUUCCCUCGUGCAGAAAGGUUUUCGCUUCUAUGAGAUCGCACCUCCGGAGAUGGGUCCUCUCCUAUAGAUAUGAUUGGCCCGCAAAACCUUGCACCAAUGAUCUUUUACACUUUUGUGACAUCACACAUGCAACGUCGGUGUCGCCAGAGUGAAAUUGCAGUGAUUAAAUCAAUGUUCUUUCUUUGUUAUUUCAUUUUUCCAUUUAUGAGAAUUGAAAUCCCUUCAUGUGAUUUUUUUUGAAGAUUUCUUUACGUUGGGAUGGAAUAGCUUGGGAUGUUGUGCGGGUCUGCAUCCUCUCUUUUAUAUCGUAAGUCCUCGUUAAUUUCUCUGAUUAUUUCUUAAAAUGGUUCUUGUAAGUUACUUUAUGUUAGGCCUAUUUUAUUGCAUUUAAGCUUGGAUUGUGCCAAUUUUGGGGAACAAUUUCUUUGAGCUAGUUGGAAGCUAUUAGUUGAGUCAAUUUUGUGAUUCCUGGUCUGGGUUCUCAUUCACCAUUUUUUACCCAAUUUUGGACCCAAGUAUAAUUAUUGCAACAUUGGUAUUGUUUUACUCAUAAUGACAUAUAAUUUAUGAUAUUGAUAGUUGAUAAGUCUGAGAUUUUAACUUAUUUGAGGCCUUUUUAGUUCAAAAAUUAGUGUCCUCCAUGACUUUUUAUGUCCAUAUCUAAUGAUUUAUUGCAUUUGUAGCAAUGAAGAGGCAAGUAUGAAAUCACACAAAAGAGGCUAAAAACAUGGAAAAAGAGUAAAACUAUAACAUGGAUACUCGUUAAAAGGCACUUAGCGACUCACUGAGUGUACCAGACCUCGCCAAAAAUUACAGGGUCUUCAACUAAAAUGAUCAAGGCAGGUCGGCGAGAUGAUGGGUAAAUGUAGAUUUACCAAACUAAAUCGACGGGAUGAAAAAUAAUCACUGAAAGUGACAUAACAAUUUGUUUAAAUUGGAGGCCAAGGAUGUGAGAUUGGAUGAUAUCGGUGACUCACCGAAUGUGAAUGGACAACUCCAUCGAGCUCUCCAAUUGCGGUUUAACCACUUGAAGCCUAAAGCCAAGGAAAGGCGAGAAGAAGAGAAAUUCGGUGACUCACCGAAUGAGUCGGCGAGCCUGACUAACAUUGCCAACUGGGUCAUUUAAUGAUGUUUUGGCUUAUUUUUCGGGGAAAUAUAAAUAGUCGAAAAGCGAGAGAAAAAUACAUCUUUGAUCAUAUAAUUUGGAUAUGAGACUCUCUGAUUUUUAGAAUAUUAUAGAACUUUCUAUUUUCUAGAGUGAAAAAACAAGUGUGUAACCCUUCUUUUGGGGGAAUUCGGAAGUGGGUCUCUUAAAUUGAAGUUGCAAAUCAAUAAUCUGAUGGUCGAGAAUGUUUUUCGAUAUCUUUUCUUUUACUUUUCACAUGAUUGGAUUAAACUCAUAUUCUAGAGGUGUACAAAUGGAGUUGGAUUUUGAUUAAAUUGGUGGAGUAGUAAGUAUUGCUCUGUUUUACUUUGAUUUCCAUGGAUUCAAAUUGAUUAUCAUGUGUUCAUUUUUAAUUGAGGUUGCAAACUUAGUUCUACUUUAGAUAUUCAUAUAUUGCUUGAGAAAGAGUAUUUGAAGUGGGUAAUUGAUUUGAUGCUUGCAUAUUAGUUUAUAAUUCGUUAUUUGCUUGAGAAAGGAAUUUGGGGUUUCAUCUCUAAUUGUAAGUCUUGAGAGAUAAGAUUUAUGUUUAAGUAUUGGGUUGUUUAGUAGAUUACACACGGGAAUGUCUAAGAGGAAUUCUUGUGAUAAGCAUAUUGUGAUUGAUAAAUACGAUGGGUGUUGGAGAUUGAGUCAACCUAUCUAUGUGUAAUAAGGUUAUUAGAUACCAAUUUGGAUUGCAAUAUACCAAUUGAAAUCAAGUUAUAGAAGGAAGAAGGAAGAAAUAAGAGAAUUUUCCUUAGGUCAAAAUACCAAUUGGAAUCAAGUUCUAGAACGAAGAUGGAAGAAAGAAGAUAAUUUUCCUAAGGUCAUAUAGCCUCCUAAAGAAAACUACAGACUUCUUCUUACCGUUUUGAAAGACUAUACAAGACUUUUUUCGGUACGAUGAGAUUAAAGAACCUAGGACUUUGAUACCAACUUUUCAUGACCCUAAACUGCCAUGAGUGGCAGUGACACUAACCCCCAAUGGGAGAACCAACUAUCUACUCAAAUAGAAAGUGUAAAAGACAAUCAAACGUAAUCAGUUUCAAAGAUUUUAAAACAAUAUUUCAGUAAAUAAAAGCAAGUUGCAAUAAAGAGAAAAAUCAUCAAACAAUGUGGAAGUAAGCCCCCAUAGAAACUGAAAGUCGUAGUACCAAAACUCUAAUUGUCUAAAAUAUAGGGGAUACAACCCCAAAACUUAAGAAUCAUAAUUCUAAACAGUAUAAGUCCGAAGAUAUGGACUAAAAAGACCAUAGGAAUCCAUAGACGCUUGGAAGAUGUAUCUCACCCUUGGAUUCAAAUAUCACACGUCUCACAGUUGAGGUCUUGAAGCAAGCGCCUAAAUAUGCCCUCUACUCAACAAAGAAAGAGCAAGUGCAGUAUCAGUACACAAUCACAAUGAACUAGUAGGAUCAUCGACUAGUUCCAGAAUAAGAAAUAUGAAUUAAGCAACUACAACUUAGUAAAAUGGACGAUAUACAAUUUCAACAGAAGUACAACAUAGUCUGGACUCCUAGUCCUUACUCUGAAAUGUUCUGCAUAAUAAACAUGAACAAUCACAACAUAACAAGCCAAUUCGGUUUUCUCAUGAAACCCACACACAAACUGUUAGUGUACCUACGUGGUACCUGAUCCACUUGUUAGUAUGUACUAGUGUGGCACCUAUUCCACUCAUUAGUAUGUACUAGUGUGGUACCCGAUCCAAUCAUUAGUAUGUACCACCGUGGUAUCAAAUCCAAUCAUUAGUAUGUACGAGCGUGGUACCCAAUCCAAUCAUCAACCACACAUCCCAAUUACAGCCACAAUUAAUAGCAACCACACUUGUAAACCCAAGUAAACAUAGUCAUUUCAUGCGACGGACAAUAUUCAACAUUUCAAAUCAUUACUUUUCCUUUUUCCUGAUCAUAUAUCAUCAUGCAAUACUAACGAAGCACUUGACAAGAAUAUAUAACAUAUAUGGAAAACAAACAACCAUCACCUACCUCUAAUCUAGCCUUGGAUACUCUACGUAACCUGUGCUUUCCCUUGUUAUCAAUUCUGGCUUGUUCUUGGUCUAAAAAAAAUAACAAAAUAACACAAUCAAUGAAUAAUGGCCUAACAAUACACGAAUUAUCACCAAAUCCUAAACCCCAGAGAAUUCACAUGAUUAUCCUACCAAAACCAGGGGUUUUCUACCAUUAUUUAAAGUCUAAAUCAUCCCCUAUGAUAACAAAAAAUGAUUAUAAGGUUAAAGAAUCAAAUGACUAGAUUACGAGAAUAAUUAACUUACCUUUAUCGAAGAACAUGAUGGAAUGCCAAAAUUCCUUAUUUUGCAACACACCUUCAAAUCUUGAUGUUCUAAACUAGCCUGUUCACGCCAAAUCAGAUAUCGGGAUUUCUACUUACCCGAAUUCACUUCCAAAAAGCCCUAUGGAUUCCUUAAUGUCUUAGCUAAUAAAAAACCUAAUCCAAGAAUAGAAAUUUUACCCAAUUCAUUAUCAGAUUUAUCUAGACCGCACCUUCCUAAGAUUUCAUCUGAGAGUAGCCUAGCCCAAAAUUUUAAAGUCCCUCUUCCAAGAGUUUACUUAUCCGAUUUCUUUCACCAAAGGUUUACACACAAUGACUACAAGGGGACGUUACAAUAUUAUAGAAGCAUUCCAUGUGAGUAGCGUAAGAACUCCGACAAAAAUCUCUAUCGAAGUAUUCGAGUAUUUCAAUGGCUAAUAAAAAAAAGUAUGAAAGAUGAUGGCAUAACCAAUUGUGAAUGGUUGGGAAGAAUUUUUCAAAACCUCUCUCAGUGAAAUGUGUCUCUCUUCCUCGAUUACCUCCCAAAAUAUUUUUAAAAUAAAAUUGAAGAGAAAUUGCCACUAAGAUAAGUCAUUUGCAUUCACUGAAAAACUUGGUGAUGAGAGCUUAGUUAUACAUUAUAUAUGCCACUUAACGUGUAAUUUAUGUCAGAAAAUUAUCUCAUAUCUUAUUGGUUGCAUAGGAUAGAAAGUUGGCUAGUUCAUAGAAGCGGAAGACAUGUACUGAUGAGAGAGGGAAGGGCAUUUGUGUUUGAUAUGCACUGGUGUUGAUAUGGUAGUGUGUGUUUGUCAUCAUCAAAAAGAGGGAAAAUGCUAUUUUUAUUUUUGAUGAUUAGACAAACAAAGGGAUCUUGUAAGGGGACCUGAUCCUUUGUGCCAAUACGUGAAGAAAUGAUAGUUGGAAAAAGUACAGAAGUUGGUGAGGUUGGUGCACGGCUCCCAAGUGUGCCAUAAUCCUCAGCCAAUAGCUGGACUCUAAGGUUGUGUCUAUCUUUAUAAGGAAAUCCAAAAUAGACACAACCUCAAUUUUUGCAUUCCUGAAAUACUCAAGAAGCCAAGAAAAAACUAUUCCAUCAAGAAACAUUUUCCUCAAGAGCAACAGGACCUGAUAGAGCUGUAUGUGUCUUACUUGUCUAAAGUUUAUACUUUCAUGCUUAUCUUGUAAAUCUAUUCCUGUGCUAUAAAGGAAUUAGAUAUUUGUUCUGUUCAAUCAAAAGUCUAAGUCAGUUAAGGUUAACUGGUUUAGUGGGCAACAUUGUUGCUACUUAAUUGAAUUCUAAAUCAUCUAGAGUUAGGUGGUUUAGCGGGCAACAUUGUUGUUGCUUAGUUGAAGUCUAAGUUAUCUAGAGUUAGGUGGCUUAGUGGAAAAAAUAGUGUUAUUGCUUAGUUGCUUUCUUUGUAGUAGAGUUGCUACAUUGAAGGGGAAGGGAUUUAGAGGUAAAUUCCUAGGUUGCAAGCAGUUGUAAUAUGAAUCGUUGCUCCGUUUGAGUGAAAUAAAGUUGGAUUGAAAUCCUGUGAGGACAGGUUGUGGUUUUCACCGCCCUUGAGCAAAGGGGAUUUCCACGUAAACAACUUAUGUUGUUUACUUUACUGCUUGUGCUUGUUUUACUGUUCUUGCUGUGUCAAGGGACCUGGUUCAUUGACUGAUAGUGGAUGCAUAAAUCUUAACAAUUGGUAUCAGAGUAGGUGCUCUCUAUCUGGUUAACACCAAGAGAGAUUCAUGUGCAAAAAUGGCUACUCCACUGAAUCUAAAAGAAGGACUAUCGUCAACAAGACCACCUCAUUUCAAUGGUCAGUUCUAUAGUUAGUGGAAGACAAUGAUGCACGACUUCUUAAUGGCUGAGGACAACGAGUUUUGGGAUUUAGUGCUCGACGGACUGUUUAUUACUACAAUGGAAGUGAAGGAUGGAGAAGUCACAAUAGUCAUUCCUAAGACUCGUCAACAGUAUGAUGAAGUUGAUCGGAAGAAGAUCGAGAAAAGUUAUAAGGCUAAGAAACUGUUGGUGUAUGGUAUAGGUGCUGAAAAGUGCAAUCACAUCUCUGCUUGCGAAUCAGCAAAUAAAAUUUGGGAUUGCCUCAAGACUGCUCAUGAGGGAACGGAGCAAGUGAAUGAGUCAAAGGUACACAUGUUGACUACCCAGUAUGAGAACUUCACUAUGAAAGAAGGAGAAACUAUUCAUGACAUGAAUACAAGAUUCUCCUCUAUCACUAAUGAGCUACGUUGUUUGGGAGAACCUAAUCACCCAAGUAAACAGGUUAGGAAGAUCCUUUGAAUCCUUUCUAAGUCUUAGGCAAGCAAGGCCAAUGCUAUUACCGAAGCCAACGACCUGAAGGUGCUGACGAUGGGUGCCCUGAUUGGAAACCUUCAAACACAUGAAAUGAAUAGAAAUCAAGAAACAUCAAAGAAGGAGGUGAAGAAAGACAAGUCUUUAGCUCUUAAGGUGAUACCUCUGGUGAAGAGGAGGACAUGUCCUACCUCACUAGGAGAUUUCAAAAAAUAGUGAGGAAACAUAGAGGUUUUCGAAAAGGAGGGAACUCUAGCAGUGCUGCAAAUAUAAGUGACCUGUGUCACAAUUGUGGAAAGCCAAGGCACUUCAUCCUGCCCCAUGCUUAAGGUUGUAAACAAAUAAUAUCAAAGGCCUGGAGGAAAUAAAGACAGGAGAAGGGACCCGAUCCCUGAUAAGAGAGGAAAAAGAGUUGAAGCAGACAAUGUUGUGAAGAAAGUAUUUGCUGUCUGGGGGAUUCCUCAAGUGACUCAGAAGAGUCGGGAAAUCAUAAAGAUGCAUCCAUGCUUGCAGUUAAAGAUAAGAAAGAUGUGUUCGAUACUAUGUUUGCCUUCAUGGAGAAAUAUGACGAAGAAGAAGCUGAGGAUGAGGUAACUCUUUUCGACCUUGAACAAAACUUGAAUGUUUACUCUGUUAGAAAGUUGAGGAAUCUAGCUGUUAUUUUGAUUGACUCUAUUACGGAGUUAACAACUGAAAAGGACUUGAUGAACAAUAGUUUAGAUAUUUUCCAUGAAGAAAAUUUAGCUUUGGUUGAUCAUAUGUUUGUUAUUAAGGAACAAUUGACAGUUCUGGAGACUGAAAAUCUAAAACUCAAGGAGAAACUAAAUAUGCUGAGUGAGAAAUUUGGCAGAGGAAAGGGAGAGGCUAGCAACUUGAAAAUAGAGCUAGAAACUAGUUUGAACACUGCUAGAACCAGACUUGCAUUAGCCUUGGAGAGAAAUGAUCAGAUGGAAAGGGACCUGGUCGGUCUCACAGAAGAACUGAAAAAGUCUCUGAGAUAGACUAACUCCUCUAAACUACUUUCAAACAUUACUAGUCAAGGUCACAAUAACAGAAAGGGUUUAGGAAGCUUAAACAACAGUCCUCCAUAUAAUCCCCAUAGCAAGUAUGUGUCUGUGUCCGAUAAUCUCUUAUGUCUUCACUGUGGUCGCAAUAGUCAUUUGAAAAAAGGAUUGUCCAGCCUGGAAAGCCUCUCAAGAAAUUUUUUUAGUCUACUCUAGAUAAAAAGUUACACAGGACAAGGGACCUGCUCAUAUUCCUAGGUCUUCUAACAUGAGAAAGACUAUUUUGCCUCAUUGGACAAGAAGUCCUCUCAUUAUGCCUCUAUAUGCUUACUGGGAACCCACACUGAAAUGGGUUCCUAAGUCUAACAAGUAAUCUUUGGUGUAGGGGAGUGGAGAAGGUAACAUUUAGUGCUGGUUCAUGGACAGUGGAUGCUCAAAACAUAUGACUGGAAGGACUGAAAACUUCAUCUCUCUCUCAAGGCACUUCAAGGUGGAGGUGUCUCAUUUGGUAAUGGAAAAAUGGGUAUAUUAUUGGUGUUGGAAGAAUUAGAACAUCGGUUGAACACUCAAUCGAGAAGGUGUACUAUAUGAGUGGACUAAAAUACAGUCUUCUCAGUGUGUUUCAAAUUUGUGAUAAAGGCAAUUGAGUUAGAUUUCUAUCAGAAAAGUGCAUUGUUAGUAACCUGUCAACAAAUGAGGUGAUCUUAACGGCUAGAAGGCGCAAGAAAAUGUAUGUGGAUGACCUGGACACUGCUCAAUGCUCAAGGAGAUGAUCUAACUUGUCUGAGUGCCCAAAGUGACAAUGCUAACUUAUGGAACAGAAGACUUGGUCAUGUGAGCUCCUCUUUGCUAAACAAACUUGUCUCCAGGGACUUGGUUCGUGGGUUACCUAAACUCAAAUUCAGUAAUGACAAUGUGUGUGAAGCAUGUGUCAAAGAGAAAGAGACCAGAUCAUCAUUCAAAUCAGAAAAGCUAGUGAGUUCUUGAAGGCCUCUCGAGCUAAUUCACAUGGAUCUGUGUGGGCCUGUGAAAAUUCAAAGUAGAGGUGGAAAUAAAUAUAUUAUGGUGGUUGUGGAUGACUAUUCAAGAUUCACUUGGACUAUGUUUCUCAAGUCCAAAGAUGAAACAUUUGAUGUGUUGAUGACUCUUGUCAAAAUGAUUCAAACAAAGCUGAACUGCAAGAUUGCGGGGAGCAGGUCUGAUCAUGGAACAGAGUUUGAAAAUGCAAAGUUUGACAAUUUUUGUGCGAAAAGUGGAAUCCAUCAUAACUUCUCAGCUCCUAGAAUACCUCAGCAAAAUGGCGUGGUUAAAAGGAAGAACAGAACUCUGGUUGAUAUUGCCAGAACCAUGCUCAUAGACUCAAGUCUUCCAAAGAACUUCUGGGCUGAAGCAAUUAACACUGCUUGUUAUGUGACUAACAGAUGCUUGAUCAGGUCUCUACUAGACAAAGUCUUUAUGAUCUACUCAACAACAGAAAGCCCAAACUGAAUUAUUUAAAGGCUUUUGGGUGCAAAUUCUUUAUGCUGAACAAUGGGAAAGAUGAUCUAGGAAAAUUUGAUCCUAGAAUUGAUGAAGGAGUGUUUGUAGGUUAUUCCUCUUCAAGUAAAGCCUACAAAGUAUACAAUAAGAGAACACUAUGCAGUGAAGAAAGUGUUCAUGUGAUCUUUGAUGAAGCUGGUGAUCUCACAGAUCUAAAGAACAAGGGUGGCGAUGAGAUGGAAUAACUUUUUCAGAUUCAGAAAGAUGGGGUAAAUGAGUCACAAGCUGAAGGAAGUCAAAAUACUAACAACAUUGAACCUAGUCAGAUUGAAGAAGCCUAUGAUGAUGAUAAGCAUGACGAGGGACCUGGUGUAUCUGACAAUGCUAAAACUGAGGAUUUACCUCAACCUGAAAAUGAUGAUUCCAAAGAUGAAGAUGAGCAAGCUGAUCAACCUCAACUCCCGAAUGCUAUGUCAAGGUGGAAAUAUCAAUCAUCUCAUCCUCUUGAUAAUCUCAUUUCUCCAUUGAAUUCUGGAAUGCAAACCAUAUCCAAAACUAGAAAUCUAGUUGCAUUCUCAGCAUUCAUAUACAAUGUUGAGCCCAAAAAUAUCAAGGAGGCUCUGAAAGAUGUUGAUUGGGUAAAUUCCAUGCAAGAAGAGCUUCAUCAAUUUGAGCGGAGCAAAGUAUGGUACCUGGUACCUAGACCUGCUGACAAUACUAUCAUAGGGACCAAGUGGGUGUUCAGAAAUAAGCUUGAUGAAAAUGGUGUCAUCACAAGGAACAAAUCAAGGCUGGUGGUUUAGGGUUAUAAUCAAGAAGAAGGAAUUGACUAUUAUGAAACAAUUGCUUCUGUUGCUAGAAUGGAGGCUAUCAGAAUUCUAUCAAGAUUUCUUAUGCAAAAUGAAUUCAAAAGGGGAAAGAUAGACAACACUUUAUUCCUGAAGACAAGAGGCAAAUAGUUACUCAUCAUUCAGGUGUAUGUGGACGAUAUUAUUUUUAGAGCAACUUUUGAGGUCCUAUGUGAAGAGCCACACUAAUGUGGGAUGAAUUUGAAAUGAGUAUGAUGGGAGAGCUGAAAUUUGUUCUUAGGGCUGCAGAUCAAGCAAACCUCAAGUGGCACCUCCAUUUGCCAAGAGAAAUACAUAAAGGAGCUGCUAAAGAAAUUUCAUAUGAUGGAUUCCAAGCCUUUUGACACUCUUAUGGGUACAAACUCAAAAUUGGGAUUCUGAUGCCUUGGUGAAUCAAACUAUGUACAGAGGAAUUAUUGGAUCAUCGAUGUAUCUAACAGAAAGCAAACCUGACACCGUAUUCAAUGUAGGCAUGUGCGCAAGAUUUCAAGCUUGUCCCAGGGAGUCACAUUUGAAGGCAGCCAAGCAAAUUUUGAAGUAUCUAAAGAAGAUAAAGGACCUGGUCCUAUUCUAUCCAGCAGGAGAUUCCUUUGAACUGGUGGAGUAUGCAGAUGCAGACUUUGCAGGUUACCCGAUGGAUAGGAAGAGGACUUCAGGAAUGACUCACUUUCUGGGAUCCUCACUCAUCUCCUGGGGAACCAAGAAACAAAAUUUAGUGGCUCUCUUCAUAGCUGAGGUAGAAUUUGUAGCAGCUACAUUUUGUUGUGCACAACUACUAUGGAUAAAGCAGCAACUUGAGGAUUUUGGAGUGCUCACUCAUACCAUUCCACUCAUGUGUGAUAAUACAAGUGAUGUCAAUAAGGGGAAAAAUCCAAAUCAGCACAAGAGAACAAAACAUAUUGUUGUGAGACAUCACUUCUUAAGAGACAAUAUUGAAAAGGGGAACAUUUGCAUGCAAUACUGAAUAUCAAAUCGCUGACAUAUUCACUAAAGCUCUAAGCAAAGAUCAGUUCGAGAGCAACAAAUUGAAGUUGGGAAUGAUGAAGAUGGACUGAGCUGAUUUUAUCCAAAGGCAUUCAACCCUCAUUGACUAUGAUCAGAAGGGCAGGUAUCCUCAUUACUUGUAAUGUUUUGCGUUGCUAAGAUUAAUGAUGUACCUUUUACAGGUAUACACUCAUGGGGAAGCGCAGGAGUGAAUAAAAGUCAUAACUAUUUAGGGAUCAACCUUCUCAAUUUGCAAAUAGGGACUUGAUCAUGUUUAAAGGUUAACAUUCUCUACAUUAUGUUUUGAACUGAUUAUGAGAACCGUUGAGACCUCCAUGUGUCAGUCAUCGGUCAUUCUGACCAUUGUCCUAUCGCUUUAAGGCCAAGCGACGUGUCUGAUCAGGGACCUGGCAUAUCCUUUUAAUUUCUUUUUAUUUUCCUUCCCUCCAUUCCUUUUCUCACACUCUUGAAACUCUCUCUUGAAACUAUGUUCUCUAAAGCUUUAUGAAAAUCCUAAUCCGUUUUUCUUCCGGUCUUCUCUCAUUUCCGUUCUGAAAUAUGUCUCAAUUACCUUCUCCUUCUAAGAAAAUGCUGGACUCUCUGAAUGAAAUAGAUCUCAUAGCCUUCUACACCUCUUCGUGUGCUCCAUCUCCAACAAAAAUGGUGUCCAUUUUUCUAGUCAACAUUACAGAAACCAGUCAUCCUACUCCAUAAUCUCCUAUAGAUUUAAAUAAUCCAGCGCCCUCAUUUCAACCUGGUCCUCAUUUGUCUAUGCUAUCUGACUGCUUGUUUGAGGGACAUCUUCCGCAAAGUAGGUACUCUGAAUCCAACAUUUUCGCUGCAAGUAAGAAUAUAGUUGUGGAAAGUCUGACAAAGAUGAGAGAAGGAGUGAUAAAUGAUGAAGGAAGUAGUUUUGCAUAGGAUCUUCUUGGAGAUACAGAACCAGUGUUUGACAGAACCCCUGAUGUUGGAAUACCCCCCUCUAGUGAUUCAGACGAUGAUGAAGAGGACAAUACUCCUCUACGCUGGGCCUUACAGAGAACAAUGGUCUCUGUCACCAGCAAAGUAAAUGAGAAAGUCAUAGAGGAGACUCCAACAAGGAAACCUUCUACCAGGGGAGCCGCUCACAAACUUAUGAGUAAUGCUAUGAAGGGAAAUAAGGACAGUACCACUGAAAUUAGGAGAAUAAGAGAGACUGGUGAAGAGAAGUUUGUAGUUCCUGCUGAGGGGGUUGCAGAUGUUUCUAAUGAACAAUCAGAAAGUGAUACGGUGUCAAAAGAUAUCCCUCUGGCCUCCGAAGAAAGAAAGAAGGAGGAAAAAGGAAAGAAGAAGAGCAAACCAAAAUCUAGGAAACCUUCUAUCAAAAGGGUUGGUGCUACAACAAAGGGGAAGGGCAAGGAGCCGGAAAAGAAGAAAGGAAAUGAUAGAUCCAAAUAGGAAAGGGAAGUGUCACCCGAUUCUGCGAGACCUAUCAAAGACUCUGCACUCAAGUCUGAGAGGGGACCAGGUACCAAGUACCAAGAGGAAGAAAGUCAAUAAGGAUGAAACCAAAAGGGACAUUGUGACAAUCUGUGAAUGCAGAAAGUCCUAGGUUGAAGAGUUUUUUAUCCUGAGAUAAUCAGGAAGCCUGGUAUGAGCACCUUGGUGAAUAUAGUUGAGAUUCAAUAAUGGACCCACUUGUUCAUGACACAAUCGCCUGUGUUGCAUGAGGAACAAGUAAAGGACUUUCAUUAUAAUGUUGAGUUUACAGAGGAUGGCAGCCUCAACAUGAUAGUUAGAAAUAGAAGUUUUCAUUUGAAUGAAGAAAGAUUGGGAGAAAUCUUGGGUGUGCCCAGAGAAGGGAUCAGAUCCAUUGUAGGAAAAGCCUGCAGCAAAAGCUUUGCAAAUGAGUGUGCCAAACUCCCAAAGAUGAACUGUGCAGGAAUUCAAAAAGAAGCUCAUGAAGGGAGACUACCAAGUACCAACUGUUGUUUGAGUUUGUUAACAAAGUGGUUCUUCCAAGGUCUGGGAAAAGAACAGUUGCCUCCGCUGCUGAUCUGUUUCUGAUGGAGGCUCUUUGCAAGUUUGAUCUUUUGAAUCUUCCAACCCUCAUGUUAGAGCAUAUGCACAAAACAAUGGUGGAACAAAAGGGUAAACAUAGCAUGUGAUAUGGGUAUUUUCUCACCAAGGUGUCCAAACAAUUGGAUGUUCAUGUGGGAGAUGGUACUGUUGGAACAGUUAAAUAGUCUUUUUCUCUAAACACUUUGGUUGAGUGUGAAUGCAAAGAAGGAAGAACAGGGUAACUGAGCAUAGUGUCUCAGCUAGUGGUGGAACAGAGUCAACUUAAGCAUGAAUUGGAGGAGAUGAUCGUGCUUGUGGGCAAAAAGGAUGCUGACAUAGCCUUAUUGAAGGCUUAGUUGGCCAAAGCAUAAACAAAGGGACCUGGUACAUCAAAAGUCAAUGAAUUAAGGAUGAAGAAUGCAAAUCUCUUGGCUCAGAAUGCUGAUCUUCAAGAGAAGCUGAUCAAGGCUCAUGAUAUUGCCAAUGAUCGACUUACUCUUGUCAUCAAAUCCCUCACUCGUCAACCUCCAUCCACAUAGUCCCUUUCUUGUCCUCCAUUUUGUUUUUGUGUGGGCAGUGUCCCGGGGUUCUCUUUAGCAGUCUAGUUUUAAUGUAUUGAAUGCUUUCUCUUAUGCAAUGUAAUGGAUUCCUGUUUUGUUUUGAUUAAUCCUAUCUCUCUGCUUUUCUACUGUGAUGUGUUGUCAUAGGCUAUGAUCUUACUUUGAAGGCUUACAUUUAAUCCUGGUUUAGUGCUUCUCUUUUUUAAGAUUUCAAAAGGGGGAAAAUAUUGGUUGCAUAGGAUAGAAAGUUGGCUAGUUCACAGAAGCAAAAGACAUGUACUGAUUCACAGAAGCGGAAGACAUGUACUGAUGAGAGGGGGAAGGGAAUCUGUGUUUGAUAUACACUGGUGUUGAUAUGGCAGUGUCUAUUUGUCAUCAGAAAAAAGAGGGAAAUGCUACUUUUAGUUUUGAUGAUUAGACAAACAAAGGGAUCUUGUAAGGGGACCUGAUCCUUUGUGCCAAUACGUGAACAAAUAACAGUUGGAAAAAGUACAGAAGUUGGUGAGGUUGGUGCACGACUCCCAAGCGUGCCAAAAUUCUCAGCCAAUAGCUGGCCUCUAAGGUUGUGUCUAUCUUUAUAAGGUAAUCUAAAAUAGACACAACCUCAAUUUUUGCAUUCCUGAAAUACUCAAGAACUCAAGCAAAAACCACUCCAUCGAGAAGUAUCUUCCUCAAGAGCAACAUGGACCUGAUAGAGUUGCAUGUGUCUUAGUUGUCUUAGGUUUAUACUUUCGUGCUUAUCUUGUAAAUCUAUUCCUGUGCUAUAAAGGAAUUAGAUAUUUGUUUUGUUCAAUCAAAAGUCUAAGUCAGUUAAGAUUAACUGGUUUAGUGGGCAACAUUGUUGUUGCUUAGUUGAAUUCUAAAUCAUCUAGGGUUAGGUGGUUUAGUGGGCAACAUUGUUAUUGCUUAGUUGAAGUCUAAGUUAUCUAGAGUUAGGUGGCUUAGUGGGUAAUAAUGUUAUUGCUUAGUUGAAGUCUAAGUUAUCUAGAGUUAGGUGGCUUAGUGGGUAAUACUGUUAUUGCUUAGUUGCUUUCUUUGUAGUUAGAGUUGCUACAUUGAGGGGGACGGGGAUUUUAGAGGUAAAUUCCUAGGUUGCAAGCAGUUGUAAUCUGAAUCAUUGCUCUGUUUGAGUGAAAUGGAGUUAGGUUGAAAUCCUGUGAGGACAGGUCGUAGUUUUCACCGCCCUUGAGCAAGGGGGUUUCCAUGUAAACAACUUAUGUUGUUUACUUUAUUGCUUGUGCUUGUUUUACUAUUCUUGUUGUGUCAAGGGACCUGGUCCAUUGACUGAUAGUGGACGCAUACAUCUUAACAAUCUCAAAAAGAAUUAUCAUUUCUUAAUAGCUAUAAUUAAUAUUACAAAUAUUGAUUUUUAAUUUUUUGAAUUGUCUUAUGACAAUAUGAUGAUUAAAUCAUUAUUUGUUCCCCUAUUAAUGUUAAGUACCUUGUUGAUUAGUAGCAAGUAUUACUCUUUUUUAUUAAUAUUAAUCCUUAAACCUUUUACUGACAUUAGUCUUCUUCCAUAACUAAGAAACAAUUUCUUCUAUGCAUAUACUAGAUGGCUCGUGCGUGUGCAUAACACGGACAAUUAACCAAACAUUAGUAUUGUUUGUCUUGUGUGUUCAACUACUACAUUAAAAAAAGGUUCAAACACCAAAAAAACUAAUUUAUACUUGUUUUCAACAUUUAUCAAGACUAAAUGUUAACAUAUUAAUGCUCCAUGAUAUGUGCUCGUAUUGAGGAACAAAAUGUUACAAAAUAGCAAGAAAUAUUAUAUGCUUGCAAGUUGCCACAUUGGACAUUUUUCUGGUUGCUACCCACAUGUCACGAUCCAAAAAUGGACGUGAUGCCACUUGUCUAUUCCCACCAAGACAAGUAAGCCUCAACCAAACGAAACAAAAAAAGUGAAAAGAUAAAGCAAGAACAAGAUAAGAGCGAAAAGACUUAUUCUUUUGAUUAACACCCCAAACCUAGUUGUCACGUGUACAAGAAUCUAGUGCAAACAGUGCGGAAUUAAGAAAUAAGUACAAGUCUCAAGUCUUUGUUUCUCAAAUAGAACAAAGAAUACAGAAAAGGAAAAAGAGGGCCCGCCGGAAUUACAAGAAGCUAUUUCUCAAUAGUCCUUUGACAAGCCACGAAAAGUGAGAAGAAGAGCAAUCAUGCUAUACCGGGCUCGAAACCUACACUAGUGUAGAAGCAAGGAGUUAGUACCAACAACACGGUACCCAAAAAGCAACCUAAUGAACAAGGCAUAUAUCUAGAAAUUGAAUACUCCUUUCAUCCAACAGUAACUCCUCAAACUACAACCUGCAUAGAAAUCAGCCCAACCUAGCAGCUCUACAAUACACAAUUUACAAGGCUCAAUAUUUACAGUCCAAAACACAUAAGUUUACAACCAACACAUAUCAAGUAAGUCAAUCUCAAUGUCAAGUAGACCAAUCACACGUAACAAGUACAUCGAUCACAAUUAACAAGUCAAACAUAAGCAUCAAAAUGUAUCAAAUCACAAUAAUCAGUUUCUCGCCGGAACCAUUUCCCAUCGGCACAAUAUCACUAGCUGAAACCAUUUCCCAUAAACUUUAUAUCAUUUCACUAACCCGGAACCAUUUCCAUCGGCUUUAUAUCAAGUCACUAGCCAAAAAUGACCUCGGCAUCACAACACUCGUUGGAAAUGACAUCGACAUCAUAACACUUGUCAUAAAUGACCUUUGCAUCAUAACACUUGUUAGAAAUGACCUCGGCAUCAUAACCCUCACAUGUCUUAUCACAUUUUUCAACAAUCAAUGCACACAAGCAAUGACACACCACAAGGGAGAGACGACAAUUCAAGUCCACAUUCAUGCUAUCAAGUAUUUCAUCAAACAAACAAAUAGGGGCCAUCACAAGGCAAUUUAUAAUCAUUAUGAUCAACACAUAAUCUUUUAUUUAACCCCUUUAUAUUCAUUAUGCUUAAUAAAGUGGAACAAUGAAUCCCUCACCUCAUUCCCAUUACUCCCAACGCACAAACAAUGGAGGAAAUACACGAAUUCUACUACAUUAUAAUGUUUAGGAGAUCACUUUCCUUAAAUCAAUAAAUUAAUUACCCCAAGAGUUGAGUCUUUCCCUUCCGACCAAUGUCCAAAGCCACACAAUCUAUAACAAUCAAGUAUUAACAAUAAAUUUCUUGAAACAACAAUGCCCACAUCAAUUUCUUUGAUAAUUGGGCCAAUCAACUCAAAACCCGAUUCAAAAAAGAAGGUUUGAAUCCGAAAAUCAACCCUUAAAAACAUUACUCAAGGCCUUAGGAACUCAUUGGUAAAAACCAUUUGGCAAAAGGACUCAAUUCAGUUCACAAUCUCCAUUUUAGUUUAGAACUUGAGUUCUUGAAAAACCUUGCCAUUUACCAAUCAAAAUCCCAAAUUUUGAUGUUAAAAUCCACAAAUAAUCAAAGAGAAAUGAAGUUUUAGGAUCACAAAAUCUUACCCAAAUGAUUUAACACAAGAAAGCAUUUCAAAAAUAGCCACCAAGGAUUUUCCAAGCUCAAAAAUGGAAAGUGGGGCUUGAACCCCGAAAUUUCAUGUCUAAAACCUCCCUCUGAUGUCGCAAAAGCGACACAUGUUUGCAAAAGUGAACCCCGCAAAAAUGGUGCCUCUCGCACAAGUGAAGCCCACUUUGCUUUUGCGAAGCUCGCUUAAGCAAAGUGAUCCUCGCUUUUGAGAAGGUCGCUUAAGCGACUGGCCAUCGCAAAAGCGAGGCGUGAAGACACCAGCAAACACAUCCAAACAUAAUACAUCGAAAGGACUAUGGGAUUCGUUCAGAACCCCGCACACACAAACCGAAUAUACAAAAAGAUUAUACUCGAUAUUUCGGACUCAAUGGAACCGUUGAAAUAUGAAUUUGUGGUCUCCUUGCCAAGACAUCUAUGAAAAUAACAAGAACGUACCUCAAUGCCUAAAAAUUCUAAAACAAGCUCGGGACCUCUCAAAAUUAACCAAGACUUCACCUAGGUCUAAUUUCAUCUCCCAAAUCCAAUGGAACUCUCGGAAUUCUGAUCCAAGCAUCCGAACCCCGAAUGUUGACCAAAAUUAAUCCAAAGGCUAACUUUCCACAAUUUCACAACUUAGGACCUCAAAUCCUCAAAAAGAAUUCGAAUCUAAAACUGGCAAUUCUCACAGACCAUAUUCCACAUUCUGGGACUAAUGGAAAUGACGAAAUUUCAUUCCGACCCUCGAAACUCUAAAAUACACCGGAAACCACUUUCUUAACAAUAUUAGCCUUCCAAACUCAAAACUUACAAAAUUCUCAUCUUUAAACUCAAAGUUCAAAAUCAAAUUUCAAAACUUAAUCAUAAAAGACUCAGGGUCGAUAUCAGGAGGGGAAAGAUUGUAAAUUUAUGAAGCUUUUCAAAAAUGACCGACCAGAUCAUUACACCACAUAUUUACAUACUAGCAGAAUGAAGAUGCAUUCCUUUUGAAAGUCUAUCAUUUUACAACUUUCUUUUGUUGUAGUAUAGGACAAAAAUAGUAGAACCAGCCGCUACAAAACUUAAACAACAACAAAUAGAGAUAAGUGUCAAAAACACACCUAAACUAUUGAGAGUGUGAGUUUCAUACCUAAACUAUCAGUUAUUAGUUUGAGAAACAUACCUCUCUCUUUUAUUACACUCUCAUCAUGGAGUGUGUAAUACACUCUCAAAUAAGGAGGAGAAAAUAAGGAAAAAAAAUAGGCAAAAAGCAUACUUUUCAAGAUCAACCAUUAGAACCUUGUACAAUUUUAUUUUUUUUGAUAAAUUGCACGCCAUAUAAAAAAAAAACUACAUAAACAGAUGUCUUCCAAAUGCUAGCUUCCGCAUUCAGCCCAUAAAAGAGGAGCUAACAUCGAUUGUUUCAUUCAUAAGUUUAGGUGUUAAAAGCUCUUGUUAUAGGGAACGAUAACCGUAAUCACCUAGGACUAAUUAGGUCAAAAUUAAAAUAUCACCUAUUGUUUUAUUCAUAAUCUUUCUACUUGAAUCAACCUCCAAUAUGGACAUUAAAAUUACUUUCAACUUGUCAAAAAUUAAGAAUUCAUCAGCUAAGAAUAUAUUUUUAUAUAUAAAAAAAAACUUUAAUAUAUAUUGUUCAUAACAAAAAAUAAAAGGUGGAUAAAGCAUUCCACAAAUGAGCCGAAGUGCUUGAUUCUUACAAUGGUAAGUUUAUUUUCGCAUUAUAGUAAUACUUCAGCAUCUUUACUUAAUCAUAUAAUCUCUUAGUUAAUCUACUUCACAAAUUGAACAUUUGGAACAUCAAAAAAGAUUUAGAAUUUAGAUUAUCUAAGUUACGCAAUAUACUCAUCCCUUGUAGGCAAUUGUUAAGGAACCUAUCUUUUUCCUUUUACUUCUCUCAUGAUUGUCACGACUCGAAAUCGGUUCGUAAUGGCGCCUACCAUAAACCUCCCAGUAGGCAAGCCAAAAUCCAAAACUUGCGGAAGACAAUAAUUUUAUAGAAAAGAAUAAACAAAGGCAGAAAUAAAGAUAUAUAAUGGAGACCAUAGUAUAGAUAUGUAAAUAUAAUACAAAAUAUACAAAACGGGCCCAAAAAUGACCAAGAAUGACAAAUUAUACACAAGAACCAAUCCCAGACCUGGUGUCACUAGUACAGGAGCAUCUAAAUACAAAAAAGGCUAUAUACAUCAAUUCUGUCUAACCAAAAUACAAAUACAAAAUACAUAUAAAAAGUACCAAAGAAGGAAAAACAACAAGUCUCUGGACACCAAGAGCUCACCACAAUCUGAGUCUGCGAUGGCCACGGGAGAUCCAACGCUCAUUGAGGGUGACUCGUACUGCAGUUGCAUAAAAAAAGGAUGCAGAAAUGUUGUAUGAGUAUCAAAACACGGGAUACUCAAUAGGCAUCAUAGUGUAUAUAUAUAUAUAAAGUUCUGUUGAACAGAUUUAUAAGAAUGUUUAUCAUGGAAGAAGAAGAAGAAAUAUUAAAUUUGAAAAGACCCUCCGUGAGGUAACCUUUUCCAACAAAUAUUUUGUUCUUACUUAUUACACCAUUGUCAUAUACAAACAUUGUUUAAAGUCAACACCUUUUCGGAUAUCCUUUUCAGAAAGACCUUUCCAUAACCUUCAAAUUUGGUUAAUACAGAAUUACCCAUGAACAUAGUCUCAUCAGGUCCAAUAAGAGCAUAUGUCUCAAAUGCUUCUUUUACAACACAAACAUGACAUAUGACUUUUCACCAAUAUUCAUGGAUAUACAAAAUAGUUUUAUAGACUCAUCUUUUUAUGAAAAAGUUUUAAUAUUUUAAGUGACUUUCUUCCAUAAAAGAAUACAACUCUUUUAAACAAGUAGAUAAAUCAAUUAAAGGUUGCAUACUAGAAAUAUCAUAUACUAGAGAAACUAAAUGACCACAAUACCAAUUAACCCACACAAUAUAAAUAUUGUUUUCAUAAUUAUUUGUAAAGUACUUUUAUUCAUUGUGAGAUCGUAUUUACUUCAUAUUAGACCGGUAUAAAUCGUCAUGAAAAUAUAGUCUGACUUGUAUAGGCAACCAAAUGGCAUGUUGUUUGUGUAAUGAUGCAACCAUAAUUGAUAAAUGGUGAAGCACAAUUUUGUAAGAAGCAGUCAUUCUCUGUCAUUAAUUGACACAUGGUUUCGCAUAAAAAAAAUACUAACAAUAAAGACUUUAUUUUUAUUUACACUUUUUCUAAUUAAGGAUGAAAUUUUUCUUACUAAAAUACUCAAAACAAUAUUUUGCAGAACUUUGUAAUUAGAUACAACAAAGUUUAAAGUAUAUUUUAUAAACUAGAAAGUUAAAACUAGUAAAGAAAAUAUAAUCCGCAACAAAUAGAAACAAUAUUUAAAAGAAGAAAAUCGAGCCCUCUUAAUGCACAAUAUGUCAUUAAAAAAAGUAUUGUCAUCAAGUAUCUGAGGUUAAUGAAAUAUAGCCUCCCAUGAUAGAACGAUCUUAAUCACUACUGCAUAGGUAGUGACACAUGGUUUAGUAUAAACAAAUACUAACAAUAAAGACUUUAUCUUUAUUUACACUUUUUCUAAUUAAUGGUGAAGUUUUUCUUACUAAGAUAUACUCAAAACAAUAUUUUGCAGAACUUCGUAAUUAGAAACAGAAAAGUUUAAAGCAUAUUUUAUAAACUAGAAAGUUAAAACCAGUAAAGAAAAGAUAAUCUGCAACAAAAUAGAAAUAAUACUGAAAAGAAGAGAAUCGAGGCCUCUUAAUGCACAGUGUGUCCUUAAAGAAAGUAUUGCCCUCAAGUACCGAGGUUAAUAGAAUAUAUUCUUCCAUGAUAGAAUGAUCUACUGUAUAGGUACCUAAAGCCACGAUGUCAAUGAACCACUCAAAGGUAGUAAAGUACACUAGAAUUUGUUUGUGAAGAAUAGGAAAAUGACAUAAAUUCAUUGUAAAAAAUGAGAGGAAACCCUUUAUUUAUGGACAACAAAGGGUAGUAUGAAUAGGGGUGCUUAGUGUUCCUUAUUGGAAAAAUCACAACCCUUUGGAAAAGUCACAACCCUUCGGAAAAGUCACUAUCUUUCCGAAAAGACACAACCCUUCAGAAAUGUCACAACCUUUCGCAAAAAUCGCAACUUUUCAGAAAAAAUACAACUAUUCAUAAAAGUCACAACUUUUCAUUUUCCAUAUAAACCUUUUAAAACCCAACAUUCCCAUUGUCAUUAUUCUAUAAACCCACUCUAUUAAUCAAGAGACCUUCAUUCAAUUUUCUUAUUACUUGUUCUAAUAUAUAGCCAUGGAAGUAAACAAAGUAGAAGAAAAUCUUGCCUCUCUUAAUAUUCCAUCAUCACAAAACCUUCAUUUAACUGAAGAAAAUAUAAGAAAUCAGUUGACAAAUGAUGAUGAUGAUCACAAGCAAGGGAGGAUAUUAGUGGAGGAAUUAGAGAAAAUAAUUAGAUACAAAUUCAAGAAUCCCAACUUGUUGCAUGAAGCUUUUACUCACUCUUCCUUCCAAGAAAACAGUAAAUCAUAUGAGAGAUUGGAGUUGUUAGGUAAUUAGAAGUGGAUCUAGGGCAAGUUAACCAUCUACUGACUCUCUAGUCCAACUUAUCUCGUUACUUUUCUUUUGACUUAUUUUAUAUCACAAGCUUCAAAGUCUUUCUUUUUCUCUUAAACUCUGUGCUCACUCAAACAAAUCUUAUGCAGGUGACUCGAUUCUAAAUAUGUUAGUAACAAAAAAACAAUUUUUUGAUUACCCUGAUCUGCCUCCCGGAAAGCUAACAACGUUGAGAUCAGCCAAUGUAGAUAAUGAGAAACUUGCUAGAGUCGCCAUCAAAUACAAUUUACAUAACUAUUUACGUCACAAGAUGACUUUAUUUGAAGGACAAGUAAGCACAUUACAAUAGACUCAUCAAUUCAUUUGUACAUUCUUUAUUUGUUUCUAUAUAUAUUCAACUAAAUUUGAAAAAAAAAAAUAGUAUAUGAAUGGAAUUAAUAUUCAGUGGUUUGUAUAUAGAAAUUUCUUCUAGUUUGGAUCAUCGAUCGUCUGUAACGGAGAGUAAGCUAAUGAAUGAGGUGAAAGAAAAAGACGACUAACAAAUUUCAAAUAAAAAUGUGUAUAAUAAUUAUAAUACCUAUAAGAACCAAAAGAUUUAAGAAAGUGCAGAGCCUAAUAUGUAAAAAUAAAACAUAAAUUUACGUUUUAUGCAUGCUUUUGAGUUGUGAAAAGAGAUAGUAGAAGGUGGUAACCUACACCAGUACAAUUUACAAAAAGUACUUAGAAUGUAUGUGUCAAUUUAAGUGAGAAAUUUUUCUUUUAGUUUGUCCGAAAAAAAUAAUUAUCUAUAUACGUACGUUAGAAAUUUCAAUUUUUUAUUUUAUCAUUAAUGAAAUAACUUUUUUGCAUGCAAAUUUAUUUCUUUAUUUGGACGAUAAACUUUAAAAUAAAUUCUUUUAUAAAGUUGGUUCUUAUAAGUCAAAGCGCAUUACAUAAAUAAAAAUGGAGGAAGUAUUAGAUUUUUUUUUAAAAAAAAAGCUGGUUAUUUUUGACAGGUAAAAGAAUUCAAAGAGGCUAUAUUGGAGUACCCAUUGCAUUCAGUAGGUCUCAUUGAUCCCCCAAAGACUCUUGCAGAUAUUGUUGAAUCUUUGAUUGGUGCCGUCUCUAUUGACUCCGAUUGUAUGAAUACAACUUGGCAGGUAUGGUUUAAUUUUUUAAUUUAUAUAAUAAUUGUUUAUUAUUGGAGAUAUCUAAAUAAUACAUUGUAUAUUUUUAUGACAGGUGGUUAAUUUUUUGUUGGAACCUCUAACUACUCCAGAAAAACUCGAGCGUAAUCCAAUUACAAAAAUGUACGAGUUAUGUCAGAAGAAUGGAUUGAAGACAGAAUUUGUUGAUAAAUGGGAUGAAAAUGGAGAGUUUGAAGUUUUCGUUGAUGAAAUAUUUGUGGGGAAGGGAAAAUCAAGUGGGAAAAAAAUAACUGCAAAAAAUAGGGCUGCGCACAAUGCAUAUUACCAAGUUCUCCGAAUUUUGAGUGAGAAAGCCACUAUUGAUAAUGAUCAACAUUGUGAUGGAAAGCAAAGCUGAAAAUACUAUCACAAAACUGCUAGUAUUUUAUAUGAAAUUUGCAUAAUUUGACUCGAUGUUAACGUUUUCGAUGAAUUUCAUCUUAAUAUUUUACCAACGACUCAAACUUUGAUGAGAUGUCCAUUCAAAAUCUGCAAUAGACGAUCAAAUAUUGUAACAAUUAUCAAAAUUAGAUUAAAUUUUAUUGUUUACAAAGUCUACGUGUCUAUAAUUUAUCUUACAUUGUCAUCAUCGAUAUAUCAUUUACGAUCACUGUAAAUCUUGGUGAUUUGAGGUUGGUUUUACAUUAUAUAUGUCACCACUGAAAUUGCUGCGUGCGAAAGAAAGAAAUGAAUAUCCUAUAUGACAUGUUAUUAAUUUCAUCGAGGUAUGAAAGUAGUACAUUUUGUAAUUAGCAUGACAAUUUAUAUUAAGCACAAUAAUUCAUGUGAAUUUGAAAUACUAUCCUUUCCUUCCAUUAACAAUUCAUUAAAAUUUAAUUUCAUUGGAAAUAAAUUCGAAUAAUUAUAAUAUGAGUAUUGAAUUUACUAUUUUCUCCACUUCUCAAUUUUUACCCCAGAGGGCAGACAAAUGCUAACAUAGUUAAACAAAAGGGACAUUUAUGUGUAAAAUACUCGCUAAAAAGUAAAAUUUCUCGCUCCACUUAAAGCAUGAACCCUUCUUUUGAUCCUUGCGCUCCAACAACCCUGUGCAAUUAAUAGUCGUUAUUCUUGUGUUUUUCCACUAUCUUUUAAGUUUACGAGACACCUAAGAAUACAAGCAAUUCAAAGAUUAUUUGCAUCUUUUCUAGCUAGAUUAUUAAUAGUACUUGAUACGACAUAAUCAACCCAUUCCCACUCGAGAGAAUACGUUCUUUUUGGAGAACCUGCAGCCUUCAACAUAUUUUGAUCGAUAUCCUAUUGGUGUUGAAGAAAACACAAGGAUUACGACAUUAAAAUUACUUUCAACUUGUCAUAAAUGAAGAAUUUAUCAGCUAAGAAUAUCUUUCAAUAAAAAAAGCUGUUCAUAACAAAAAAAUAAAAGGUGGAAAUAGUAGAUAAAACAUUCCACAAAUGAGUCGAAGUGUUUGAUUCUUACAAUAUUAUGUUUCUUUUAGCAUUAUAGUAAUACUUUAGCAUCUUUACUUUAUCAUGUAAUCUCUUAAUUAAUCGACUUCAGAUAUUGAAUGUUUGGAACAUCAAAAAAGUUUUAGUUUAAGUUACGCAAUAUACUCAUCCCUUGUACGAAAUUGUUAAGGAACCUAUAUUUCUCCUUUUACUUCUCUCCCGGAAAAUGUCACGAUCCGAAAUCGGUCAAUGAUGGCGCCUACCAUAAACCUCCCAGUAGGAAAGCCAAAACCCAAAACACGCGGAAGACAAUAAUUUUAUAGGAAAUAAUAAACAAAAGCAGAAAUAAAGAUACAAAAUGGGGAUCAUAGAAUAGAUAUAUAAAUACGUUACAAAAUAUACAAAACGGGCACGAAAGUGAUUGAGAAAAAAAAACUAUAUAGACAAACAAAUCCCUUGACCUUGUGUCACUGGUACAAGAGAAUUUAAGUAUAAAAAGGCUAUAUACAUCAUGUUUGUAUAACCAAAAUAAAAAAUACAAAGAAAGAAAAUCCACAAGUCUCCGGAAGCAAAAAGCUCACCACAAUCUGAGUUUUUUACGGCCACGGGAGAUCCAACGCUCAUUGAGGGGGGUUCAUACUGGGAGCUGCAUCAGAAAAAGAUGCAAAAGUGUGGUACGAGUACAAAAAUAUGGGUUAGUCAAUAGACAUGAUAGUGCUAACAAUAAGAUUGGUAGGUAAUUGUAAGUAAACAACACAACCGGCGGAGAGAAAGGCAAACAUGCACCAAAACCAUACAAGUCAAUGAAUCACAGACACAUACCACACAAGAAGAUGCGAUGCACGUGUAACCAAUGAAUGAAUAAAGUAUAAAGUUUAAUUGGAAUUAUAUUGCUGGCUGUCCCAUAGAUCCCCAACGACAACUAUGGUGUCACACUUCAAGCCUACACUUUGGACGUGGCCGGCAAUCGAGAGCCAUUGAUGGUCCCAAAGUGAACCCUUGACUAACUCAAACAUACACAAGCAUCAAAACUAAAAAAAAAAAAAAAGUAGUUUAUAAGAUCUCAAAACUAUCUGAAUAUACAAGUAUUAAAUAUUAUUUUUUAAAUAAAACAUCUGAAAUUGAAUACUACAAACAUACCACGACUGUCUAUCUAUAAAAACUCUACUGUAUAAGGAUAGUUGUCAGGACAAGACCCGUGACACCUCGAAAUGUUACAACUAACAAAUCACAAAAUUAGAGUCCUCCGAAACAAAGGAGGUCUCACCAAAAGCUGAUGAACAACUGAUGUGAUCUCAAUGAAAUUCAUGUUGAUGAUUCUAAGUACCUAAAUUUGCAUCAUGAAAUGAUGCAGAUCGAAUGACAUCAGUAGAUUGAAUGUACGAGUAUGUAAUAGGGAUAAAUAAAACAUAUAACUUAACUGAAAGAUGGAAAGUAACUCAAUUAAAAUAUAGUAUAAAUCAUGAUGGAAAUCAUUUAAGAUCUCACUAUAAGAAUGCAAUAAUAGUAAAUACUUAACUAAUAUAUAUAUAUAUAUAUAUAUAUAUAGAGAGAGAGAGAGAGAGAUUUUACUUUACUUUACUUGAGAGUUUCUCUAACAGAUAACCAUCACUAUGAUUCUCGUGAUGAUACAAUGUCUUACCUAUGUUGCUAGAGCCAUCCUAUACCAUGGCAGAAUAUAAAACGCAACUGAAUUGGUGGACUCACUAAAAAACUUUCUUGAGGUAGGUGGAGAGUCGCACAUCUUGUGGUAUGAUCCUAUCUAUGUUGGAUAUGUAGUUUUGGGGGCUAUGAGUUAUCUGAACACUCCCUCAAAUCGGUGCUCAAUACUACUUCAAAAAAAUAUUAUUGUAUGCUCAUGUAAAAUAAUCACUGGGUUGAGAUAAUUACUAAAAAAGGCCAAUUUAAGAGGUAACUGAACCGUACUCAAUUUUUGUAAAAUACUCUGAAAGAUCUUUAUACUUUUUGGAAAAUAGUACUCUCUUUUCAAUGUGAAAAAAAUAAUACUUUCCUUAAGGUUAACUGAACUUCUCUUUAUCUAGCUGAAAUGUUUUUGAAAACUAUUUAAGAUCUUCUUAAAACUUUUCUCAAUGUGAAAAUAGUACUUUUGGACCCAUUUGUAUUCCCUUAAGCUCUUCUCCAAGAUACAUUAAGAUACUUUUGAACUCACUUUAAAAUUCCAAAAUCAAUGUAAGGAAAGUUACCGACUUGAAAUAAUUUUAGUAAAACUCAACAUAUAGGGUUCAGGUGGAACUAUGUGCAUGAAUAAUAAUUCAAGAAUUUAAAUGCAUAAAGUAUCACAAUCUCACAAUAUAGGAAUUUUAUAAAGCUGAGGGCAGAACCCUAGAUUCAACUUGCUACUGACUGAAUUGAGAUGUAGGGUGCGAUGACGAACUAGUCCAACACAACGAAUAACCUUACAUACUUGGAAGAACAAAGUUCUUGAAGGAGUUUGAAGAAGAACAUGAUAGGAAGACUUUGAAACCCUAGCUUGCACUACUAAAAAACUGCCAAAAAAUGAUGGCCAAAUUAAAAGUGACGGAUUGCGUCACUUUUUUUGUCAAAAUCGAUGGAAAAGCGUUGCAGUCACUUCCGUUGCGUUUUAGCUCGACGCUUUUCAAAAAGCGACUGACUGCGUCACUUUUUGACUCUCUCUUUUAGAAUUUUUUUUAACAAAAGCGACGAACUCCGUCGCUCUAUUUUAAUUUCCAAAUGGCGACGCCAUCCGUCGCUUUUGUGGAAAUUUUAUUUUUGAAAAUUCCAGAAAAGCGACGGACAAAAGGACUCUGUCCAUUGCUUUUCUGGAUAUUAUUAUUUUGGAAAAUCCAAAAAAGCGACGGACAAAAUCACACUGUCCGUCGCUUUUUCUGCAAAAAAUUUUACAACAGGAACUGGCUGUUUCUGUUGCCCACCUGCAAAUUCAAUUCAAUUCAAUUCAAUUAUACACUAUUCAGCCCAAUCAAACACACAUAAUUAUAAACAAUCUACACAACAUAAAACAACAAACUUAAAAUAACAUUCAAAAGUAUCUAAAUCACAAUUUAUAGACUUAUAAAGUCUUUCAAAAUUCGUUUCAAAAUUUCAUAAAUGUCCAGAGAUUUAAACUAGGGAGUCAGAUCUACAUAAUCAUCCUCAUCAUCACUGUCACCGUCGAUGUUCUCGUGAGCCGAAGUAGUAGGUCGACGAGCGAGGUUCAUCACUUGUUCUUUGAUUUGCUGAACGGUCUCGCUCAUGCUUCAUUGUUCAGUUACUCUUCUCUGCUCCGACUUUGCCAGUGACGAUGUAAGUUGUGCUCUUUGAGCCGACAUAGCAGCAAUCUGAACACUGUCAAGUGCCUUGGCUUGACGUGACGAUCCAAUACCUUCUAAGCCUGACUGGAGUCGUCUUACAUCGUUUUGAGAGCCUAGACCAUAGCAUCUACCCUUGUGUGUCCCCCCUACCACUUUUUCUUUCCAAAUCUGGGUGGACAGUUCAGGUGUCAUUUCGACCGAACUAUCUAGAUUCUUAGCGACGUACUGAUGAAACUCAUUCUACAUAUUAAAUAUAAAAAUUGACAUCAAUAUAUAUACAUAUCAUAAAUAUAUUCACUAUUAAUAUAUAUUAUCCAUAUUAAAUAACUUACAAAAGUUUGUUUGGCCCUUUCCUCCACUCACACAUCCGGAUUCGACUCAUUUUCUUUCUUCCUGACAUGAGUCUUCUUGAAAAUCCAGUUCAAUGGGAAUGUGUCCCAAUUAUUUUUCCUAUUAAUAAAAACUGAAAUUUAUAACGAAAUAUAUGAAUCAACUAAUUAUUUAUUUAAAAGUUUGAAUUAGAACUUACCAUCUCUCUUGUAAUUGUUCCAAUGGUCUUUGCACCUUUGGUGUGCAACGAGCCACCCUUAAGACUGCCUCUAGCCUUUUAGGCUUAUUCUGAUAUUGCCUUAAACUUGUCUGUGUUCCAAUACAGUGGUCUUUGCACCUUUGGUGUGCAACGAGCCACCCUUAAGACUGCCUCUAGCCUUUUAGGCUUAUUCUGAUAUUGCCUUAAACUUGUCUGUGUUCCAAUACAGACCCAAUUCAUAAAAAACAUGAGGCAACAUCCAAUCCGGACGUUCAACACUAUCACGAACUUUCUUUAGCCAGCUAGACAGUCUUGCGGAUGCCCUCCUCUCAAAUGUGGUCGUAAUGACCAAAUUGCACCUCGGCUCCCAAGUACACAUUGUCUGGAAAAAAAUUGAAUAACGUUAAUUAGAUCGAUAGUAAAGAAAAGUAAAGUAUACUAAGCUUAACUAAAAAAUAUAUACCUUAAAUUCAUUAAACAUCGUCUAGCGUAUACUGUUUGGAAUCUCGCUCCAAGAGUGAUAAGAUUGUGUAUAAAGUCUUCUAACACAGUCUUUUAAUGCCCAGGCAGCCACCUGCAAAACACAUAAUAAAUAUGUUAGUUCAUGAAUAAUAUAUUAAAGUGUAAGAAAUAAAUAAAAUAAACUAACAAAUAGAUAACAAAACAAACUUAUGAUGAUCCAUCCGGCUCAAUCAUGACUCUACCAAGUCUGUCCUUCUGGCCAGGAGCUAGAGCAGGCAUCUCAUCAUCUGGUGUAGCACUAGGUCUAGUUGUAGAUGAGGGUAAUACAUCAGGAUGCACAAAACGUUGAGUCAAUGGAGGCGUACCAGCCAAAGAAUCUGACUGCUCACUACUAGAAUCUCCAAUCCUCAUGGCAGAUAACUGAGGAUAUGUACCUGUGGGAGAUGGAGUACCUACCGAUAAGGGUCGUGGUUGAUGAAUAGCGUGUAAAGGUAGGUCCUUGUAGCGUCGUAAAACCAAUGCCUGUGAAGUAGAGGAAGCACCGACUGGUCGACAGUAAUUAGGAUAAUAUUGCCGAGGAUCCGCCGUACCAAACGAAACAACAAAUAAAUGAUUAUCAUGGCUGAUGCGCUUUGGCGCAAAAGAAAUAGAUCCUGCAAUAUCCUCAGGAUCUAUAGGUCUCCUAGACUUCUUCUUUUUAGCAUGUUUAGUCUGGCUAACUCCAAGAUACUUGCGAUGACUAUCAUUGUCACCGCCUGAUGACAUAUGUAUGCAAAUUUACAUGUAUAAUAUAUAUAAAAAUCAAAAAUUAAAUAAAAUUAGCAAAAUACACUAACUUACACACACACACACACACACACAUAUAUAUAUAUAUAUAUAUAUACUAGCUAGCUUUUGAUUCUACACUAUUCCUCCUCGCUUGUUUCAAUUCCAUCAUCCAUUAUCGUCCCAUUCUUCAUCAUCAAAUGAUUCAUUUUCCUCAUUCUUGGAUAUUUCUUCCUCAACAUUUAGUAUCUCAUCAUCAGAUACUUCUUCUAAUAUGUGUUGAGGAUGUUGUAGUGUGGUUUCCAAUUCAACAUCAGCUUGUUGUUCAACAAUUGCAACAUCAUUUUGAUACGCCACAUCUAAGACAUUGUCAAUUUCAAUUCUUCCCACAUGCUUACUUUUUAUAACAACCCACCAAUCAGAUUUGUCUUUACACAAUGGAUAUGGAGCGUAAUACACUUGUUUAGCAUUUUGUGCAAUGAUAAAAGGAUCAUAACUUCUGUAUUUCCUGGUGUGCUUAACUUCAAUUAUAUUAUGUUGAUGGUCCAUCUUUGUGCCUCUAUGUGAUGGGUCAAACCACUCACACCGAAACAAUACAAUCUUCUUCUUAGGUCAAUCUGAAUACCUCACUUCAAUAAUGCAGCCAUUAACACAACAAUGAAUUCUAUCAUACGUCAAUCCUAACUUGGAAACCAAACGUUUUGCCUAAUAGAAGUUCUUAGGUAUGUUAAACUCCGGAUUAGCUAGUUCACCCAAAAGAUCAACCAUUGAGUCCAUAGCCGCAUUAGGAACAUUCCAAUCUGAUUUAAUAUUCAUUAAUCUAACCGCAACUGACAAGGCAGAAUGUGGACUCCCUUCACAUAGUGGACGACUAGACUCUUCUAAUUGAUCAUAGAAACGUCUUGCUUCUUCAUUAGGAGCUUCAUCAAAAAAUUGUUCCGGUUCCAUCCCACCUUGAACCCCAAAAGCAUCAUUGAUCAUUUCAUGAACCCUAUCAUGUUCAAUCAUAUCCUGUUCAACCUUAAUUUGACCAUGUAGUGCAACCAUAUUAUAUUCAUCCACAUGCUGAGAAUUAUAAAACAUACCAUCCAAUCCAUCUUUUUCUCCAUGAUCAAUCCAUACAAAAUAUCUAGGCUUAAAUCCAUUACGGUACAAAUGAACCAUAACUGUAUCUGGUUUAAAAUUUUUAAGUACUUACAUGCACUACAAGGACACCUAACCAAUCCAUUAUUCUUGAAAAUGUCAAGUGUCAUUGUAUGUUCAAUAAAUUCUCUAACACCGUCAAUAAACUCAGGUUUCAAACCAGCACCAGUUUCAUAAUGCAUAUUAUACAUCCACUAACGAUGAUCCAUCUACAAAAACAUAGAUAUUCAAAUAUAUUAUAAAUUAAAUUUAAUAAUAAUUUUACUACAUUAAUUCAUUGUUAAUAAAUAUUUAUAAUAAUUACUUAAUAAUUCUAAUUAAGUUCAAUUACUACAUUAAUUCAGUUUCUAAAGUAUAUUCAAGUUCAAUUUCUAAAUUCAAGUUCAUAUCAUAAAAGUUAUUAGUUAUAUAUAAAGUGAAAAUUCAAUAAUUAGUUAUAUAUUCAAAUUCUAAUUAAGUUCAAUUAGUUCAAGAUCUACAAAGUUAAAGCUUAAUUAAUUAAUCAAUACUAAUUAAUUAAGUUCAAAUUAAGUUCAAGUUCUAGUUAAGUUGAUCAAAAUUAAGUUUAUAUCAAUUCCUAAUUAAGUUUUCAAGUUAUUAUAAAUUAAUUAAGUUCUAAUUAAUUAAGGUCAACAAGAUUUCAAGUUNNNNNNNNNNNNNNNNNNNNNNNNNNNNNNNNNNNNNNNNNNNNNNNNNNNNNNNNNNNNNNNNNNNNNNNNNNNNNNNNNNNNNNNNNNNNNNNNNNNNNNNNNNNNNNNNNNNNNNNNNNNNNNNNNNNNNNNNNNNNNNNNNNNNNNNNNNNNNNNNNNNNNNNNNNNNNNNNNNNNNNNNNNNNNNNNNNNNNNNNNNNNNNNNNNNNNNNNNNNNNNNNNNNNNNNNNNNNNNNNNNNNNNNNNNNNNNNNNNNNNNNNNNNNNNNNNNNNNNNNNNNNNNNNNNNNNNNNNNNNNNNNNNNNNNNNNNNNNNNNNNNNNNNNNNNNNNNNNNNNNNNNNNNNNNNNNNNNNNNNNNNNNNNNNNNUAUUAGUAGUCCUAAAAUCUCAAAUAUAAUUCAAACAAGUCCUAAAUUUCAAAUUCAAACUAGUCUUAAAAACACAAAUUCAAACUAGUCCUAGAAUCUUCAAACUAGCUAGUGCUAAAAUCCCAAAUUCAAAAUAUUAGUAGUCCUAAAAUCUCAAAUAUAAUUCAAGCUAGUCCUAAUUAAUUCCAAAUUCAAACUAGUCUUAAAAUCACAAAUUCAAAGUACUGCUAAGAAUUUAAAAAUCAAACUAGUGCUAAAAUCCCAAAUUCAAACUAUUAGUAGUCCUAAUGCAUAAUAAGUGUAAGGGUAUGGGGGUGAGUGAUCUGGCAACAAUACCACAAUUACACAAUAGUCGUAGGAUCUCUACUAUCUAAGUGAAUCAUAAGCUCUUACAUAAUUCUCAUCAACAUGUACAAACCCACAUAAGUUGCCCUUUCAAGGCUUAUGAGUAAAACUCAUCCCUAACUUCUAUAAUCUCAAAUAUAAUUCAAACUAGUCCUAAAUUCCAAAUUCAAACUAGUCUUAAAAUCACAAAUUCAAAAUACUCCUAGAAUUUAAAAAAUCAAACUAGUGCUAAAAUCCCAAAUUCAAACUAUUAGUAGUCCUAAAAUCUCAAAUAUAAUUCAUACUAGUUUUAAAAUCACAAAUUCAAUUAGUUAUAUAUAACCUUCAAGUUCUAAGUUCAAUUAGUUCAAGUUCUAAAUUCAAGUUAAUUAAUAUCUAAUUUCUAAACUUAAUUAUAUAUAAACUUCUAAUCCAUGAAUUGGUUAUAUUCAAGUUCAAGUUCAUGUGAAAGUUCUAAAAUUAAACCCUCAUAUAUUCAUUCAUGACAUUCAAACAUUCAACAUAUAUAUUCAUGAUAUUCAAACUUCAUCAAUACUAACUUCUAACUUCAAAUUAACAAUUUACUAACUAACAAUCAUCAAAUUUACAAAAAUCUCAAUUCACAAUCAAAUUAAAGAAUUUCAUAUUCAAACUAGUACUUAAAUAAAAAAAAACCCUAAUUCAUUUGCUAACAGACACAAUCAAUCAUUCAAUAAAACACAAACUCAAUAACUAAUUAACAAAAUCAAACAAUAUACCACAAAUUGAAAAAAAUUAAAAACUAAUUUGAUGAAACCCUAACCUUAAAUUAAAGGAGAAAGAGACAAUGGAGAGGGAGGGAAACAACAGCAACAGCGGCGUCGGCGGCGGCGGAAGCAGCAUCGGCGACUUGGGCGAUUUUAGAGAGAAUUUAGAGAGAAGGAAGAGAGGAAAAAUGGGGAAAAUCGCGUCUGGUAUGCAUAUAUUUUAAAGAAAGUGACGGACAACGUCUUUAUGUCUGUAGCUUUUUAAAAAAAAAUGUUUGACCAACAUUUUGACCAAAAAGCGAUGGACUAAGAGACACUGUCCAUCGCUUUCUUAAAAUAUUUGACCAGAUAUUUUGACCAAGAAGCGACGGACAUAAAGCUGUCGUCCGUCGCUUAUUUAAAAAUAAUUAAACAAUUAAAAUUAAUAAAAAGUGACGGACGGUGUGACUUUUUUUUAAUUUAUAAACAAUUGUUUUUAAUAUAAAGCGACGGCAAUUAUUGAUUAUAUAUAUAUUUGGCGCAAAAGUCAGCGAAAAAAAGCGACGGACUAAGAGAUGCCGUCCGUCGCUUUUUGUAAAAUAAUUUUAAAAAUAUUUUUUUAAUUUAAAAGCGACGGACGGUGUGGCAAUUGGUGUCGCUUUAUGGAGCCACGUCGUCCGUCGCUUUUUGGCAGUUUUUUAGUAGUGUUGAAGGAAAAUGAACAAGAAAACCAUUUUCGAGAUUUUUGAAUUAGUUUCUUGAAAAUCCUAUGGUCAAGAAUUGAGAUUUCUAUUAAAUAUUCAUGCAUAUAUGAAGAAAUUUGAGUUCGAAAGAAUGAAAUUCUUGGAUAAGGACUUGCGUUGAAAAAGAAUCUUGAAAAAAGAUUUGAAAUAAUCUUGCAUGGAAAUCUUAUGCUUUGAUUUUGUUCCUUAGGGUUAAUGACCGGUAGAUUUGCACUCAUUUGAGGCCGAUUUAGCUAAACAAUUGGCUUCCUAAAUGCCUAAUUAUGUCCUAUUCUAAUGAUAUUUUAAUGAUUUGAAGCUAUGAAGGCUAAAGGACAAGGCAAGGAUGAAUGUUUGAAAGAAUGACCAAAAGUGAAAAAAUAAGUGUAAAAUUCACACUGUUGAUCCCAAACAAGAAAGGAAGAUCGCCUAACGGGUAUGACCUUGCCCAAAUUGGCAGUGCACAACACUUGCAAUAAAUUAGGCAGGUCAACAAACUUCAAAUGGAAAGGCGACUCACCGAAUAAGAAAGGUGAGCAGGUUGACCAUCGCCAAAAAUGAUAGCAUAAGGAGAAAAAUUGAAGGCUUGAAAGGCGAACAAGGUGGUACUUGGUAAUACGCUGAAUGUGAAAGGCAGACUCGAACGAGUUCACAAACUGGGUUCAAACACUUGAAGUCUAGAGCAAGAAAAAGGCGAGUUGUAGAGCAAUUGACAAUCCAUCAAUUGUGAUUGGUGAGCCUGACUAAUGUCACCAAAUGAGUAGCAUAUUGAGUUUUGGGAUAAAUUUUGGGAAACUAUAAAUAGACCAAAGAAGAGAGAAAAGGUAGUUCGUGUAGGUGAGAAAAAGUUGUAAGAUUGUGAGAAAAGUUCUGAAUAUUUUUAGAGACAAAUAGUGUAUCUUGUGAGAUCACUUUCUAGUUUUUGGGGUUUUCAACUUUGUUAUUAAAAUUGAUAAAUUGAAGUUCAAUCCAAAGUGGGAUGACUUAUGAUUACUUAAUUUCAUGUUACCCAUGGCUGCUUUCAUGAAAUGUAUAUUUUUUUUGCUUUUUGUGAUGGGUGGUUAAAACCUAAGAUAUAAAGGGUGCAAUUAUGGGGUUGGGUGUUGGUUUAAUGUAGUGGGUUUCGUGUUAUGUUCUGUUUUUCUGUUGCUCAUACAUGAAUUUGGGCUAAUUAGCAUGGGUUUAACUUAUGGAUUAAGGUUGCAAACUUAAUUCAUACUUCCAAUCUCCCAUCGAUGCUCGAAAGAGAUUGAUUGGGGUGGGCAAUUAGUCCGAUACUAUCAAUUUAGUUAGUUUGAUGUCUAUAACUUGCUUGAAAAUAGAGGUAAUGAGUCGGAUCUAUUUGCCCUAUUUAUGCAUGAAAGAGAGAAUAAAACAAGGUAUAAGGUUGUUUAGUAUAGUACAUAGAUGAGAUUUAAAGGAGAUUCUAUGAAAUGAUGCUAUGAGAUCGAAAAAAUAUUAGUGUCAUUGAAGAUGACCCAGCCUAUUCAUCAAAGUUUAUCACUUUAGAGCAACACAAUUACCCUUACGUUACAUUAAUUUCCAAUCCCCGCACCCCUAGAUUACUUGUUACUUCUUGAAUUUUACAAAAUGUUAGUUUAAUUGAGACCAUUUAUAACCAAAUCUUUUUUAUUAAAUUGGUUGAAUCAUCCACCCACUUGUUUUGACUACUACAAAUGAAUGAUUUUACAAUAAGAGUUUCCUGAUAGAAUUCUCUAUGAUAUACAAUUCUCUAUGGAAUUCGACCCCGACUCUUAGUUUGGUAUGUUUAUUAACAAUGACUGUUGUCUCUUUUAAUUGGUUUUAGACAGUAUAUUUGAGCGAUAAAAAAAAUGGCGCCACUGUCGGGGAAUGGUGGUUGAGAAUUCUAUUUGAGAAAUUAGUUUGUAAAUUUAUUUAGUUGUAGAAGAUUAAUGCUUUGUAAUGUUGUUGGAUGAUUUGUAGGUCUAGUACAAUGAGUUUCCAUGGUAGUGAGAACGAUAGUCACUAUGAUCAAAAUGACAACAUGGGUGAUUUGAAUUAUAUACAUGUAUAUAUCAUUCAAACCACGGGAGCCAUCCAGAUACCUCCCAAAUUCGGGAGGGUGGUAUUUCAUGUAAUCGGAACAAUGCUACAUUUGCACCAAUUACGAGGAAUGUUUGGGGGCUUAGCACAUGAGGAUGCCCAUGAACACCUUCAAAAUUUUGUGAAGGUGUGUGGGUCGUUUUUGUUCAAAAAUACCUCACAAGAGUCCGUGAGGUUGAGGUUAUUCCCGUUCUCUUUGAUAGGUGAAGCUACAAGAUGGUUGGAGGAAUUGCCAAAUGACUCUAUCACUUCUUGGGAAAAGUUGAAUGAAGCUUUAUUGGAGAGAUUAUUCCCCCUCCCCCCCUCAAAGAUGGUAAAAUUUCGAAGCCAAAUCCAAAAUUUUAAGCAAAUUGGAGGUGAACCUCUACAUGAGACUUGGUUGCGGUUCAAGAAACUAAUUUUGCAAUGUCCACCACAUGGUAUUCCAGACAAUGUUCCAUUGCAAUACUUCUAUUUUAGCCUUGAUUCAGUCAAUAAAGGUGUGGAUGAUUAGCUAGUCAUAAAGAGGAAUAAUAAGGCAGCUAAUGAAUUAGCAACCCUGUUGCUAAUGACAUGAUCAAAGUUAACCAAGCAUGACAUACUAGGAAAGACCAAGUUUAUACUCUACUACUAAGCUUGAGCAAAGAACAAAUCGAUAAGGACAAUGAACGAGAUGAAAACAUAGCCAAAAUAAUGACCCAACUUGAUUUGUUGUCCAAACAUGUCAUGGGAGGUGGACUUAAAUCGGUGAAUGCAGUUGGAACUAAUAGUGGGAAGUGCCUGGAUGAUGCCAUUUUUGAGGCAUUAUACAAUGAAAAAGUUCAAUAUUUGGGAAACCAAAUGGGUGGUUCUCACCUAAAUUACCAAUGAUAAUUUGGGAACCAAGGUUGGAAUAAGGAGAGAGAGAAUGUUUGGAAAGAUAGGUGAGGUUGAAAUUAGAGAGAUAGGGAGGCUGACAAAGAUAGAUAUGCUCCAUCCCAUGAUCGUCAUCGACCAAAUGACCCAGCUGGGCUAGAAGGAAACUGAACCAAGGAAAUGCUCACAAGGAUCUUUAACAAGGUUAAUGAGUCCGACAAAAUAUUGAAGGAAUUGAAAAAUGACUUCUCCACUUUAUCUCAAAUGAUAACCUUUCAUUCGGUAUCUAUCAAGCAGCUGGAGACCGAAUUGUGCCAGAUCUCCACCCAUCUCAAUCAGAGGCAAAAGAGAAUAUUGCCUAAUGAGAGCGUCCCUAAUUCCAAAAAUGAAUGUUGAUGAAAUGAGAACUAUGUACUGCCAUGACAUUAAAUAAGACACUUCUUGGAAGGCAACCCAAGUCUUUACUUUUGUAGUAUUACUUUCAAUAAAGUUUAUUGUGAGUGUAGGUUGAAAAGAAGUUAAAGUGUUAUGAGGGGAACAUUAGGCGAUGCCAAAACCAUCACGAUGAUCUGCCAAAGGCGUUGGAUGGACUCAUUCUUGUCCGCCUUCUGAACUAGGAAAUAUGGAAAAGUUUACUUUUAAUUUAGGUGAUUUGAGAUCCAAAAGGCGAUCCGCCUAAGUACACUAUGUCAACUCCAUCGUGUCUGUUGAAUCAACCUUCAGACUUGGUGUUUUUUCAGGCCUUUUCAGCGAGCUUCAACUCCAGCUGGCGAUCCACCGAAUUGCACUUUGCGACAUUAUUCGUGACUGCCGAGUGUCCCUGGUAUAAUAAGUCCAAGGGUCUUUUUCAAAUUCAAGAAGAAAACCAUUUGCCAUUUUUGAGACCUUUUCUUCCAUUUUGUUUGCAAUACCAUAUUUGAGUGUGUGAGCAUCCUUUGUGUGUGACUAUUGAGUACGUGGAGUACAUUUUCUUGCUCGAUCCGUUAACCCAGCCCUAAUCUCCCUUUUUUCUAGUUUUACUUCUUAUCGAGGCUGGUUUUCUAUUUUCAUUCAUAUUUUGAGACUUAAGUUGAGUUUAAUGUAUGGGCAUUAGGACAGGUGAUGCAUGUUAUUAUUAGAUUUCAAUGGGUAGUGCGAUAAUGACUGUAUUGAAUUGUGCCCAUGAAUUGAUUGCUAUUUUUCUUGCCUAAAACUUGAUAAACUUGCUUGUGUUGGUUGAAUGUUUAUAUUUUGUGGGUCUUGGUUGAAUUUGAUAUGGGUGAAGUCUGAGUAACCCAAUAUUGACCCGAUUGAAUGAUUUUUCCCAAUGAUAGAUAUAGUGACGUGUUUCUUAAGGGCAAAUCAUCAAUUUGAGCAAUACUUUGUGAUAUCUAGGGGAUGUUUGAUCGAGUACCCAUGGGUUGAUAAGCAUAUGGGUGGACUAUAAUGUUGUGGGAAACUUGACUGUGUUGCGUAUGUUGGGUUUGUCUGUGAAAUUAGGCACUAGGCUGAGAACCACCUGUUCGGCAGGCUUGUCUUAGCUCGCCAAGGCGGUUAGGCGAAUCGCCGAGUAAGCCCGAGCUCACCUUCUUGAGUGAAUUGGUGACCUUGGCUAAUGUUCCAUUCGGUGAAGUUGUCUUAGUUCGCCGAACCCACUCGGCGUAUCCCCGAGUGGGAGUGGACAUCAUUCUUGAUGCCUAUUUCUUUUCAUUUUGCGCUAUUAGUUUCAGCGAACUUGUCUUGGCUUGCUGAAACCAACUCGGCGAUUUACUGAGUUGGAAUUGACUCCGCCCAUUGUACCUUAAUUCUUUGAUAAUUGCUUCUGUCCAAUUCGGUGAGCUCGCCGGAGCUCUCCCAUCCUAUUAUGUAGACCGCCUUCUCAUUGAGCGUGCCUUAGGACAUUUUUGAACUAUGCUUAAAGUCGAGUUUGAUUUAACCUAACCUUUAGUGAUUCUAACCUGGGUCAGUAACCCUACCCUCAUUUGAACACCCUCUAGCAUACCUAUUGCACUACCCUGAGAGAGGUUCUUUCACACACCUAGCAUCCUCAACAAUAGUAAAUCACUUGCCGGAACCAUUUCCCAUCGGUAAAAUAUCUCUAGCCGGAACCAUUUCGCAUAUACUUUAUAUGAAAUCACUAGUAGGAACUAUUUCCCAUUGACUUAUUAUCAAUUCACUAGCCGAAACCAUUUCCCAUCGGCUUUAUAUCACUAGCCACAACCAUUUUCCAUCAGCUUUAUUUCACUAGCCAGAACCAUUUCCCAUCAGCUUUAUAUACCUCACUGGCAAUGACCUCGUCAUCAUAAAACUUACCAAAAAUGACUUUGACAUCAACUAUCACAUGUCCCAUCAUGACGUUUAAUAAUCAAUGCACACAAGUAAUAUCACACCACACGAAAGAGACAACAAUUCAUGCAAUUCAAGUCCACAAAUAAUGCUAUCAAGCAUUGCAUCAAUAAAUCAUUAAAGGUUACAACAAGGCAAUUCACAUCACCAUGUUUAUCACAUAGCAUUUGCAAUGUCAACCCCUUUUUAUUCGUUAAAACUUAUCAAGUGAACAAUUAACCGUUCACCUCAUUCUGAUUACUCCCAACACAUAAGCAACGAAGAGAAUACACGAAUUCUACUAGAAUACAAGGUUUAGGAAAUCACUUGCCUUAAAUAAAUCAAUAAUCACUCUAAGAGUUGAGUCUUCCCCUUCCAAAUCAUUUUCAAAGCCACAUAAUCUAUAUACAAUCAAGUAUUCACCAUCACAUUCUGGAAAAUUAAUACCCACAUCAAUUAAUUAGAUAAAUGGAACAAUCAACUCAAAACCAAAUUUCAAAAAGAAGGUUUGAAUCUGAAACAUAGUACUUGAAAACAUUACUCAAGUUUUGAGGAACUCAUAGGGAAAAAUCAUCUCAAAAAAGGACUCGAAAACACCUCACGAUCUCCAUUUUAUCUAAGAUCUUGAGUUCUUGAAAAACCUCACCACUUACCAAUAAAAAUCUCAUAUUUUAAUGUUAAAACCCAUAAAUAAUCAAACAGAAAUGACGGUUUGGGAUCAUGAAACCUUACCCAAAUUAUUUAGCACAAGAAAACCUUCCAAAAUCCCCACCAAGGGUUCCGCAAACUCAAAAAUGGAAAAUGGGGCUCAAGCCCAAAAAUGGCAGUUCAAAACCCCCUCUUAGAUGUCGCUAAAGCGACCAGUGGUUUGCAAAAGUGUACCCCACUAAAAGCUUGGGCAUCGCAAAAGUGAAGCCUCCUUCGCUACGAAGGUCGAUUAAGCGACAAGGUCUUCUAUUAAGCGGAGGUCGCUUAAGAUACAUAACCUUCGCAAAAGCAAGGCCUACAACACUAGAAAAUAGAAACAACUUUCAAAUAUUGAAAGGUCCCUUCUGUAUUUGAUCAGAACCUAGUACACAAACCCACAUAUUCAAAUCAAUUGUACUCGAUGUUCUGAACUAAAUGGGACUGUCAAAAAAUGAAUGUGAGAUCUCCUUGACCAGACAUCCAUGAAAACCACAAGAAAUUAAGUCAACACCUAAAAAGGAUAAAACAAGCUUGUGACCUCUCAAAAAUAGAUCAAGACCUCACCUAGGCCUAAAAUCAUCCGACGAAUACAAUGGAACUCUCGGAGUUCUGAUUCAAGUAUCUGGUACUAAAGUCAACGCAAAGGAUAAAAUUCCACAAAUUCAAAACUUAGGAUCUCAAAUCCUCAAAAAGGCUCCAAAUCAUAAACCUACAACUCCCACAAAUUAAAUUUCACCUUUUGGGACUUAUGGAAUCGACAGAAAUCCAUUUUGACACUUGAAACUUCAAAAGACACCGUAAACCACUUUCUUAACAACUUAGCCUUUCAAACUCAAAACUUACAAUAUUCUCAACUUGGAACUCAUAGUUUGAAACUAACAUCCAAAACUCAAACAUAAAAGACUUGGGUUCGAUAGCGGGAUUACAAAACCAGGUCAGUACAAACCAAGUAAUAGAUGUCGUAUCUUUCACUUCUUGUUCCUUAUGUGAGGAGUGCCAUUUUGUCUAUGUGGACUGGAAAAUAUUAGGAUGUAUGGGCCUUUUUCCUCAUCUAGGCAAUCCUCUAUUAGUUAAGAUGACUCAAUUUUCAUGUUUUCAUCCAAGCCUAAUGUAAAAAAAUGUUUCGAAUGAGGUCCAAUAUGCCUAAACUCUAAAGCAACAUUAUUAACAAUAUUCUCACUUUUGUGCUCCUUCUCAAAAUCGACGCUAAGGAAUAAAGUAUAACUGAAUGGUUGGCAUACCUCUUUUUGCUCCACUUGUUGCUCAAAUAAAUCCAUAAUGUAAGCCUAAUUCUCCACUUCAUCCCUCCUACCAACAUCACAAAUAGCAUAAGAGUUAUAAUAAAUGUUUAGGGGAGUGGCAUAAGAGUUAGGUAAACCAUUUUCAACGCCAUCUUGACCACCGCAUUUAAGAAAUAUAAGACACUUGAUAUCCAAGAGGGGUCCAUCACAAUACUUACAAAGAUAACUAUCACCCAACAACCACUUAUCCCAAUCAUCCAUAUCAAUAAGAGUAUCAACAUAUUCAAGGAAAAAAUAAUUUGCACGAAAAAUAAAAAAUAAAAACAUAAAUAGAUAAAAAAAAAUUAUAACCUCAAAAAAUAUUUAAUUUCUAUGGCCCUGGCUACACCGCCAAAAACAUGUUGCGUCCAAACGCGCACGCAAGUGUACGCGGUAGUGCAAGUUAUAUAGUGGCUCUAGAAGAGUUGGACCAUCGAACCAAAAGAACUUGUCGAUUAACUAUUUUACUAAAUUACACUAAUAAUAACUAUUUAUUCAAGCGUACCAAAGGAGUUUGACUUCUAAGAACACAAGAAUGAAAUACCUGCACUAAUGAUUGGUAAAAUUCAAGGGUUGCAACCUACUUAUAAUUCAUGCAUAAUAUCUUCUUAUGAGGACUUCAAUUGGAUAUCAAAUCAGUGAUUUACAAGGUUGAAUGUAUGAUCAUGCUCUCCUGACCUCUAAUCACAUGCCACAACUGGCAGUCUAACUACAUCAUUGAGCGGGGAUAAACUAAAUCAUGUGCGGAGCAAUGAGUUUUCAUCUUGUUUAGUAACAAAGAAAGAUCUCUAGGUAUAUCCAUGUCCUAUAUACAAAUCAACCCUAGUUUCUAGAGAAGAUCGUGCUCCUUUUGUCCCACGUUCUAUCCACCUAUUCUUCUCUCGAGUUUAAUUUGGACAGUGAGUUUAUUUCAAUGGUAGUCAAUCAUAAAAUUCUAAAUGAAGAACAAAAGAGCAAUUUAUGUGAUAACCAACUUCAAUCCAUAAAAUACAAUAUUAAACAAUCAUUCAUAGCCACCACCCCAGAACAAGGGUCUUUAACUACUAAUGUCUAUGAAAAAAAAGGAAGGACACAACCUUGAAAAGUGUGAGAGCACUCCACUACAAAAUAUAUCCUAAUAAUUAUUCAGAUGGAAUAUUUAUAGAUGUAGGGAACCCUAAAUAAAAAAAUUGAGUAAAAAUAAUAAUUGGGAAACCCAAAACAAAAAGAAUUUGAUUCUGCGUGAAACAAUAGUCGGUUCAUAUAUUUCCCCCGCUUCAACUUGAAAGUGUCUCCAGAAUUUGACACGUGGAAGAUUAGUGCAUAUAGUAAUUCAACUUUUCCUUCAACUGAUCUUAUAUAAUAUAUAUUAUUAUAUUAAAUUAAAUCCAUUAACUUGUAUGCUUGAUUUCCUUCUAUAAUCUUUCAUCUUUAGUUCGUUUUAGCUCCAAACUUAUUCAUCUUCACACCAAUUUAAUCCUAAAAAUAAAAUAUACUAUUAAGGAAAACUCACAAAAUCCAUACUUAAAAAGAAAAAAUAAAAAUACUAAAUGUGAGGAAAAUAAUGAUUAAAAAUAUGUAUUUUUGGACUCACAUCACUUCUCAUACUCAUGUUCCAACAAUGGAAUAUCUAUUUUGAUUGACAUUGUCGAUUCACAUUUUUUGAGCCUUGCACAUCCGCUCAACAUUUUUAUAAUUGGAAAUUAACUAACUUCCACUAAUAUAUAUUCUAAAAUCACUUAUUAAACAUAGAUGCCCUCUGAUGGCGAUCUCUCUCUCAACCAAAUUUUUGUUCUUGUGAUUUCUAGGGUUAUCACUCUAAAGUUCGCAGCAGAGAAUCUUCUCUCAAGAUAGGUGGAAAAAGAUACUCUUAAUAUGCAUCAACUGUACAAUAUACAGAAUUACAAAGAUAUUGGAAGGUAUUUACAAUCCCAAAAAAUAUGCUACUACAAUCCCAAAUGAUAUGCUAUACAAUCCACAAUAUAUUCUAAUUGAUCUACAUUAAAUAGGAACAAAUCUACCCAUUAACUACUUUUCUUAACUCAUGCUAACACUCUACCUCAAGAUGGAUCAUAGAAAUCAUGUAUGCCCAUCUUUAUAAGUCAGAAGAUCAACCAGCUGUAGUUAAAACUUUAGUUAGAACAUCAAACGCUUUUGUGGAUACAAAUUUAGUUAGAACAUCAACCAGCUGCUCUAAGGUCUUCAGAUAUGUAACAUCAAUUGUCUUAUCCUCAAACUUCUUAUAGAUGAAAUUACUAUCAAUCUCCAAAUGGUUAGUACAAUCAUGUUUAAUUGGGUUUUCUGUAAUUUUAAUAGCAGACUGGUUGUCGCAAAAUAAGUUCAUAGGUUUUUCGAGUGUAAAGCCAAACUCCCCCUUAAGCCAUUUCAACCAUAGUAAUUCUUGGAUACCUUUAACCAUUGCUUUGUAUUCAGCUUCUGCACUAGACAAUAAGACAACUUUUUGUGCUUUACUUUCCUAGUAACCAAGUUACCUCCAACUAAAGUGAAAUACCCUGUUGUUGAGCGUCAUCGUUCUCCUUUUGCACCUCAAUAUGAAUCACAAUAAACCAUAAUUUUUGUAUGGUAAUUCUUAGAGACCACGAGUCAUCUUCCAGGUGCUAAAUAUAAGUAUCACAAGACCUUAAUGUCUACAUUCAUAUGAACUUCACUUGUAUUACGCGUAAAGCGACUUACCACACUAACCACAUAAGCAAUAUGCGGUUGGGUAUGUGAUAAGUAUAUCAAGCAUCCUACUAAUCUUGAUAUCUCACUUUGUUAGUAGAAACUUGAUCAGAAAGUUCCUCUAAGCUAUGAUUUUGUUCAUUCAGUGUAUCAAUAGGUUGACAACCUAUUAUACCCAUCUCCUUUAACAAAUCAAGAAUAUAUUUGCAUUGAGACAAAAGUAUUUGUUGUUUAGACCUAAUAACUUCUAUACUCAAGAAAUACUUUAAUCCUCCUAAAUCUUACAUAUCAAAUUCAAAGGACAAGUAAGUCUUCCAUUUACUCAUCUCAUCAACAUCAUUACCAGUAACAAUCAUAUCAUCAACAUAAAUGAUAAGAACAAUCAUCUUACCAUUUUGUCUCUUCAAAAACAAGGAAUGGUGUGCAUUGCUCUGAGUAUAGCCAUAUUACUUCAUUGCUAGUCGGAACAUUCCAAACCAUGCUCUAGGCGAUUAUUUCAGAUCAUACAAUGCCUUUUUUUAGCUUGCACACUAAAUUUGUAUUUCUAGAGGUAUUGUAACCAAGGGGUAUAUAUGCUCAUAUAUAUUUCUUCAGAUAAUUCUCUGUGCAAAAAGCAUUCUUCACAUCAUAUUAUCGUAGAGGCCAAUCAAGAUAAACAUAUAUUCAUAAUACAACACUAACAGUACUUAGGUUUACCAUAGGCGCAAAAAUCUCCUAAUAAUCAACACCCAUAGGUUUGUGUAAACCCACAAGCAACUAUCUUGCUUUGAAUCGAUCAAUUGAACAAUCUGGCUGGUGUUUCACACAAAAAAAAAAAACUGCAUCUAACAUGUUUCUUCCCUUUUUUGUAACGACACAAUAUCCCAUGUAUGGCUUUCCUCUAGAGCUUGCAUCUCCUCAUUCAUGGAUUCUGCCCAUUUAGGAUCAUCCAAUGUUUCUUCAAAUAUUGUAGGGAUAUUAACCGGUGACAUCUGAUUCACAAAGCCUUGGAUAGAGAUUGGUAAGUGUCCACUGGAAACAUAAUGUCACUCCUCGAGCUACCCCCGAGACGCGGACAUGGGACCUAGGACCACAAGUGAUCCCAAGCUAACCCUGCUGGCAUGAUCAUGAGCAUACUAAAUAUAAUCUGAAUAAUAGAAACUGUGCGGAAGCUAUAAUCAUAAAUAAAAUGAAAAUAUGGGGAAUACCCAUAUACUAUAACUGAGAUAAAUGAUAACUGAUGAGUUUAAUACAAAGAAGAUAUUAACUCAANNNNNNNNNNNNNNNNNNNNNNNNNNNNNNNNNNNNNNNNNNNNNNNNNNNNNNNNNNNNNNNNNNNNNNNNNNNNNNNNNNNNNNNNNNNNNNNNNNNNNNNNNNNNNNNNNNNNNNNNNNNNNNNNNNNNNNNNNNNNNNNNNNNNNNNNNNNNNNNNNNNNNNNNNNNNNNNNNNNNNNNNNNNNNNNNNNNNNNNNNNNNNNNNNNNNNNNNNNNNNNNNNNNNNNNNNNNNNNNNNNNNNNNNNNNNNNNNNNNNNNNNNNNNNNNNNNNNNNNNNNNNNNNNNNNNNNNNNNNNNNNNNNNNNNNNNNNNNNNNNNNNNNNNNNNNNNNNNNNNNNNNNNNNNNNNNNNNNNNNNNNNNNNNNNNNNNNNNNNNNNNNNNNNNNNNNNNNNNNNNNNNNNNNNNNNNNNNNNNNNNNNNNNNNNNNNNNNNNNNNNNNNNNNNNNNNNNNNNNNNNNNNNNNNNNNNNNNNNNNNNNNNNNNNNNNNNNNNNNNNNNNNNNNNNNNNNNNNNNNNNNNNNNNNNNNNNNNNNNNNNNNNNNNNNNNNNNNNNNNNNNNNNNNNNNNNNNNNNNNNNNNNNNNNNNNNNNNNNNNNNNNNNNNNNNNNNNNNNNNNNNNNNNNNNNNNNNNNNNNNNNNNNNNNNNNNNNNNNNNNNNNNNNNNNNNNNNNNNNNNNNNNNNNNNNNNNNNNNNNNNNNNNNNNNNNNNNNNNNNNNNNNNNNNNNNNNNNNNNNNNNNNNNNNNNNNNNNNNNNNNNNNNNNNNNNNNNNNNNNNNNNNNNNNNNNNNNNNNNNNNNNNNNNNNNNNNNNNNNNNNNNNNNNNNNNNNNNNNNNNNNNNNNNNNNNNNNNNNNNNNNNNNNNNNNNNNNNNNNNNNNNNNNNNNNNNNNNNNNNNNNNNNNNNNNNNNNNNNNNNNNNNNNNNNNNNNNNNNNNNNNNNNNNNNNNNNNNNNNNNNNNNNNNNNNNNNNNNNNNNNNNNNNNNNNNNNNNNNNNNNNNNNNNNNNNNNNNNNNNNNNNNNNNNNNNNNNNNNNNNNNNNNNNNNNNNNNNNUAACUAGGGUUUUUGACCUUUUAUCUCCUUUCUUGAUUCUAAUUUUCUAAGUUUUGAUUAAUGAUUUGACUUAGGUAAGUUCUAGUUAUGUUUCUAGGCUUAAACUGAUUAAAACCUCAUGAUUUAGGGUCUAAACGACGUAUCUUAGGGGUUAAAAGAAAUAGGAAAAGACUAAAAUAUCCCUGACUUAAUUGUUGUCGGAGUGACUGACGGAUUGGACCUACGGUCCGUCACUCAAUCUACGGUCCGUCGAUUGGGUCCGUAGGUCGAGUCUACCUGACAUGGCUUCACUAAAACGAGCAUAACUUUUUACUUGGAGGUCGGAUUUUAGCAAACUCGGUGGCGUUAGAAAGAUAAUUAAAUUAGAUAUCAUACCAUAGGUCAGGGGACACACAAUUCCUUUUGUGCUAAAAGUUAUGACCAUCUGAAGUUGACCCAUCAAUAAUUUUCAGCUAUCUGGCUGUUGACCCUAACUUACGGUCAGACCUAUGGAUUGUGGAUCGAUUGACGGUCCAUGCUAGUCGACCGUAUUUUGUCUCGAUCCACGGACACAGACCACGGACCGUGGUCUGACCUACGGACCGUGAGUCUAUCCGUGGGUCGACACUUAGCCGAUUUUUCUGAGCUUGGCUGGGGAGGGGUUGCAGUGGUGAACCACGGACCACCAACACGGGCCGUGGUCUGACCUACGGUCUGUGGAUGGCAACCGUGGGUUGCACCUGCAACUUUUCAAAAUCUGCAUUUUGGUCUGUUUCGAAUAUGGGGCGUUACAGGUAUUGAGCAUGCAGGAUAGAGUUAACCCGAAAUAACAUAUAAUUGAACAAAGCAAUAAAGCAGUGAAAUAAUCUGAACAUGAUAUAGAUACUGAAAAUACUGAAUACUGAGCUAACUGAUGCAAUGACCAAAUUUAUAAAAUGCUGAGACUGAAUACUGACUGUACUGAAAUAUGGUCAAUGCAAUAGAGUCUGACUGAACUGUGGGAGCCACUAAUAACCGACAUAAAACCACAUGAGCUAAAUGUGGAGUCCGGUGUAUAUGCCCCAACGAGAGGACCCACUCUAGUCCAACUCGGUAUUAUGCUACUUCCAAUGAAUUAAGUGGUUAACUGGUUAUGACUGAAUUUCUGUAAAAUACUGGAUAGCUCAAAACUGAACAUGCAAACUGAGAAUGCAACAAUUAAUCUGAUAAUGAUGCAUUAAUAACUGAGGCAUGUAUAACUGAAUACUGAAAUAUCUGACCUAGCAUGUGUAAUUCAAGAACUAAAGAAAUACAUAGCUAGGGUUCUGAAAUUCAUGCAAUAAACUGAGAAAUAACAUGAUAAUCUGAUUUGGAACAUUUAAAUAACUAAUUCAUGAUGAUCUGUUGAAAUUCUAGAAACCUAGGUCUGUUCAUAAUCAUGGAAUCAAGAAUCUGACUCAAAACUAGGGACCUAAUGGGCAAAAGAAACCCACUAGUGAGAUCCCACAUACCUGGUGACGAAUUCCACGGAAAAACCUUUCGAUUUCGGGGCUGGAACUGAAGGAAACUUGCUGCGUUCUUGAACUAGGGUUCUUGACCUUUUCCUCUUUCUCUUGCUUCUAAUUUUCUAAGUUUUUGAUUAAUGAUUUUGACUAAGGUAAAUUCUAGUUAUGUUUCUAGGCUAAAACUGACUAAAACCUCAUGAUUUAGGGUCUAAACGCCAUAUCUUAAGGGUCCAAUGAAAUAGGAAAAGACCAAAAGACUCCUAACUUAAUUGCUGUCAGAGUGACCAACGGACUGGACCUACGGGCCGUAGGUCAAUCGACGGUCCGUCGAUUGGAGUCGUCGGUCGAGUCUGCCCGACAGGGCUUCACUAAAACGAGAAUAACGUUUUACUCGGAGGUCGGAUUUUAGCAAACUCGGUGGCGUUGGAAAGAGGAUUCAAUUAUCUAUUAUAUCGUAGGUCAUGGGACACACAAAUACUUUUGUGCUAAGAGUUAUGACCAUCUGAAGUUGACCCAUCAACAAUUUUCAGCUAACUGGCUGCUGACCCUCAUCUACGGUCAGACCUACGGACCGUGGAUCGAAUGACGGUCCAUGAAGGCCGACCGUAGUUUGUGUCAGAGGAUGGGUAAAUGAGGUCUCGAUCUACGGACACAGACCAUGGACCGUGGUCUGAUCUACGGACCUUGGGUCUGUCCGUGAGUCGGGACUUAGCCGACUUUUCUGAGCUGGUUUGGGAGGGGUUUCAGUGGUAAACCACGGACCACCAGCACGGGCCGUGGUCUGACCUACGGUCCGUGGAUGGUGACUGUAAGUUGCACCAGUAACUUCUCAAAAUCUGCAUUUUUUGGUCUGUUUCAGAUACGGGGUGUUACACAUAAUGUGCAAUAGGAUAUUCGAUUUCCUUUGGAUUAUUAGUGGAGUAUCUUACUGGUGCUUUUCCUUGAUUGGUCCGCAAAGGUAACUGAUAUCUACUCAUGUUAUCAUCACUAGAAACCACUGGUGUAGUGUCAUCUAUUAAAUUAUUAGUAUUAGUUUCCUCAUAAAUAACACAAACCUCAAGAACAUCAUCAGAAGGAGCAUUAUUGGUGGGUACUAAAGGUACUGGAGAUCGGGAUUCUUCAUUUUCUUGUUGUAGUGUUUGAUUGAGAAUCCCUUGGUCUGGAGUUGUUUAGCUAAGCCAUGUAUUAUCUUAAUUUGUACCACUAUUAUCAGGUAUUAACACCAUCCAAUUUUGCUCUUUCACUUAAUUUCCCCCUGUUGACACCUAAUUUUGACCCUCCAUGAAAAAAAUUAAUUUGCGAGCUUCCUUAAUUCCAAACAAUUUGAACUAACUAAUUUUCUAAGAAUUCAAAAUAUGUUUCAAGAUAUUUUAAGAAUUUUAUUCACUUUUAUAAUAUUUUAAAAUAAUAAAUAUGUUUUAUAGUGUGACGUAUGUAAUUAAUAUAUUUUUAUAAAUACUUGAAAACUAUCUUAGAAAAAAGAUUUCAUUAUUAUUAUUAUUAUUAUUUUAACAUUAAACGCUUUAUUAAUCUAAUUUAGUUUGAAUUAUAACUAUGUUGUUGAAUUAGUUAUUUUUAUUAAGUUAAUUAUUUUAUUCUGUUAAGAUUAAGAAGCUCGUUAAUUAGUUUUUAAUAAUUCAUCUUAUUUAGGUUUUAGUUGAGGUCGCAAAUUAAAUUCAAUGUGGCUACACCUUAUUAACGAUUUUAGCCAUCUUUUUUUUUUAACCUUUAAAGUACCAAAUAUUGGGCCAUUUUUUCAGCCUAAAUCCAUUCAUUCAGCAAACCCCUUCUUUUCCAAUUCCUAUCUCCCGUAAUUCCCAGCCCAAAUCCACCUAUUUUCCAGCCCACCAAUUCCCAACAAUACUAUAUUCAUCCAUUAAUAAUCCAACACAAUCCACCAAAUGAUUCCCCAACCCGGCCCACUUCACUUUCCCAACCUUUAAACCCAUCACUGCCAUCAAUGAUGUUAAUAGAAGCAGUAGUGUUAACAUCGUUCCAGCAGCAUGAACUUUUCCUCAAAUACGACAUCAACAAUAUGCAUCAAACGACAACAUCAGCUUAAGCGGCGUCUUCACGGAGUCAAAACAUGGAAGAGCAGACGUGUUUCUCUUUUCCGUGUCGUCUUCCUCCUCGGCCAGAACAAUGGUACAAAAACACUGUUCCAGCAACUAAAAGCACCUGUGCUUUUGUCCUGGCAACAGUGUUUGUUGUCCUUUGCUUGCGCGGGAUGAUGCCACGUCGUCGCUCAAGGACGAAGUAGUCGAUCCCAAGCGUCGAUUCGCCCUUUCCUCUUUUGGAAUGGGUCGAAAUUGCAGGGAAAGGUUGCCUCCCCUUAUUUGUGAAAGUUUUUUUAAAUUUUUGAAUUCGGAAUUGGCCCUGUUUUGCCCGAAUUUUGGUCCAUUUUCGAACCCAUUUUUUUCCCUUCUAUAUAAUCGUUGGUUAUUCACUGUUGAGGGAGGGGGGGGGGGAAUGAGUCGGCUUUAAAGAGAGAAACACAAGAAAAGAUAGAAAUUUAUAGAGCAUAAGUAAGCAAAAGAGUUUUGGGUGAUAGUUGUUCGUAUUGCUGAAAUUCUUAGGUUAUUCGUUUACAAUUCAAGGUUUCUAUUAAAGUCUUUCGCUGGUGGUGUAGGAAAAAGCUCUGUCACUAGCUCGCCGUUCCGGUUUGCUGCUCGGCAAAAAGUAAUCAUUUCUUCUUCUCUUAAGAUUUUCAUUUUGUUGUGUGUUCAUCGCUAGAUUAAGUUAGUGUAUUCAUUAUUUGCUAGCAAUUUUUAGUUUUGCUUUCUAUUCUAGUAUCUUAGUAGUAUUAGUUAGUUUAUUUAUUUAUUUUUAUUUUAGUUAUAUCUUAGUAGUAUUAGUUAGUUUUAUUUAUUUAUUUUUAUUCUAGUUAUAUAUAGUGUUUUUCUAAGCUGUCUAAGCUCAUAUCUCCUCUAUAUCUUUCUUGAGUUUCAAUCUGUCUAGUUCUUUGUUUAUGUCCUCUGUUUAUCAUUAAAAAUUUUAUCUGUUGAAUAAAAAGUGUUUGCUAGCAUCACUCUGGUUCUUGUAUAUGAAAAAAUAGCCAUGUGUUUAUCUUUACUUGUUCUUGUUUUGAUCAAUAGCUUUUUUUUCAUUUCCCUCUUUAGACGCAUAAGGAGAUGUGAUAUGGAAUUGUUGUGUUUAGUUAUAUCGAUUCAAAAGGUUCCUUCUGGUGUUUUGAAUGUCUGUCGUUGUUGCCUAAAUGUCUUUUGUGUCUGCUUAUUUUGCAAAAAUCUGUUAGUGUGAGUUGUAUAUACUGGAUUCCCACUCCAACCGGGACCUGUUUAAGUGAGAAAUAUUUUAUUUUUGGGGCUGCUCUUUAGCAUUUCCCAAAGAGUUAUUCUUGAAUGAAUGAAAACCCUCGAAUCUUAUGCAUUUGACUCUUUAACUCAUUAACUUUAGAUCCAUGCUUGAAUUGGUUGAGAUAGGACUAUUGUUUUAACUUGUCGAAUGUGGCUGCCUGCUUGACUAAACAGUGAUAUGGUUUUAUUCGUGUUUGUUUCUAAAAUUUGAGCACUUUUGUUCCCAUUUUUAAAGUUAUCAUUUGGUUAGUUUCUUUUUCCCUGUGUUGAUUUUAGGGCAUGCAUGUACUUCUCUAUUAUUGUUUUUAUAAUACUUAAUAUUAUGAGCAUUGACAUAUGUGUUUAUAGCAUUAUUUUUCUAUAUUAAAGUCAAUGAGUUGUUACUAAUGUAUUCUAUUUAUGUUGCAUGUAAUUUGUCCGAGUUCGCCACGAAUUCAUUUCAUUCCUCUUGCAUUUCGGGAGAUCCAUAAAGACUCAAAUUCCUCUUUCCGAGUCAGCCAACCGUAAAAAUUGACGAACAAGUUUCAAAGUUGAAAGAAAACUGAAGCAGACCAGAGAAUUGAAAAGAGUGGGCUCAAGAGGCCCGCUCUUUAUUUUAUUUUUAAAAUUGUAUUUUGUUUGGGCCUAAGCCUUUUUUUCUUCCAUUAUCAUUAUGUGUUAGUUAUUAGGACAGGUACCAAGUGCAAAAAGUGGGCCUAAAGUCCAACGAAAAAUUAGCUUAUAUUAUGACAGGUGCACAUGGGCCUAUGGCCCAAAGCUGAAAUCAUGCCCAAGUACUGACCCAGGCGGACAGGAGAACCAGACUUGGGUCCAAGUCUCUCGCUCUUUAUUUAUUAUGUUUGUGUAUAUGUUAUCGAUUUUAAGGUUUCGAACAUUCAAACCCCAGAAGACACUCAUUUUGAAUUAAUCACUUAAACUAAAUUAUCCGUCUCUUACUUGACUUAAAAAUAAAUAAAUAAGUUUACCAAAUACUUCUUUUAAAUAAUAUUGCAAUAUUUUUCUAUUUCUCCCUUAAAAUUGUCCUAACUAUAAGAUAGUUCAGUUUUGCAAUUCAAGCUAAGUUAAAAAAUUAAUUUAGCCAAAUAGUUAAUUACCGGAUAACCGUAUAUUAGCGGCCAUUUCGGGUGCGUUCAAACCCUUCCCGAAAUGCUAAUAAGAACCCUGAACCCCUUUUAAGUUUUCAAUAGAUUUACUAUUUUAAUCUUUUGAAAAAUCGGUUUUCUUAAUUUUCAUUCAUUCAAAAAUUAAGUGGCGACUCUUAAACCAGUCUUAAAAUAUAUUUUUCUUAACUAAACAGAAUGACAACUCUGCUGGGGAAUUGAAUGGUUCUAACCUUAAGAUUAAUUUGUUUGGCUACAUGUUUUAACUGUCUACUUGUUUUAUUUAUCGUAUAUAUUGAAUUGUGGCAUUCAUGGCACCCGAUUCCGCCAAACGGAAAGUAGAUUGCAUUAGGAAAAAGGCGGUUACAUGGCUUACCACGGCUGUCCUUCAGAAAAAACACAAGUUGAAUUCUUUGGAAGUGAUAAACGAAUAGUUGGCUUGUGGUUAUCCAACAUCGUUUAUUAGACUUCACCCCGUUGUUUGUCUGACUCGGGUAACCGUCAUUUCUACACCAAUUCUAGUCAACCUAGAAUAGAGCGAAACCAAAUCCAAAUCUAAGCAUUAGCCUAAGACGGCUUAAUACCCAAGGCGUAUUAAGUCCAUUAGUAAAACCGCCAAAAUUAUGUCCAAGGUCCACGACCUAACGACAUACCAUAUUAUUUGACAUUUGAAAGAUGUAUGUGUGGAAACCUGAUUGUUGCCUAUUUGGGGGAGAGAAUCUUAACCGUGCUUUGUUUUGUAGGUAUGGAUCGAUUCCCCAAAUUCGACAUGGUAAUAGAACCCCAAUUUUGCUCAAAUUAUGGUACAACGACCUCACUGUGGUUCACAAAAGAGCCCUCAACAAAUAUAUAGGAGCCCUAAUAGAACUCAUCAAUAUGGUUGGGUGGCCCGAGCUGAUUGAAGUCCUCACAGGCUAUUGGGACAACGAGAAAAUGGUGUUCCGAUUUGGGACCAUGGAGAUCACCCCAACAAUCGAGGAAAUUCGGGACGGAAUAGACACAGUCGGUACAGGGCUUGAAAGAAGAGUGAGAAAACAGGAACACAUCUUAAUCCCUAACAAGCCUACUCUCGAGGAUAUAACAAAUUGGUUCGGAUUAAGAAAGGAUUACGCUUUCUGGGCCGAAGGUUCUAGCGUUUCUUUUAUGAAUCUCUAUGUUAGAUUUGGGAACGCAAGCUUUUAUGCAAAUUACGACCAAGAGUUCAGGGUUACAUUCAGAGGAUGGGACGGGAUCAGAUCUUUAGCAUUCACUAUCGCGCUAUUAGGCACUAUGGUUUUUCCCCAAGGCCCGAGCCUCAGCAUCAACAACCGGUUAAUAAUGCUUGUACACACUCUCUUCCACGAGCAUCUGAACCAAGGGCAAGUGAAGUAUUAUCCUAUCGCGCCUGUCAUCCUGUCCGACAUGUACCGUGCUUUGGGAAAAUAUAAGGAAGGACAUCUCUACUUUCAGGGCUGCAAUCUCCUCCUCCAAUGGUGGAGAAUGAGUCACUUGGUGAAGAGACACGGAACUCAAAGACUCCAUACCCUCGAUGAGCAUAAUGCUCUUAAGGGUUUGAAUGAUAUGUUGUUUUGGACGGAUUUAGAAAAUAGGAAAACUAGAGGAAGAUGGGCUCAGAUCUUCUCCGAGCUGAGAGAAGAAGAUAUUCAGUGGAUGUUCGAUCGCUUCAUCUCAAAGGAUGUCAUAGUACGGGGCCACAGACAACUCGUGCUUCCUCUACCAGGUAUUCGGGGUAUCCGCCCGUAUGCGCUCAUCCGGGUCUUGAGGCAGUUUGGGAGAAGACAAACUACACCCCCAAAUGCAUACUACCGUAUUUAUGUGUUCGACAUUGGGGACGAUAGAGUGCAUGAGGCUUGAGAGAUGCUGAGAGAAUGGAAAAAAACAGUACGAAUGGAUGACAAAACCAUUGCUGUGGACCGGUUUAAUGCCGGGUACGAUGAAACCUACAAAGUUUGGUUGAAAAAUGAUAUACAAGGUACCUCCUUCCCAGUUCCAAACAUUUAUCGUAGUGUGGAGGACAAAGAGUCCAAAGCUUUGAUAGAAUUAAGAGAGAUAAAAAGAGAAGCUCAGGAAAUGUACAAUGAAUUCCUUCGAAAGCAAGAGGAGGAUAAAUAUGCCUUCGAGAGUGUAACUCAAGAAUUAGAAAGCUUGAGAGGCGAUUUAGGAGAGCUCAACUUAUGGAUUGGAGAUAAGAGGAGUGCCAGAAUCCAUCAUUACUGAUAAUAGAGUGAAUCUCAACAGUCACUUGAUGAGAGAGAUAUUUAUGGAUUGGAGAUAAGAAAAGCGGAAUGUGUCUCGAGGACUGGGAAGAGAAAGGCCGCCGGAGC